UCUGGGGCUAUACCGCGUAAUGAAGUUCCAAAUGAUCAACCUCUGAUGCCUCCUCCUUCUAGGGUUCUGUCCAGUACUGAGGCUCCGAAUGAUCCCCUUUCGGUGCCUUCUCUUUCUGGGGCUCUACCGACUGCUGAGACUUCUCCUAAGCAACCUUUGUGAAGGCUCCCUCUUGUUCGUUUAUUUUGACUUAUGUAUAUGUACAUAUUUGUAACUUAUUGGAGAUAUCAAUAAAUAAGCUUUGUUUCAUUUCAAUGUAUUGUGUUAAAUACACCAAAACCUUCUUCACUAAGUUCUUUGAAUUUUUCUUUUGUUGAAGCUUGUAUCUUGAAGCUUUGUGAGUGGAGCAUGUAGGUUGAGGUAGUGUUCCCUUAAUUUCCUGAGUGAGGAAAACUUCUCGAUUAAGACUUGAAAAAUCCAAGUCACUGAGUGGGGUCGACUAUAUGAAUCUUAGAACGCCAUUGUGCUCGGUCCUGUGUCAUGUCCUCCGUUAGAUCUAAGUACUCUAAGUCUUUUCUUAGAGUCUCUUCGAAAGUUUUCCUAAGCCUUCUUCCACCCCUUCGGCCCUGAACCUCUGUCCCGUAGUCGCAUCUUCUAACUGGAGCGUCAGUAGGCCUUCUUUGCACAUGUCCAAACCACCGUAACCGAUUUUUUCUCAGCUUUCCUUCAAUUUCGGCUACUCCUACUUUACCUCGGAUAUCCUCAUUCCUAAUCUUAUCCUUUCUCGUGUGCCCACACAUCUAACGAAGCAUCCUCAUCUCCGCUACACCCAUUUUGUGUACGUGUUGAUACUUCACCGCCCAACAUUCUGUGCCAUACAGCAUCGCCGACCUUAUUGCCGUCUUAUAAAAUUUUCCCUUGAGCUUCAGUGGCAUACGACGAUCACACAACAUGCCGGAUGCACUCUUCCACUUCAUCCAUCAAGCUUGUAUUCUAUGGUUGAGAUCUCCAUCUAAUUCUCCGUUCUUUUGCAAGAUAGAUCAUAGGUAGCGAAAACGGUCGCUCUUUGGUAUUUCCUGAUCUCCAAUCCUCACCCCUAACUCAUUUUGGCCUCCAUUUGCAUUGAACUUGCACUCCAUAUAUUCUGUCUUUGAUCGGCUUAGGCGAAGACCUUUAGAUUCCAACACUUAUCUCCAAAGGUUAAGCUUCACAUUUACCCCUUCCUGAGUUUCAUCUAUCAACACUAUAUCGUCUGCGAAAAGCAUACACCAAGGAAUAUCAUCUUGAAUAUGUCCUGUUAACUCAUCCAUUACCAACGCAAAAAGGUAAGGACUUAAGGAUGAGCCUUGAUGUAAUCCUACAGUUAUAAGGAAGCUUUCGGUUUGUCCUUCAUGAGUUCUUACGGCAGUCUUUGCUCCUUCAUACAUAUCCUUUAUAGCUUGGAUAUAUGUUACUCGUACUUCUUUCUUCUCUAAAAUCCUCCAAAGAAUGUCUCUUGUGACCCUAUCAUACGCUUUUUCCAAAUCUAUAAAGACCAUGUGUAAAUCCUUUUUCCCAUCUCUAUAUCUUUCCAUCAAUCUUCGUAAGAGAUAGAUUGCCUCCAUGGUUGAGCGCCCUGGCAUGAACCCGAAUUGGUUGUCCGAAACCCGUGUCUCUUGCCUCAAUCUAUGCUCAAUGACUCUCUCCCAGAGUUUCAUUGUAUGACUCAUUAGCUUAAUACCCCUAUAGUUCAUGCAAUUUUGUAUGUCGCCCUUAUUCUUGUAAAUAGGCACCAAAGUGCUCUUUCGCCACUCGUUUGGCAUCUUCUUCGUUUUCAAAAUCCUAUUGAAAUGGUCAGUGAGCCAUGCUAUACCUGUCUCUCCCAAGGUUUUCCACACUUCAAUCGGUAUGUCGUCUGGGCCCACUGCUUUUCUAUGCUUCAUCUUCUUCAAAGCUACAACCACUUCUUCCUUCCUGAUUCGACGAUAAAAUGAGUAGUUUCUACACUCUUCUGAGUUACUCAACUACCCUAAAGAAGUACUCCUUUCAUGUCCUUCAUUGAAAAGAUUAUGAAAAUAACUUCUCCAUCUGUCUUUGACCGCGUUCUCUGUAGCAAGAACAUUUCCAUCCUCAUCCUUGAUGCACCUCAGUUGGUUUAGGUCCCUUGUCUUCAUUUCCCUUGCUCUAGCUAGUUUAUAGAUAUCCAACUCUCCUUCUUUGGUAUCUAGUCGCGUAUACAUAUCGUCAUAAGCCGCUAACUUAGCUUCUCUCACAGCUUUCUUCGCCUCUUGUUUCACUCUUCUAUACCUUUCACCAUUUUCAUCGGUCCUAUCCUUGUAUAAGGCUUUACAAAAUUCCUUCUUAGCCUUCACCUUUAUUUGUACCUCCUGAUUCCACCACCAAGAUUCCUUUUGGUGUGGAGCAAAGCCCUUGGACUCUCCUAAUACCUCUUUUGCUACUUUUCGGAUACAACUAGCCAUGGAAUCCCACCUUUGGCUAGCUUCCCCCUCUCUAUCCCACACACACUGGGUGAUUACUUUCUCUUUGAAAAUGGCUUGUUUUUCUCAUUUUAGAUUCCACCAUCUAGUCCUUGGGCACUUCCAAGUCUUGUUCUUUUUUCUCACUCUUUUGAUAUGUACAUCCAUCACCAACAAGCGAUGUGGAUUAGCCAAGCUCUUCCCCGGUAUAACUUUGCAAUCCUUACAAGUUAUACGAUCCUUUUUCCUCAUUAGAAGAAAAUCUAUUUGUGUUUUUGACGACCCACUCUUGUAGGUGAUCACAUGUUCUUCUCUCUUCUUAAAGAAUGUGUUGGUUAAGAGGAGGUCAUAUGCCAUUGCAAAAUCCAAGAUAGCUUCCCCAUCCUCGUUUCUCUCCCCAAAACCAUGGCCACCAUGAAAACCUCCAUAGUUGCCUGUCUCCCUGCCCACGUGUCCAUUUAAAUCUCCUCCUAUAAAUAACUUCUCCGUCUGAGCAAUUCCUUGUACCAAGUCUCCAAGGUCUUCCCAAAAUUUCUCCUUCGAACUCGUAUACAACCCUACUUGAGGUGCGUACGCACUAAUCACAUUGAUGAGUUCUUGUCCUAUUACAAUCUUGAUUGCCAUGAUUCUAUCUCUUACCUUCUUGACAUCUACAACAUCUUGUGUCAAUGUCUUGUCCACGAUGAUGCCAACACCGUUUCUCGUUCUAUUUGUGCCCGAAUACCAAAGUUUAAACCCUGAGUUUUCUAGAUCCUUUGCCUUAAGACCAACCCACUUAGUUUCUUGUAGGCACAUAAUAUUUACCCUUCUCCUCACCAUAACUUCCACUACUUCCAUAGAUUUUCCCAUUAAGGUUCCUAUAUUCCACGUUCCUAAACGCAUUCUACUCUCUUGAACUCUACCCUUCUGUCCUAGCUUCUUCACCCUCCCCCGUCUAAUAGGAUCAAAGUACUUCUUUUGUGUGUCCUGUGUAAAGUUAAUAGGAGCAUAUGCUCCCAAACAACUUUGAGUGGAGUCGUUCGAAAAGAAGUUUCUAUGGCCCCCUUGUUAGGUCUGGCAAACGGGUCGUGUCAGUCGUGUUCGUGUCGUUUUCGUGUAACACCUGUUAUCUUAACGGGUCGUGGGUAAAGUGACCCGACCCGUUAAGAAAAAUAUUUUUUUUCUUUUUAAAUUUGCACAUACCACACAUUGUCACAUAAAUAUUACUUCAAAAUAUUAAAACACAUUUGUCGUUUAAGUACUACAUCUACACUCGAAAAUAAGAGUCUCAUAAAAAAUACAUCCAUACACUACUAAUCUAUUACAAAUAUUAAGUGUGCAAGGAUAUGCAAAAUGAAAGCGUUUUUGUUUUCAAGGUUGUGAAGUCUUUCUCAAAAGUUUAAACCUUACCAAUGGAACUCAAAGUUUAAUGAAAGUGACCCACUAGAGUGUUUAUUCGUACUUUCAUUAAGUAUAACAUAAGACUUUGUGGUAUCCACUAGUGUAAAUAUUUUAAAUUGAAGAUCGAAUUCAUUCAUUGUAUUCAUAUAGGGUCAAGGAGUGUAAUUGUAAAAAAUCAUCAAAAUCGGAGUUAAAAUAACCGUUAAAUUGUGAUUUUUCGUUUAUAACCAUCGAAAAGUUUUAUCCCGUUACUUAAUCUUUAAAUGUUUGUUUUUUGCAAUUUUUGGCAUAUGCGAUCUCGAAGCAUAUACAAACAAGUAUGACGGUUAGAUCGUUGAAAUUAGUUUCGUAGAAUGCGUAUCUCAUCAAAACAAUAGAUUCACUAAUACUUAAGAGUUUAUUCUUACUUUCAUUAAGUAUAACAUAAGAUUUUGUGAUAUCCACUAGUGUAAAUAUUUUAAAUUGAAGAUCGAAUUCAUUCAUUGUAUUCAUAUAGGAUCAAGGAGUGUAGCUGUAAAAAAUCAUCAAAAUCGGAGUUAAAAUAACCGUUAAAUCGUGAUUUUUCGUUUAUAACCGUCGAAAAGUUUUGUCUCGUUACUUGAUCUGUGAAUGUUUGUUUUUUGCAAUUUUUGGCAUAUGCAAUCUCGAAGUAUAUACAAACAUGUUUAACUGUUGGAUCGUUGAAAUUAGUUUCGUAGAAUGCGUAUCCCAUCAAAACAAUAGAUUCACUAACACUUAUAGAUUUUAUUCAUACUUUCAUCAAAUAUAACAUAAAAUUUUGUGGUAUCCAAUAGUGUAAAUAUUUUAAAUUGAAGAUCGAAUUCAUUCAUUGUAUUUAUAUAGGGUCAAGGAGUGUAGCUGUAAAAAAUUAUCAAAAUCGGAGUUAAAAUAACCGUUAAAUCGUGAUUUUUCGUUUAUAACCGUCAAAAUGUUUUGUCCCGUUACUUGAUCUCUGAAUGUUUGUUUUUUGCAAUUUUUGGCAUAUGUGAUCUCAAAGCAUAUACAAACAAGUUUGACGGUUGGAUCGUUGAAACUAGUUUCGCAAAAUGUGUAUCUCAUCAAAACAAUAUAUUCACUAACACUUAAGAGUUUAUUAAUAUUUUCAUUAAGUAUAACAUAAGAUUUUGUGGUAUCCACUAGUGUAAAUAUUUUAAAUUGAAGAUCGAAUUCAUUCAUUGUAUUCAUAUAGGGUCAAGGAGUGUAGCUGUAAAAAAUUAUCAAAAUCGGAGUUAAAAUAACCGUUAAAUCGUGAUUUUUCGUUUAUAACCGUCGAAAAGUUUUGUCCUAUUACUUGAUCUCUGAAUGUUUUUUUUUUCAAUUUUUGGCGUAUGCGAUCUCGAAAUAUAUACAAACAUGUUUGACGGUUGGAUCGUUGAAACUAGUUUCGUAGAAUGCGUAUCCCAUCAAAACAAUAGAUUCACUAGCACUUAAGAGUUUAUUCAUACUUUCAUCAAGUAUAACAUAAGAUUUUUGUGGUAUCCACUAGUGUAAAUAUUUUAAAUUGAAGAUCGAAUUCAUUCAUAUAGGGUCAAGGAGUGUAGAUGUAAAAAAUCAUCAAAAUCGGAGUUAAAAUAAUCGUUAAAUCGUGAUUUUUCGUUUAUAACCGUCGAAAAGUUUUGUCUUGUUACUUGAUCUCUGAAGGUUUGUUUUUUGCAAUUUUUGGCGUAUGCGAUCUCGAAGCAUAUACAAUACAAACAAGUUUGAUGGUUGGAUCGUUGAAACUAGUUUCGCAAAAUGCGUAUCUCAUCAAAACAAUAAAUUCAAUAACACUUAAGAGUUUAUUCAUAUUUUCAUUAAGUAUAACAUAAGAUUUUGUGGUAUCCACUAGUGUAAAUAUUUUAAAUCGAAGAUCGAAUUCAUUCAUUGUAUUCAUAUAGGGUCAAGGAGUGUAGCUGUAAAAAAUUAUCAAAAUUGUAGUUAAAAUAAUCGUUAAAUCGUGAUUUUUCGUUUAUAAUCGUCGAAAAGUUUUGUCUCGUUACUUGAUAUCUGAAUGUUUGUUUUUUGCAAUUUUUGGCGUAUGCGAUCUCGAAGUAUAUACAAACAUGUUUGACGGUUGGAUCAUUGAAACUAGUUUCGUAGAAUGCGUAUCCCAUCAAAAUAAUAGAUUCACUAACACUUAAGAGUUUAUUCAUACUUUCAUCAAGUAUAACAUAAGAUUUUGUGGUAUCCCCUAGUGUAAAUAUUUUAAAUUGAAGAUCGAAUUCAUUCAUUGUAUUCAUAUAAGAUCAAGAAGUGUAGCUGUACAAAAUCAUCAAAAUCGGAGUUAAAAUAACCGUUAAAUCGUGAUUUUUCGUUUAUAACCGUCGAAAGGUUUUGUCCCGUUACUUGAUCUGUGAAUGUUUAUUUUUUGAAAUUUUUGGCGUAUGCGAUCUCGAAGUAUAUACAAACAUGUUUGACGGUUGGAUCGUUGAAACUAGUUUCGUAGAAUGCGUAUCCCAUCAAAACAAUAGAUUCACUAACACUUAAGAGUUUAUUCAUACUUUCAUCAAGUAUAACAUAAGAUUUUGUGGUAUCCCCUAUUGUAAAUAUUUUAAAUUGAAGAUCAAAUUCAUUCAUUGUAUUCAUAUAGGGUCAAGGAGUGUAGUUGUAAAAAAUCAUCAAAAUCGGAGUUAAAAUAACCGUUAAAUCGUGAUUUUUCGUUUAUAACCGUCGAAAAGUUUGUCCCGUUACUUGAUCUGUGAAUGUUUGUUUUUUGUAAUUUUUUGCUGAUGCGAUCUCAAAGCAUAUACAAACAAGUUUGACGCUUGUAUCGUUGAAAUUAGUUUCGUAUAAUUCGUAUCCCAUGAAGUUCAAUGGUGUGUGUGUAUAUAUAUAUUUAUUUAUUUAUUAAGUAGAUUUAAAUCUAUUUAUUUUGUAUGUAUAAUUAUUAUAGUUUUUAGGGGUAUAAAAUUUAAUAUAUAUAUAUAUAUAUAUAACUAUUAUAGUUAAUAAUUUGGGGGUAUAAUUAUUACAGUAUAUAUAAUUAUUAUAGUUAAUUUAAUAUAUAUAUAUAUAUAAUUAUUAUAGUUUUUAGGGGUAUAAAAUUGUUAAAUUAAUAUAUAUAUAAUUAUUAUAGUAUUUUUUUAGGAUUAUAAAAUUGUUAAAUUAAUAUUCUGCUUAUCGUGUAUCGUGUUACCCACGUGUAUACCCGAACCAACCCUUUAUCUUAACAGGUGCUUAUCGAGUUACCCGAUAACGACCCGUUUCAUUAUCGUGUCGACCCGAACACCGGUUAAUUUCGUGUCGUGUCGUGUCGGGUUAUCGGGUCGUGUCAGGAAUUGCCAGGCCUACCCCUUGCUCAUUUAACACUGCAUCCGGGUGCCGAUGGAGAUACAGCGACCCUUGCUCACUUAUCACUGUGAUCGGGCUACACAGCACGCCACUUAUGGGUGAUGUCCUAGCUUUAGCGCGAUUUCGUUCUGGAUUCAUUUUCAUAAGGAUUCGACGUAACCGAGCAGUGCCGGCUGUCAACUACCUGACGCCCUCCCCCUCCUCCUUUAUCCGGGCUUGGGACCGGCAAUGUAAGAUAAACUUACACAGACGGAGUUGCUGCUCUGCAGAAUGCAGCAGAGGAAAAUCCUUCGUCAUUCAAAAAUCUCUCACUCUCUCUAUCACACAUAAGUCAUGCAAAGAGAAUAUUACCUUAGACAUCACAAAGUGAUCUCAGCCACACAUUUAGCUAUUUUCUAGGAUCAUCACACAUGACAUUAUUUGCCUUGCAUCUUUGAACCCACACUUGGCAAUAUUACAAGUCAAGUGAAUACACAAUUAAAAACUUAUUUUUCACUAAUUCUAAUCAGCCAGAGACUUACAAUUCAAUAGAAUUUGCGUCAUAGCUUUUUUUGUGCAGUGAUCUUUCAUAUAACAACCUCGCCUUAGAGGAUGCAAGUUGUCAACCACAAGUCGGCCUGUAAGAAUGUCUUCAUUAGCUUGAAGUUAAUCUGUAUGUGUUAUGUGGAGAAAAGCUUAACUUUUCAUUUUUGUUAAUUUCUGCAGUGAUUUGUUUGCAAGCUCGUCAAAUGGCAAUAGUUCGUAAGUUCAAAUUAAUCGUCUCAAAUCAUGCACCUAUAAAUUUACCUCGGCAUCAAACGGUGUAUUUUGUACCUUUUUUUUUUUCCAACUUCUUCUCAUUUAUGAUUGCUGACAUUUUCUGUACCCUGAAUUACUCUAUCAGGAUAACUGUUUCAUGUUUAAAAACUUUGAAGUGUCCAAAAUGUAAGCCGAGUUUCUACACAAAUAAUUACCUUUAUUUUUUCGGUUCAUUCUUUUUUAGUUUUCCUCCUCAAUGCCAACUAAUUUCCAUUUUCUUUUUUCAUAGAUUUGUACACUCUCUCCAUAUAAAUUGUGGUGGGAAACAAUUUACUGUCGCUGGAGAGAAAGAUACAGUAUAUGAUGAUGACACAUUUCAAGCUGGACCUUCAUCAUUUUACCAGAGCAGCACAAAUUGGGCAUUAAGCAGCACCGGUUGGUUCAUUGAUGUUGAACGCCCUUAUGACACCUAUAUAGGGACUAAUGGAACUAGACUCUCUAUGGCCAAUCCUCAACUGUACAUGAACGCACGCCUUUCACCCAUCUCUCUAACUUAUUUUGGGUUUUGUCUGGGAAAUGGAAACUACACUGUAAACCUCCAUUUUGCUGAGAUAAAGUUUAGAAACGGCAAAACGUAUAAAAGCUUGGGAAGGCGCAUAUUCGACAUUUACAUUCAGGUAAGUAUCGCAUCCACUUCCAUGUAUAUAUACCAGUGAAUUAUUCUAAUUUUCAACAAGCAUUGUUUAUAUCAUGAAGCCGACCCCACUUAGUGGGAAAAGGCUUUGUUGUUGUUGUUGUAUUGUUUAUAUCAUGAAAUGUUAAGCAACUAAAUUAGUGUGUGUGUGUGUGUGUUUAUAUAUAUGUAUAUAUUGCAGGGAAAACUAGUGAAGAAGGACUUCAAUAUCAUGGAUGAAGCUGGUGUGUUUGGUGAUGUAGUCAUAAAGAACUUUACUGCUCCUGUGACUAAUAAUACAUUGGAGAUUCGUUUCUAUUGGGCCGGGAAAGGGACGACGGCGAUCCCUGUUAAAGGAGUCUAUGGUCCACUUAUUUCAGCUAUAUCAGUAGACCCAAGUAAGCUUCCACUGAUUUUAGCUUCGUCUAAUUACUAUGCAUCGACCAUAUGCAUUGAUAUAUCUACUAAAUUAAGAGAUCCUACUUCUGCAAGGUUCUUCUUCUUCAAUAUUUCCUUUCCCUUGUUAUUUCACAAAAAUGCUUCUGCGUGUUUCUCUUGUUUUACAUAGUUUGAGCCAAGACUUGAAGAAAUACUCUCUUAAAUUUUCUUAUCACAUAAUAUGCUUCUUUUUUUCCUAGGUGAUGGGUAUGCGCUUUUAAAUACAACAAAAUUCAACUUCGAGCAUUUUUAACUAUUUACAUGAAAACUAUCCAGUUCACUAGAGUAAACAUAUAAUAUUUACAACCAUCCAACGAAAGUUUGUUCGAGAGAUUACUUCAUAUACUAUCUAAUUAUUUAAGGAUGCCCUAAAGACCGGGUUCAAUCUUCUGUUUCGUUUUGCAUUAGAUAGCUGGUUGAGCAAUCCAACCUCAUAUUAAUUACAUUUACAUUUACACUCAUUUAAGCUAUAUUCUUGCUUUCGACAGACUUUGAUCCCCCGCCAAAACCUGGUGGAAGUGGCCUGCCUGUAGGUGCUGUGGUUGGAAUUGUGGUUGGAGCAGUCUUCAUGAUACUACUGAUAUUUGGUAUUCUUUGGAAGAGAGGCCUCCUAGGACAACAAAAGACAUUGGAGGAUGGUAUUAAUUUGCAGUUUAUUCUGUUAUACUUAUUUUUCCUUUCUGUUUCUCCGUUACUUUUUCUGAUCGAGUUUUUUCGUAACUAAGUACAAUAUUUAGGGUAUUUUGCAUGGUUUUCAAGCAUAUUAACGUGCACCACAAAGACAGUAAUUAUUUAGAUAUUGAGCUUUCUGGCACUUUGAUGUUGCUGUAAUAUAUGUAUCGUCCAAACUCAUGAUGCUAAGUGUCUGCCUAUGGAUCCAGUUACUAGUUAAAUUCUAGAAUCAGGCACAAAGUAUUAAGAACUAAGAAUGCUAUCGUUCAAAACGUUUUCUUAGACACAAUUUCUUAUGAAUUUUACUUGUUAUACAGAUUUGAAGGGUGUGGACCUGCAAACUGGUAAAUUUACCUUCAAGCAACUCAAAGAUGCCACAAGCAACUUUAACAAAGCCAAUAAGAUUGGUGAGGGUGGUUUUGGUUCUGUUUAUAAGGUAUUCUUCGGGGCAAAGAAUUUAGUUAUUGAUUACACUUUUUUUCUAAUUUGAUACUGUCCGGUCUAAUGAAAGUUAAUUUGCUCCGUAGUGAUGCUAAUUUGAUUAUCUUUCUCAAAUGUAGGGCAUUCUAGCAGAUGGCACCGUAAUAGCUGUUAAGCAGCUUUCUUCCAAAUCAAAGCAAGGGAAUCGUGAAUUUGUUAAUGAGAUUGGCAUGAUUUCUGCUCUGCAACACCUUCAUCUUGUCAAGCUCCACGGAUGUUGUAUUGAAGGAAAUCAACUAUUGCUUGUUUAUGAGUACCUGGAAAAUAAUAGUGUCGCUUGUAUUUUAUUCGAUAAAUAUUAGUCUUGUUUGCCAAAAGUUCAUUUCAUCAUACAGUGGGCAUAAAAGAUCUUAUGCACUAAAAAUAUGUCCCUUACAACCAACUUUGUUUAAUUUGGCAAAUUGAAAGGGUAGAAGAAAGUCAAUUGAAGUUGGAUUGGCCAACAAGGCACAAGAUUUGUAUUGGUACAGCAAGAGGUUUGGCUUAUCUUCAUGAGGAAUCAAGAUUGAAGGUCGUUCAUAGAGACAUCAAAGCUUCUAAUGUUCUGCUUGAUAAAAAUCUUAACCCGAAAAUAUCUGACUUUGGAUUGGCCAAGCUUGAUGAAGAGGAUAAUACACACAUUAGCACCCGUAUUGCUGGAACUUAGUGAGUCCCUAAACUUUUAUUUAUCUUCUUAUUGUCUUGUUUUAAUCUUCUUCCACCCUUAAAAAAGAAGAUAGAGCAACGGAAAAUCUCUAACUUACAUAAUUUUCAACCUCAUCAAAUCUUUGUUGUUCAAUUCAAGGGCAGAUUUGUUCUUUCAAUAUAGUUGUAUUACUGUGCAUCUCUCUAACUAUUGGAUUAAUCAUAAGUAUUCAAUUAGCAAUAUUUUUACUAGUUACUUUAGCUAAAUUUGGGUUAAUGAUAUGAUUUCAUGAUAUUGCAGUGGAUAUAUGGCACCUGAAUAUGCAAUGAGAGGUUAUCUGACUGAUAAAGCAGAUGUCUAUAGUUUUGGUAUUCUCGUAUUGGAAAUUGUUAGCGGGAGAAACAACACAACGUACCGGAAAAAGGAAGAAAGCUUUUAUCUUCUUGAUUGGGUAACAUGAAUUUACUAGUUCCUAAUUUAACUUCAAAUUUUCUCACUAUACCUUAUAUGUGUGAAAGUACGUUUGAAUCGUUGAAGUUUAAUCCAAAGACAAAGUUUAUAUUGCUUUUGCUACUUCCAUUUUUUGUAGGCACGACUUCUAAAACAGCAAGGGGAUUUGAUGGACCUAGUUGAUCCAAGGUUGGGAUCAGACUUUAACAAAGAGGAGAUGAUUGUUGCAAUUAAUGUGGCUCUUCUUUGUUGCAAUGUUACUUCGACAGCUAGGCCUACCAUGUCUUCGGUUGUGAGCAUGCUCGAAGGAAAAGGCUGUUGUUCAGGAGUUGGUCUCGGAUCCAAAAGCCGAGAGUAUUGAGAUCGAUGCAAUGAGGAAACAUUUUCAAUCUAGUUUUGGAAGGGGCACGAGCGAGAAACGGAUAGAAAUGGAUCAGUCAACUGAAGGGCCAUGGACUGCUUCGUCUGCUCACGAUCUGUAACCCAUCAAUCCUGAUUCAGAUUAAUGGGAGAACAGAAGCGAGAGAACUUGAGCUGCACGGUUCUCUGUUUGACUCAUCCUCAGCACACUAAACAUAUCAGCUAAUAAAUAAUUUGCAUUUCCUCUAUAGCUAUUCUCUUUUUUCUGUUUGAUAAUAUAGUAGAAAGCAGAACUGAAGAAGUUUCUACAGCAUGGUAACUAUAAAUUGUGAAAUCAGCUCUUUUCAGUAUUUUGUAGUAUGAUAAAAUGAUUAUCUUUUCGAAUAAUAAAUUUAUACUUCAAUACCUAGAUUGGAUCAAUUGUUACUAAAAUUAAAGUAACGCAUUUAGUACUAGUUUGUUACUGCUUGAAUUAUAAAAUAAAAAACGGGUAUCAAAAAAAGUUUCCAGCUUCAGAAUUUUAUUAUCACAAAUCGUCACUAACGUUUUAAAAAGUCAAUUAAGUUUAGGCAAGUUUCAUCGUAUUGCAAAGACAAAAGUUGUAAAGGAAGGGAAUAGAGUAAGUUGGUUGAACACUAUACUAUUUUGGCUAUGCGGUUGUUUGUGAAGAGAGUAGGUAAUGUACACCGAAAUUGAAAUGGAGGAGAAUACAGCAAGUUGGUUGAGAGAAGGAACUUAAUUUAGUAAAAUCGGAAAUCAUUUACGGAGGAUUUUCUACAAAAAAAUAUAUAGCUAAUAUAUAAGGUAAACAAGAUUCAAAGAAUGUGCACGAAAAGAAAAAUGAUACGUGACGUAAAUCAUUCCCAAAAAUAAACAAAUUGCCAAGUUUUCUUAAAAUUAGUUCUGGAAGUUCUGGAAUUUACUUCAAUUGGAUUGAUUUUGAUUGUUGUAAAAUAUAGGUAUAUACAAUUACAAGAAUCCCUACUACAUAGCCAAUUGGUACAAAGUAAUUAAGUAAUCAGCUCGUGAUGCUCUCCCUUAUUAAAAACGUCCAACUUGCCUAAUAGAGAUUUAAAAUGUUCCUUUCCCAAAGCUUUAGUAAAAACUAGAAAUAUGGCCCGCGCGCUACUGCGGGAUUAGAAACCAUUUUUCAAAGCUAUAAGAAAUUGUUACAGAAGUUAAUGUUACUUACUGGGGUAAAAAGACAAUUCCCUUGCAAGAGCAAAACCACUAUGUUUGCCACUACUUAACUUAAAUACUUACCCAACAACAAUAACAAUAAAAAAUUAGCACAGAAAGCAUAGAUCCGUAAAACACAAAGUACAUACCACAUUCACUGAAUGACACCCUCAGAAGCUGAUGCUUCUUCUAGGCCACAUAGCACCAAGAAGUGCAGCAUCCCUAUGAAACAUAGCUCCCUGUAAUGGUCAAGAAGAACAAUAACACAUAAAAUAAUGAAAGAACAGAAUCAGAUGGUGGAAGCCAAUACCGAACCGAAUAUAAUUUAAAUUACGCAUUAAAAAUAGCUCCAUGUACUUGUUCACUUGCUGCCACCUCUUUCCUCCUACAUUAUACACAUUAAAAUUACAUGGGAUGCUGUAAUUUUAUUGUUUCAGUUUAAUUACUUUUCUUAUCAUAUCCUUGUUGGAAUAUAAUACGUGUUUCAUAGCGCUUUGUGACUUGAUCGCAUAUGAUCUUAUGCUCCACGACCUUACCAAAUUGUGAAAGGAAGCUUUCGAACUCAUGUGAUAUUCAAAUUGAAAAUUCUUAGUGAGAAGAUAACGAUUAAUCAGUUGUGCAACGAAAAACAUAACAUUAGAACACAACCAGUGGAGAAAACAAUUACAACAACCUUUCAUUAACUAUGGAUGAAAUACCAGCAGCAAAAUUUUUCUUUGUUCUGAAAUCAUUUACAAAACAAAUCCUGGAAUGAAUGCUCACGAAAGAUGAAUUACAUAUAAAUUUAAACAUAAAAAAGAAGAAAGAAAAGGUGAGAAAAGUACCUCAACCGAAACAUAUAGGCAAUAGUUAUACUAAAACAACAAUUAAUUGAAACCAUUACAACAACAACAAAGUCUUUUCCCACUAAGUGGGGUCGGCUAUAAUUAAUUGAAACCAUUGAAGGUAAAAAAAAAAGCAAGAGUGGAUAAAAACUUAGAAUUCAACAAAGAUUAUGUUCCCAAUCUAAAUACAUAUGAACUCCAGCACAAAAUAAAACCCAGGUCUGUUCAGCACUAAAGUUCAGUUCAUGUGGAUUUUGGAAGAAGAAAUGUUCAAAAUUUAACCAUCCAGAUGUUGGGGCUUAAAUAGACUUCACUACUUUGGAGAUAUUUAUCUCACAAGGAAGAAUGUAACGCAGCGGAAUUGAUAGGCUAGAGAAAGAAAGAAUACUUAAAGUAUUACACAAGACUUUUAUUCACUCACAAACUUAGUGCAAGAGGAAACACUCAAACACUCUUAGAAGCUUUGUUGCUUCUUCUCACUUCUCACUACUUGCUCUCUUGGUUGUUUCAAAUGGUGUGGACGCCUUCUCCUUUUAUAGGCAUGGAUGGAACCUUGGAUAAGCAUGGAAGCAUCAUGCUAGAGAUAUCUAGAUAAUUCCACUACCUUCCUAAGCUAGAAUUAUCUACAUUAAUCUUGUAUGUUGGUGGAAUCCUCACCAUUCUUCUAGACUCUUCCACCAACUUGAACUUUGCUAGAAUUCUCUAGCACGUGCAUGGAUCUUUCUUUGUGUAUAGGCCGGAUCAAUUGUCUUGGGCCAAGACAAGAUUACAAUUCAACACCAGAUUAGGGGAAACAACUAAACUGUAAAAUUAGCAACAAUUAAACAUUAGGAAGAGAAAAUUUUAUGUAAUUCAUAAAACAUAUAAAAUAAAUUGAAAAGAGUUCGCAAAGGAGAUUUAGAGUUAAAUCCAUACCUUGAUACUUGAUGGCGAGGUCGUAAGGGAUAGGUCAAUGGCAAAAGCCAACGUAUAGCGAGUAAGAGAAACUUAACGGAUGUCCACUGCAUGCUACACUGUGUUUCGGCAUAUUCUUUCUGGGAUUUGGUCAGGAAACUACAACCAUUUUUACAAAUUUCCAUAAGCCAACAAUGGAAAAUGAAAAUACUUAAGCAACUUAGAAGGAGGCAGACAACAGAAACCAAAUAACGGAACACGCGAGAAGUAAAACGUUAAAAACAGAACAUACCAUAAAGUUUAAUACCUCUGCAAAAGCCUACAAAUCAUGCAAAGACCAAAAAUUUCAAAGACCACAAAUCAUGCAGAGACAAAAAAUUCAGUAUAUUAGCAGUCCCUACAAAAGCCUAAAAUAAGAAAAUUAGUAAAAUAGAAUUUGAUAACAUUAUACUUUAAGAAACCCUAAAUUUCCAGUCAAAGGAAAAUUAAUACCUCUGCAAACAAAAAAAAAAAAAAUCGAGAGAUAAAAACUCAAAUCCCAGAAAAUAAAUCAUAAAGUUUGAUUAGAAUUUAGGAGAAGGGUAAGAUUGGAUACGCAAAGAGAGGGUGGCCUUGUAUUUCUACUUCUCUGAAAUGCAAUCCUCCUUGUCCCAGGGCUCUUCACAAACUUCUCCGAGUACCACCCGCACACAGAAACAAUAUCCAUUUACCCUAUUCAGAAAUCGAAAAAUGGAUUUUAGAGAGAGGCGAGAGAAGUAGGAUUUAAGAGUAAUCAUGGAAACUAAUUGUGCUGAGCGGAAGCAAUUGUGGUUGGCGUCUCUGAGAUUUGAACGGGGAGAAAUGGAGGAGCUGUGAGAGAGAGUUGGACCAAAGGUUGAGAGAUAUCUGAAGAAAUGAGAGAUCGAGCUCUAAUAACAACGGAUUUAUCAGAAAUCCGUUCAACAAACGAAUAAAUAAAUAAAAACCGUUAUUUUAGUUAAUUAAAAUUUAACGCUCCAUUGGUUGGCGAGCAACCGCGGAGGAUUAGAAAACAAAAAUUUCUGGUGAUGUGAAAUUUUAGUUCCUAUUAUUCCUUGUGUAAUUAUAUUUAUAGGUAUUGGAAAUGGAAAACUGAAUUAAAAAUGGAAUUAAAUUAAGAAGCCGGUGGGUAUUACCUUGAAAGCGUGGAUUUAAAGGUUUGAGGAUGAACAGAGAGUAGGGAUUUUCCCACCAACCAAACAGACGGGAAAAGAAAGUUGAACUAAACACGAAAGCCAACUCGAUCGAUCUCGUCCGCUCCAGCUAGGUAUGGUCCUCAAGCUCGUGACCGAUAGCAGCUCGAUUAUCUUCCUGAGGGGUUUUUUUGGUGUCAUUUUCUCUCUUUUUUGGUGUCCCAACGAAUUAUGUGUCAUUUUCUCUCUUUUUCGAUGUCCCAACAAAUUAUAUGAGGAUUGACUAGAUAGAUAUCAUAAAGAAUUAUAGAUGAAGCAAUCGAUGACCCUUUAAUUAAUCCUAAUUUGUAUUUUACUCGCGGCCCAUUAUAAAUAGGAUUAAAUCAUUGGAUCCAUCUCAUUACUUGAUUAGAGAUUUGGGUCUAAGACUAACUCUUGAACAGUAACCUUGCCUUCGAGCAUGCUCACAACUGAAGGCAUGAUAGGCUUAAAUUUUGAAGUGACAUUACAGUAAUGAGAGACAUAUUGAUUGUAACCAUAAUCUCUUCUUUGUUGAAGUCUGAGCCUAACCUUAGAUCCACUAGGUUCAUCAAAUUUGUCACAACCUGUCCCGGAAAAUAAUUCUUGUUAACGUGAAAAGACGGGAAUACCCUCUUACGUUGAAUGAUAUGUGUAUGUUAUGUUUUGGUGUAAGUAUUUGGGAUUGGUGACCCAAUUAGAACUAAGAUUUUUCUUAGUUUUGGUUGGUGGUUUUUGGACCACACACACACCCACCUACCCACUCUCUCUCUCCUUCCCGUGCUCUCUCUCUCUCAGACUCACUCUCUCUCUUCUCUCUUGUACGGACACAACCAGAAGCCCUUGCAAACAUGGCAGAUAGAAGAAGAAAAUGGUACCAUUGUGUUCCUAUGGUCUUCACGAGUUCAAAGGUACCAAAUAUAGGUAAGAUUACCUUCGAUUUCACGUUGAAUCACAAAAUCCGAUUUGAGGUACUAUUCAUGCUCACGUAAAAUGUUGAUUUUAGGGAAUUUAAAGGACAUAGGGAGCUUAAGGAGGUCCUUACGAAGGUCGGAGUACUUCAUUUGAAGAUUUUAGACGUCGGAAUAGUGAGAACGGAGAGUUUCAAAUCUGGCCGGAAUUAUUGAGGCUUUUUCCGGCCAAUUUCCAACGAGUCGAAGCUCAAGCCAGGUACGGUUGUGUUCAUCUUUGUGAGAUCUUCAUUUUGGUAUAAAGUACGUAGAAAAUGGUGCAAAAAUGAAGAAGAAAUAGUUAAAAUUUUCCAGUUUUCCGACGCCGACGACGAUCGUCGGAGUUCUGAAGAAGGAGACGACAGAAUAUUCCGUCAAGUCUGAUGGAAUAUUCCGACGCCGUCAGUUAGUUUGGAUGGAUUCUGUUAGGACUUAACGGAAUAUUCUCAGAAUAUUCCUGACGGUGUUAACUGAUGCCGUCAGUGUGCCUGGCAGAUGGCCGCGCUUGGGGGGGUUUGACCGUGCCAUUGUCAGCGCAUGGGGGCGCGUGAUGCUUCCAAAAAUUUAUCUAAAAAUUUGGGGAUGAUCCUGAGGUUGUGUAGGUCUCGAUGGUAUAUUCAUAUACCCAAUUUGAGCAAUAUAUGAGAAGUUAUUACCUAUUGUUGGUUAUGUGCGUCAAAUAACGUUUAUUCGAUUAUUACGCCUAUAGGUGAGGCCUAUUCUUGGGACGAGCGUAAUCAAUCGAGGCUCGGGGGCUACGACCCAUUGACAUCUCAGUGAGUGGGCAGUUAUUUUCAGUAUAUAUAUAUACUUGACGUUUUCCCCAGAAAACGUAUUUAUAGGAAAUGCAAUUCAAAUGCCAUGCAUAUACAAUUAUGUUUCGUGCAUGAAUUGAUGUGUGAUACCUUAUAUAUAUAAAUGUGGUGCUGUGGAGGCACAUGUAAGUUCAGGUAAGUUGUGUUUGGUUAUGUAAAUCAUCGAUGAUGUGAUAUAUGAUUGAGAAGCAAUAUCUCAUAAACUUGCACUCAGGGUGAUUGCAAUUUAGCCAGAGAGAGCUGGCACAUGCCUGUAUAUUAUGUCACCUCCCGCACCAUAUGCUCACAUUGGAUCCAAUUAGGUGCACAGUCUUGUCGUACAGACCACUAUAAGUGGUUCCGACUCGUAGGUGACUAACGUAUUAUCGCACAGCUAGCAUUGAGAGAGUGGAAUUGAGCAUAAUUAUAUUACACCCAACCUUGUCGUACAAACCAUUUUCAGUGGUUCCGACUUAUAUGCAGUAUAUUGUCGUAUAGGUCAUUAUAGUGACUUCGGCUAGAUUGACUAUUGAGCUAUAAACUCAGCCGUACAUACCACAUCAGGGAUUCUGGCUAACAUAUUAUAUUUCUAUGAAAUUAUUCUUACCUGAAUUGUGUACUUUGUUAUAUAUUGGCAUGGCAUGCAUAUGUUUAUGAAUAUGUAUGUAAAGCAUGAAUUGAAUUGAAACGAUAUAUUUAUAUGCUUAUUUAUGUAUUCUAAUUUCUGGGAAAAAUAAUCAUAUACUUGUUUUACGGCGAGGGGUUAGUAUAUUCCAAGGAAAAUAAGGUUUUCGUAUAAAUGUGUUUUACUGACCCACUCAACUUUGUUUUUCGCCCCUUCAAGUCUUAGAUAGCAGAGUUUGGUGGCCACGAGAACUUCAACGGUGUUCUAACAGAAUCUGUAAAAGUAGGAUUCAUCUUCGGGUGUUGUAUUUUAGUAAUCAUCCUACUCGACUGCAACUAGACGCUCUUAUUGCUUUGAAAGUGUAUUUAUACACUUACACUCUCACUGGCAUCCUUUCUAGAAUGGGAUUGUUAGUUAAUAGGUUUUAAAUUGUUAGUAUUUCUCUUACUCUUUAUCGUUUCCGCCUUGUACUCAUGGCUACGUCACUCUUACGUGACGGCCAGCACGUCUCGACUUUGGUCAGGGUGAGUCAAAAUUCCCGUCCGAUUUAGAACAUGUGACUUAAAACAUGAAAGGAAUAGAAGCAAAAAAAAAAUAUUUUCUUAAAAAAUAACCAGAGAACUUUCAACAAAAAAAAUAUAAAAGUUGUAUGUGUUUGCUACUAAUGUUAGUUCUUCUUCCACUACUAAUGUCCAAUACAACAAUUCCAAAGUUUAAACAUCUUCUUUAUCAGUCAAGUAACCUCUAAUUGCAUAAUUCAUUUUUCACUAAAUUGGUCUUAAGUUCACAGGGCUAGAAUCCUUCCCCCAAACAUAGCUCAGAGGACUCGCACCCUCCAAAUAAAGUAGACAACAAUACUACAAUUGACAUAAGUUUUUGUGUGGUAGUGAAUUAUUGUCACAUGCGCUCAUGUAAAUACUAAUAUGUAAAUAAAUUACGAGAAGUGAAUUAUAUAUACUUCUUUUUGUUGCAAUCUCUUUUCAUCUUUUUUAUAUGAAUUGAAUUCAGAAGAAUUCAGGAAACAAAGUAGCCCAAAAUGAUCUAUGUUAAAAUUAUUUCUAUAAACUCUAAUACACAUACACAAAAACAUUUGAGUAUUACUUUAGUCAUGGAAUGCUGAUCAAAGUACAAUUAAAUAGUAUCACUUAGAAUUAUAACUCUUGGCUUAUAGUAUGAAAACAAAAUUACAGAACAUUUGUAUAUUGCUUGCAAGCAAUUAGCUUCAGUGGUAAACUCCAGCAACUUGAUUAAGAAAGCAUGUAUAUAGAGCUGCGCAAUUACCAUGUCCACAUAUCCUGAUCAGGAAAUUUCCCAUGCUUGGCUUAGUUGAAAAUAGCAGAUAAGUCAACAGUGUAUUUUAAAGGGAUGUGCUAUCCACACACCUAUUUUUACUUCUCACACACUCCUUGUUAAUUUAUGUCUGUUGAUCUUCUUCAACUCAUCCGAUCCGACGGCCUAAAACCAAAAAGGUGUGGGAGAAGUAAAAAGAGGUGUGUAGAUAUCACACCCCUAUUUUAAAUUACUGUUACUUAAUUAUUUUAAAUUUCAUAAUCAAUAUUAAUUACCCGUGGGUGUGCUUUAAAUUAUGCUUGAUUAAUUAUUUUAAAUUUCGUAAUCAUAGAAAACUAAUAGCUUCUUAUAUACUGUUGUCAAAAUCGUGAGUUCGGCUGUCGGAAAGGUUUUUUAAUUAAGCUGACUAUGAGCUGCAAAUAAGAUGCGUCGACACUGUUUUGCUACAAAUCGGUGUAUUGAGCAAAUAAUACCAGUUACUUCAACAACAAAAAAACAGUUACAACUAAUUAUUUUUUUAUCGUCGCUUGUUAAUUACAAAUAUAGCUCAGGUCCCGUGAUCUCGUAAUAUUUUUAAGAAAAUUUUCAUUUCCUUUGUCAACUAAAAAAAAAGCUCUUUGUUUUUGUUGUUAAAAAACGACUUUCCAAUAUUAUAGAAUUCCCACUUGAUCAAACAAUUGAGAUAAUUAUUCAACAAAAAAAAACAAUUGCGAUAAUUAUAAUCCAUCCAUCUCAACUAUUUGCAGUUUUACUUAAAAAAAAUUAUUCCACAUACAUCUCAGUCAUCCAUUUAUGAUCACAUGACCAAAAGUUCACAUACGUCUCAAUCAACCAUUUAUGUUAAAAUUGUCUAAAAUGGAAAAUUCUCAUAUAUUAAAGUCUUGAAAUUGGAUCCUUAUGAAAGAGUGUCACUUGGGUGUGUAUGCAUAUCUUUAGCUGCAUCUGGCCGCCCACCGGUAUCGGUCAAAUAACAGGUUUUCAAAAUCUUUUUUAUGAUAUUUUUCUACUAGAAUUUGUCUUUAAUUAGUAUUUUGCAUGGAAUAUGUUCGAGAGAGCUCCCAAACUUGACCUCGGCAGGCGUUCACUGUUUAGUAAUACAUAGUUCAUACAAAUUUUCGUACUGAUUAUCUCAACUACAUAUUAAUAAAAUUCUCAUUGUCAACCAAAAAUUAAUGAAAUUGUCAUUCUAAACCUUUAAUUAAAACUGAAUAUAUAUAUAAGAAAUGUGGGCAGUAAUGUAAUUUUACACAACCAAAAUUUUGUUUUUUUUCUUCCAAGCCUAUCCUAUAUGUGAUUCUAACAUAUUUUUUUAUUAAAAAAAUAAAAAAUAAAGCUCUCUCCUCUCUCUCCACAUCCCACGCUCUCUCUCCCUCUCUUCCUCUCUCCUUCCAUUUCAAAUACAAAAAUAAAAAAUUCUCACACACAUUUUGUGCAUGGCCAUAUGCUAAUAUUCCACAGUAUGAUCCAAUACUUUUUGGUAAUUAGGUCAUGAUAAUCAAUUCAAUAACUCCCACCUUAUACCUAUAUAGCGAAAAGUAAUAUAAGGGCCAGAUUCAUGUCACCAUAUUUUUACACAACUUUUGAUACUUGUUUCAUAAGGCUCAUUUUGUAAUGUAUUUCAAGGAUCUAAACUGUCUAUCUUUUAAGUUUUUCUUCAAAUACGAUGUCUACCAAAAAUCACCUAAAUAUGAAAUCUUAUGACCGUUGAAUGUCUUAACGGUUUUAUAUUUGGUUAAUUUUUGCAAGAAUGAUCUAUGAAUAAUUUUCUAAAAAAUAAACAGUUUAGAUCGUUAAAAGUAUUUUAUGUAGUGAAAGCCACAAAACAGUUGUAAAAAAUUGUGUAAAAAAAUAGUGUUACAAAUUUGGCCCAAAUAUAUAUGUUAUAGUUUUUUAUUUUAUAAUGAAUAUCUACUCUUUUAAUUACAUUUUAUUUUCAGUAGUAUCUAAGAAGGGUUGUGUUAUCUACACACUCUUUUUUACUUCUCACACACCCUUAUUAAUUUUUAUCUUUUAAUUUUCUUCAAUUUAUCUAAAGUGAAAAAUAAUGUGUAAAUAGCACACUCUAUCUGAGAAACCAUUAACGAACUGGUCUGUAAUUCUAAAUUUACAAGUUUUUACUCCCAAAAGGAGACAGAGCUUCGUAAUUUUUAAUUUUUUAAGUUUCUGAUUGACUUGGGGUUGCCGUACAUACGGAAUAUGGUGCUUGGUCUCAGCUGAAUAGUCAAUUGAUCGUAUUCAUACACCAACCAACCUUUGCUUUUGAUUGAGUGUUAGUGAAGAAGUCCAAGUCCUGUAAGAUUAAUUUCGAACUACAUUUAUUUAGCCUUCCGGUACUCUGUGCCAUUCAUUUACUUAAUGUAGACGUGCACUUAAUUUCAUGCACGGUUUUUUUUGAAGUUUUUCCUUUUUAUUUCUUUUAUAACAUUAUAUAAGUGUCGGAUUGUCCAAAGAAUAUGACUGUAGACAUCGAAAUUUCGUAAAUAAAUAUUGACUGAUAAAUCAAAGUGUCAACGCUCAUGUAUUACAUAAAUUUUACACGUAGCGUGUGACUCAACGAAAAUUGAAAUAAGUUAGAAAAGUCAUCAAAUAGGACACGUGUCAACACCUGGAAGAAACGACUUAUUUCAUCUGCAAUAUUAUAUUCAAAAUUAGGGCCUUGGAAAUUUCUAUAAAUACAAGCCAAUUUCAUUCAUUUGGGGGAACCAAUUCAUAUUACACCUUGAAGCUCUGAAGCUCUGAAACUCCAAAGCUCUCAAGCAUCCAGGUUCCCGAAGAAUCAAGAAAGCCUUCUUCGUUCUUCAUUCAUCGUUCUUCCAAGAUCAAGCCCCAACGGCCAUUUGGAUCAACAAUCAUCCACCAAUUCAAGAUCAAGCCCCGACGGCCCUUGAAGAAAGCACCAUCGUUCAUCAUCCGUUCAUUCAAGAUCAAGCCCCGACGACCCUUGAAGAAAGCACCAUCGUUCAUCAUCCGUUCAUCCAAGAUCAAGCCCAACGGCCCUUUGGAUCAACAACGUCGGCGAAUCCACACACAUCCAACCGUUCUUCAAGAUCAAGCCCAAAAGCCCUUGAAGAUCUGUUCAUCACUGUUUCUUCAAGAUCAAGCCCAAAAGCCCUUGAAGAUCCACUCAUCACUGUUAUUCAAGAUCAAGCCUCAAACAGCCCUUGAAGAAACAUUCAUCCUCAAGAUCAAGCCCCCAACGGCUCCUUGAAGAUCCGCUCAAAUCCACCUUCAAAGAUCAAGUCCACGGCCCUUUGAAGAAACUUCCAACAGUUCAUCCAAUAUCAAGCCCCGACGGCCCUUGGAUCAACGAAACAUCCACAAAUCAACACCUUACGGAGAUCGAAUCAGAGGAUCAAAAUAGAGAGAGAUUGUAACCCAAAAUCAUCAAAUACAAAUAUUUGUUUGUGCACGUCGUUUCUUGUCUCUUUCGUUUCAGGAAUUUUCCGUGUUCACAAAUUGGCACGCCCAGUGGGACAAUCUCUACCUCUCAUCUCUUUCUCCGUUCAAGGAAUCCAAACACACCUCAAAGUCAAUGGCAUCAAGUAAGGGACAAGCCGUUCUCGCAACCACUGAGGGAUGGAUCCUGAGCACUUCUGCCGCAAAUGGACAAUCCAUUAGCGCCACAACCGCUCCUCAACAUGCCACUUCAAAGUUGGUGCCGCUAAAAGAGCAAGGGGAGCAUCAAAGGUGUAAGUCUGUCAUCAACCUGACCUCGCUGGGGGCACCGAAGCAUGCUGCUGAGGCACAUAAGAUGACACCCCAAAACAGCCAACAACAUUCUUCGUCAGCAUCAUGGAUGUCUAAAGGAAAGUCACGUUUAUUGGUUGCACAAGUCAUGACCAUCGGCGUUACCUCCAUCGAAGAACAACUGGCUCAAAUGAAUGAAGCGAUCGCAAGGCUAACCCGAACUGUGGAAGAAAAAGACUUGCAAAUUGCAGCACUCGUUAAUCGACUAGAGGCGCAGGACGGCGAUAAACCCGACCCAAAGAAUGAUCCACUAAAGAGAAGAGAUGACGAAGAAGAGGAGCCUCAGGUGGAGAAAAACGAUGCGAACCUGGAGCCAGACCAAGCAGCGGCAUUCAUGGGAUCUCUUUCUAUCCAGCAGCUGCAGAAGAUGAUCACCAACACCAUCAAGGCACAGUACGAAGGGAGCUCACAUACCUCUUUGUUCUACUCGAAGCCCUACUCCAAGAAGAUCGACGCCUUAAGGAUGCCGAUGGGCUAUCAACCGCCGAAGUUUAUGCAAUUUGACGGAAAGGGAAACCCGAAGCAACAUGUCGCACAUUUCGUGGAAACCUGCAACAAUGCAGGGACGGAGGGAGAUUACCUCGCCAAGCAGUUUGUGCGCUCGUUAAAAGGAAACGCCUUUGAGUGGUACACGGACCUGGAGCCCGAGUCCAUCAACAGCUGGGAGCAGUUAGAGCGAGAAUUCCUCAACCGCUUCUAUAGCACCCGCCGCACUGUGAGCAUGUUAGAGCUAACGAGCACAAAGCAGUGGAAGGACGAGCCAGUCAUUGACUACAUCAACAGAUGGCGCACUCUAAGCCUCGACUGUAAAGACAGGCUUUCGGAAACCUCUUCAAUCGAGAUGUGCAUCCAAGGCAUGCAAUGGGGUUUGCAAUACAUCCUUCAAGGCAUUAAACCACAGACCUUCGAGGAAUUGGCCACUCGCGCCCAUGACAUGGAGUUGAGCAUCGCCCAUCAUGGGAAGAAAGAACCGAUCGCCGACUACAAGGACGACAAAGUUCUUAGGACAAAAGUGGAAAAGGCUGCAUGGAAACCCACCAAGGAAGCGAUGACGGUCAACACAGCUCCCGUCAAAAUCUCCACACGAGGCAAGGCGAUUCAAGCCGAAGGCUUUCGUGAUCAAGAGAUGCGUAGACGCACUUUGAAAGAGCUUGAGGAGAAAACUUAUCCAUUCCCCGACUCUGAUGUGGUUGCCAUGUUAGAAGACUUGCUGGAAAAGAAGGUGAUCGGCUUGCCUGAGUGCAGACGGCCGGAAGAGAUGAAUCGUACCGACAGUCCAAGAUACUGUAAAUUCCACCGCUUCAUCAGUCAUCCGACAGAAAAAUGCUUCGUGCUGAAAGAUCUCAUCAUGAAGCUGGCUCAGAAAGGAAUCAUCGAGCUAGAUCUUGACGAUGUGGUGAAGUCAAACUAUACCACUUUCACUUCUGGCUCUUCCGACUCAAAGUUUUCACCUCAACCGCUAGGGGCAUCCUCCAAGACAAACAAAGUUGAAGGAUGGACUCAAGUCACUCAUAAGAAAUUGCACAAGAAGCAUAUGUCUCAUCCACAAGUCCGCCAAUCGGAAAGGGGGCAAAACAGCUCUUGUCAACCUUCAAAGCAACGUGAACGUGUUGAAGAUGAUGAAAUUUCGACAUAUAGAUCAUCCAUCCCCAUCACGAUGCGUGAUUUCUUGCCCGAAGACUUCUUCAAACACGCGGUCAAAGCUCCUUGCUAUGAAAAUUGUGAGGAACGCCUCUCCCGGAUUGCUUGACAAAAUUCACAAAUUCUCCUCGCCCGCACGAGUCUAAAAUGCAUGGCACAAAGCUCCUGGUCUGCACGAGCAUAAAAGGCAACACCAAUGCUCCUUGUUCGCACGAGCCUAAACUGCACGAACCAAAGCUCCUUGCCCGUACGAGUCUAAAAUGCAUGGCACAAAGCUCCUGGUCUGCACGAGCAUAAAAGGCAACACCAAUGCUCCUUGUUCGCACGAGCCUAAACUGCACGAACCAAAGCUCCUUGCCCGUACGAGUCUAAACUGCAUGGCACAAAGCUCCUGGUCUGCACGAGCAUAAAAGGCAACACCAAUGCUCCUUGUUCGCACGAGCCUAAACUGCACGAACCAAAGCUCAUUGCCCGUACGAGUCUAAACUGCAUGGCACAACGCUCCUGAUCCGCACGAGCAUAAAAGGCGACACCAAAUGCUCCUUGUCUGCACGAGUUGAAACUGCAAACGACACCAACACUCAUUGCCUGCAUGAGUUAAAACUGCAAACGGCACCAAAAGAAAAUACAAAAAAAAAAAUGUAUUUGAACUACGUUUUGACUUGAUCUCUUUCUUUGGAAGGGUACGUAGGCAGCUUGAAUAUUCAAUUUCAAGUUCAGUCACAUCAAAAUCAAAAGAAUAAAUGUUUUAUUAAAGAAGGUCAAUUUCAUUACAAAUUUAUUUUGUUAAGAAAAUUUGCAAUUUUCUUUGUACAAAAUUAAAUUACAGUUUCUUCGAGAAAAAAAAAAUUGAAUACAUAUGUUAUUACGUAUUUAGAAAAGAAAAGAAAGAAAAAAAAAUAUACAUAUGUUAUUAUGUAUUUAAAAAAAAAAAAAAAGGGAAACAUAUAUAUAUAUGUCUCGGCCCAACACCAAGCUCCACCAGCAACAAAACGCAUCAGCCCAGGCCCAGCUCUCUCAGUCCAUACCUCAUCCCCCCAGGCCCAGCUCUCUCAUACUCAAUCCGGGAUUCAGGUUAUCUGUUUUCCCAAAAUCGCGCCGCAGUCCUCCCUCCUCCUUCACGAGGACGCCUUUAUCACCAUACCCAAACACCCACCUUUCUUCACCAUGAUGCAGCAACCAUCAGGAGGAUUGGUACCACAACAGAUUUCGUCCGAUCCGCAGCAGCAGCCGCCGCAGCAGUGAAUGAUGAGCUCGCCGAGAAGCAGCGACAGCAGAUUCAGCAGAAGCGCAGGAGACCCAGUCUGCGCUUGAGACGCUGAUGAAUGGCGACUGGGUGAUGACUGGAGAACCGGAGCAGAUGCCUACCUCGUCAAUUCAGAAGGCAUGUUGCCACUUCCCAUUACAGCUGACAUGUCAACUCGAUCGGCGAAUGGGUGACCAAAUGCUAACCAAUCCUUUGCCGCUCGACCCAACCAGUCCGAACCCAUCAAGCCACACUCUCCACUCUUCUUUCUCAAAAGCAAAGGAUCCAACUCUCACUUCAACUACGACAAGUCGUCGUCCGGUGCUGCUGCGACGUCGUUUAACUGAUAUGCAUCCAGAACCCAGCAAAAAGGACUCCUAUCUGCUAAAAGUUUGAAGCUUUCGGCUUCAAUUUGAGGAACCCAGCAAGAAAUGGCGCUGAAUUUUCCGACUUCCUGUCCGAUUUUCUCGCCACUAUUGAACCCGAAAUCCCUCAUCACCCACAACUGCUUCAGUCGCUCUGCCAUAUCCCGCAGCACCGCGAAGCCGCUCGUCGACCCAAGAGACGACGGCCUCCGAUUUAAGUACUGCUCCACUAGCUCUGAACUCCCACGUCCAUGGUGGACCCAGCCGACGUCUCGGCGGUGCUCGAGUUCCUGAGGAAAAAACGGGUUUCCGAAGGCCGAAUCGGCUCUCAAAGAGGAUAUGAUUGAAAAGGGCGAUCUGGGUUCUUUCGAUUACGAGAAAUUCAUGUUUCCGAUGGUUCCUCGACUGCCGCCGGUCAGAAUUCUAGCCAGCUUCCGGCGGCCGGAGGUUCAGGGCGGCGGAGAAGCCUCGGGGUCGAGCUCGGCGGUGGACGACGAGUUUUUGAGCGCGGGAUCUUCUACUUCUAACAAGUGCUCUUCAGAAUUCACAAACUCGUAUGGAGUUCGAUCUACAUCUCCAAGCGGUUCCCAAGCUUCAUCCGAUAAGUUCUCUCAGUUUGGCACGGCACGCGAUUACCACGAUUUCGAUAUGCAGAAUGACCUUUUCUGGCAUGAUGAGAAAGAUGAUGGAGACUUCAUGACUCUUUGCUUUGAAGGGCCGGACUUCUUCGCCUGUCCCACGGAGGAUAAGUUCAUCAUGACUUCAGAUACAGACAAAGGGAACGAGAAAAUGCUGGAUCUGAAUCAUAAAUCCGAAGCAUUUCAACCAGAAAUAAGCCUCGAUUGCCUGGACAAGAGUUGUCUUACCAAUGUUUCUCCGGUGGAUGAUACAAGAAAGGAUUAUGCGACGAAUUAUAAGAAACAAAUCAGCUAGAAGAAGGCUUUGAAGAAUAUUGCGCAAAAUGCUGCUAUUUCCAGGUCUUUACAAGAGCGUUCAAAUAUGCUAUUCAAGAUAAGCGAAGAGAAGUCACAAGCUGAGGCGGAAACUGAGCACCUUCUUGCUGAAAAGCAAUGAGCGUUUGGAAGCUGAGACUGAAUUCAAGACAAAACAGGACAGGGAGUUGGCAGAUGCAGCGGAGAAGCUUGCCGAGUGUCAAGAAACCAUAUUUCUUCUUGGCAAGCAGUUGAAAGCAUUGCACCCUCAAACAGAGGUCAUGGGCUCUCUGUACAGUGAGAGGAGUCAACGGUUCACAGAGGAUGAACCCACUUCCAGUUCCAUGAACUUGCAAGACUCAGAAAAAAGGUGCGAUGGAAGGCACUUCUUCUGCCAAUGUAAACAGGGCGGGCAGCGAAUCUCCCAUCAACCUCUCCCCCAUCACUCUGCAUCUGCAUGCCCAUCGUCAGACGCAGAGGCAGCAACAAUCUUAAAAAUCACCAUCCAGUUCAGUUUCCUCAACAAGAGUCCGAAACACAGGCCUUCAAAGUCAACUUCCUCAUCUACGUCUUCUACCCCAACAGACAAGAAAGAUUUUGGGGACUUGCUCGUUAUGCUGCCAUUUCUCGGGACAACGGUCUUGUACCCGUUGUGGAUCCUGAAACUCUUCUCGACGGGGACCACCCAAUCGAAGGGACACUUGAAGUUGCAGAGAAGUACCAUGCAAUCAAAUGUGAGAAAGCUAUCAUUAAUAAUUAUUGUAUGAUGCUUGUGAAGAAUCCGACACGCUCCCGCAAUCUGGAAGUCGUACGACGAGACGCCAUGUUCAUAAAGAGGCGUUGUUUCCUCAGCCCUCGCCUUCCUCCUGCCCGCUUCCCCGAUCUGCGAACACCACCGUCGCUACACCACAACUGGCUUCCAUGCUCCGCUCAGGUGGAGGGUCUUGGGUUCGAAGGUUGAUGUGCUUCUCCUGCUUAGUAACAUUUGAUUCUGUCUCGACAGCAUCAGCAACAUCAGCACCAGCAGCGUGAUUCUCGACUCCGAGCUCGGCAGCAGCGGCGAGGACGGCGGCGUUGUUGUCCUGAAAUGUGGAAACGGCAGCGUCAGGGUUCCAGUUGUGGGAUUCAACGAAGAAGAGGGCUUCUUGCUUCAAAGCAAAUAUGAUAUCGCAGGAGGAGCUGACGACGACAUCGUUUUGGGAAUUAGAUUCUUGAGCUUCGACUUCCAUGACGAUUAGGAUUGUUCAGUGCUCUCCGUCCAUGCUUUUCAUUGUUCUCUUCCUCUUCUACUAUUGUUGUAUGAUGAUGUUGUUGAGCCUGGAAGUUGCUGGCGAUGAACAAGGCCUUGAAGAGGAAAAGAUUGCUCCGGCGAUGAAGUUGUAACUCAGGUCGAGCGUUCUCAGGUUGCUUAACCGUCCCCUCCUUCUUCCUUCUCCUCCGUCUCUUGCCUCGCAGCUGCCACCAACUUCAAAGACCGCUGUCAAACGACUAGCCGGCCGAGAAGCUCUUCCUUAAACUCCAGCUCUCCGUCCGUCUUCGUCCUUCCCUACAAAUCCCUCCGCCAAGCAUCCUAAUUUAUACAGAAAGAAAUACAAUUAAAAAAAAAAAAAAAAAAAAAAAAAAAAAGAGGUGGUGGUGCAUCUGGCACCACGUGAAAAAAGAGGAAUGGUGGAUCAAAGAUGGGGUACAGCCCCAUGGCAGAUCAAAAGUUUCUGGUGGUGCAUGGGCACCAUGUGCGGAAAGAAAAAAAAAAUUGUAAAAAAAUAAAAAAAUAAAUAAUAAAAAAAUGAUGGAACUUGGUGCAUCCAGCACCAAAGGAAAAAGAAAAAAACAAAAAAAAAAUAAAAAACAAAUGCAUAGAGAGAAAUAGAAGGUCCAUUUUAUUUAUUUUUCUGGAAAUUUUACAUAAAUUUGCAUUAUACAUAAAUUAAAAAAAAAAAAUCAAAUCAAAUCAAAUUUACAAGAGGGGAUAUUCAAGGACGAUCAGGUGGCGCUUCACAACUCGGCAGAGCUCCAGGAAGAGAAGGCGUCGGAGGUUGGCUGUUUGAAGCCUCAGCAGUCGGUACAGCCCCAGAAGACGAAGGUAAAUGCUGCUGGAACAAACUCACAAACCUCCGAUGAUCAAGUAAAAUCUGACCAUCAGAUUCCUGCAUCUGGUCAAUUUUCCUCUUCAUGUUUGUGGCAUAGUUGUGUGCAAGCUUGUGCAACUGUUUAUUCUCAUGCUUGAGCCCUCUGAUCUCCUGUUUGAGACUCAUCACUUCAGCCGCCAACGAUUCAACUUGACGGGUUCGAGCAAAUAGGCGUUGGGCCAUGUUGGACACAGAACCUGCACACUGUACACUGAGAGCCAGAGAAUCCUUAACAGCCAACUCAUCAGACCGUUUGGAAAGUAGUCUGUUAUCUCUGGGAGUGACAAGGUUUCGGGCCACCACCGCAGCGGUCAUAUCAUUCUUCACCACCGAAUCCCCAACGGUAAGAGGACCAGUAAGGGAUAUGAAGGAUGGGCGCCAUAUGUUGUCUGGAGAAGGCGGGACUGCCUCUUCACCAAGAUUCAAGUCAAAACGACGGUCAGAGGGUCCAGACAUUUUCAAAGUGUUGAAGGAAGAAGAGAUCGGACAAAUCAAGAUCUUAGAAGUACAAGAGGGGAGUUUUCACAUGCGAAAAUUCAAGUGUGCUUUGAAACGAACUGCAUGCCUCUAUAAAAAAAUCAGCACUCGACGGGAUUUCAGAGAUCGAAGAGGCGAGCUCAGAAUUCGAAAAGGCCAUUCAAAAAUCGAAGAGGCAAGCUCGGAAAUCAGAAAAGCAUCUUGCUUUUCCAGACGCGUCGACACCCAUCACACGCAAACUCAGCUUUGCGGAAAUCACGGGUAAUUUGUCGAAGCGCUGAUCCCAGAUAUCGAAGAGGCGCCAGUCUUUUUCAGCCGCGUCAUCACCUGUCAUAUGCACACUCAACUUUGCGCAAAUCACAGACAAUUUGUUGAAGAUUUUUGGGUGAAGGAAAAAGCACGUGAAGUUUACUGUUCAAUCAUCCAACGGUUGCCGACACGAGUGAAAGAAUAGUACCUCUACAGGUAUUAAGGGACCUCCUAUAACUGUCCACCUUCACCUUCCAUAGCAAGGCAGACAUACAGAGCCUUUCUUCAUCUCCAAAAAAUGCUUUCCCAACGAAACCUCUCGAGUCAUUCAGUGUUCCUUAUUCCUUGGGGUACCUCUGCAAGCCAAUAGCUCCAAAGCAAAAGUAUCUCAUAUCACCAGGGUAGAAAGCAAGAGUAUCUCAUAUCAUGCGUUCUCCCUGUCUUUUCCUUUGUCCUUGUUCUUACCUACAAAGACAAGGAUAAAGAAAACAAUAUGUCGGAACCUCCACUCAAACGCGGGUAAGGAAUCGACUGCUUGGAACCCUUCCCUGAUUGCCUACCUAGCACUGCUCUCGAGUACUCGUCUCCCACUGCUGCUGUACUUCCAAAGAAGCUACCACAUCUACCUGAAGAAUAGAUAAGGCAAGUGAAAAUGAUACUUUGCAGCAUGUGGAGACAAGGUGCAAAAGGAACAAGCAGAGAAGAAUGCAGUCUGCACAGUCAACUCAGCAGAAGGAGUCCGAGCUGAAGAACUCAAGAAGCUGCCAUAUCUGCCUGAAGAAACAAGCAGAGAAGAAUGCAGCAUGCUCAGUCAACUCGGCAGAAAGAGUCUGAGAUGAAGAACUCGUUUUGACCCUCAAAUUCUUGGGUCGACUUACUAGGCGUUGUGGGCUGCACGUGCCGAUUCACCACCCUUGAAUCAAAUCCUUAAAGAUCAAGUCACCAACUGGAAUAAGAGUUCAUCAAUCUUGAAGAUCAUACCGUUGACCAAACUGCUCAGGUGUGAAUUAGAAAGAUUGAACAGAGCAACAAGUCGUCACUUUCACCUCGUGCCUGCUUGUCAUGUGUUCGAGUCAACCUUCAAGAAUCAAGCCUCAACGGCCCUUGAAGAAGCUUUCAGCCAAAUUCGAAAUCAAGCCUCGACGGCCCUGGAAGAAAUCACAAGUCUGAUUCAAGAUCAAGUGUCUACCACCCUUGAAUCAAAACCUAGUUCAAGAAUAAGCUGUGGAAAAUCAACAAUUGGAGGAAUCCAGAAAAUCCUCCAACCCAGUUCAAGAUCAAAGCUGUGGAAAGUCAACAAGCGCAACAAAAUACGUGCCGAUUCAUCCACUACCAAAGCCAAAAAUCAUCUACCACAUGAAGCUCCUUGUGGCCCAAUUUCAACCUUCAAGAUCAAGCCUCGACGAUCCUUGAAGAAAUUUCAAACAAAAGUUCAAGAACAAGCCUCAACGGCCCUUGAAGAAAUCUCAAGCCCAAUUCAAGAUCAAGCCUCAACGACCCUUGAAGAAAUCUCCAGCCCAAUUCAAGAUCAAGCCUCGACGGCCCUUGGAUCGACAUCUACAAUAAAGGACUUCAAAACGCAUCUCCUACACGUGACAAGCACAUGUAUACGACGUGCCUUGAAGUGGGGGCAUUUGUAGACAUCGAAAUUUCGUAAAUAAAUAUUGACUGAUAAAUCAAAGUGUCAACGCUCAUGUAUUACAUAAAUUUUACACGUAGCGUGUGACUCAACGAAAAUUGAAAUAAGUUAGAAAAGUCAUCAAAUAGGACACGUGUCAACACCUGGAAGAAACGACUUAUUUCAUCUGCAAUAUUAUAUUCAAAAUUAGGGCCUUGGAAAUUUCUAUAAAUACAAGCCAAUUUCAUUCAUUUGGGGGAACCAAUUCAUAUUACACCUUGAAGCUCUGAAGCUCUGAAACUCCAAAGCUCUCAAGCAUCCAGGUUCCCGAAGAAUCAAGAAAGCCUUCUUCGUUCUUCAUUCAUCGUUCUUCCAAGAUCAAGCCCCAACGGCCAUUUGGAUCAACAAUCAUCCACCAAUUCAAGAUCAAGCCCCGACGGCCCUUGAAGAAAGCACCAUCGUUCAUCAUCCGUUCAUUCAAGAUCAAGCCCCGACGACCCUUGAAGAAAGCACCAUCGUUCAUCAUCCGUUCAUCCAAGAUCAAGCCCAACGGCCCUUUGGAUCAACAACGUCGGCGAAUCCACACACAUCCAACCGUUCUUCAAGAUCAAGCCCAAAAGCCCUUGAAGAUCUGUUCAUCACUGUUUCUUCAAGAUCAAGCCCAAAAGCCCUUGAAGAUCCACUCAUCACUGUUAUUCAAGAUCAAGCCUCAAACGGCCCUUGAAGAAACAUUCAUCCUCAAGAUCAAGCCCCCAACGGCUCCUUGAAGAUCCGCUCAAAUCCACCUUCAAAGAUCAAGUCCACGGCCCUUUGAAGAAACUUCCAACAGUUCAUCCAAUAUCAAGCCCCAACGGCCCUUGGAUCAACGAAACAUCCACAAAUCAACACCUUACGGAGAUCGAAUCAGAGGAUCAAAAUAGAGAGAGAUUGUAACCCAAAAUCAUCAAAUACAAAUAUUUGUUUGUGCACGUCGUUUCUUGUCUCUUUCGUUUCAGGAAUUUUCCGUGUUCACAAUGACUUUUUUCUUUAAUUUAUUGUGUUGCAAGUUUAAACACUCCGAUCUUUGUAGUUAAACUUAGAUUAUUAAUAAUAAGAUUGAUUGUAAUAAAAAUAUAUAUAUUCUCAAAAUGGAAAAAGGGUUAUUUUUUACGAAAACUAAUGAAAAUAGUUUGAAAACUUUAAAUUUUAACGAUAAGGACAAAAUAAAAGGGAAAAUAAAUAGUACCAAUAUUGACUUUUUAGUGUAAAAAUGUGGUUUUUCGUUAAAGUGAACAGUACCAUGAACUUUUCGUUAAAGUUCCAUUUUUUUUCGUUUUCAGAUGGUGUUGGACACAAUUUAUUUCUUAGAAACUUGACAUGAACAGCACUGUUAAGCAAAUAGAUAAAUUUGAGACACAAAUAUGGAUUUCUUUUCUAAUAAGUUCUUCCUUUAGACAUUCUACAUAAUUAACAUUUAAAUAGGUGGCCAAAUUAUAUCCUAAAGAUAUUGAUUGUAUUAAAUAUAUGUAAAUAUUGUAGUCAAAUUCAUAUUUUUAUCACAGAUGAUCCCUGAAAUUGAUAAACGUAUCAAAAUGAUAUAUGAAAUUGAAAAUUGAUUAAUGUUAUCUAUAAAUAUGGAGAUUGUUGUUGGUGGCGGAGUUCAAAGAAGGAGAAGAUGAGGAUUUUUAGUUUGUUGUUUUUCUUCUUUUUACCUUUUUAAAUUUUGAAACGCUUUAUUUAAUCCAUGUGUCAUCGUAUUAUUGGAGUGCAGAGUCUUAUGUGUGUCACAUCAGCACAUAAUAUAUUUUUUUUAAUAGAAUUCAGACAGAAGACAACAUUGAUUUGCAACACUCAUAUUCAGGGACCACUUAUAAUAAAAUUCUAUAUAAUAUAAUAACUUAAGUUCAACAAGUCACUACCCGCGAAACCAGUCUUUUUAACAUGUUACUAAGGAGUCUAUCCAUUGUCAAACAAUAAGAUAAUUAUAUUAAAUUUAACUAAAUUACGGCAAACGGAAUUCAAACUUUGUGUAGGAUAAAACACAAUGACAUAACUAGCAUGGCUAAACUCAAAUUAUGUAAAUGUAUCUUUAAUUAUAUAAAUAAUUAAAUAAAAAUAAAUAGAGUAAGUGGUUGGGAAUAAUAUAUUUGUUUCGGAAAACUAAUGAAAAUGACUUGAAAAUUUUGAGUUUUAACGAUAAGGACAAAAUAAAGGGUAAAGUAAAUAGUACCAUAAUCGACUUUUUAGUGUAAAAAUGUGAUUUUUCGUUAAAGUGAACAGUACCGGAAGUUUUUCGUUAAAGUUCCCUAUUUUUUUUCCUUUCUUGUUUGGUCUUUGGUUUUAAGGGCAAGUAAGGUAACACAAGUCAUUGACUUCUGUUUGUGUCCUUCGAGGUCCACUGCUUCCCUUCGAAUAAAAAGCUGUAAUUCAGACUCAUUCUCCUCACAAAUCUUUCUUUCUUUCUUCGCCACUCUCACAAAUUUUCAUACAUACAAUCCAACAAAUUCCAAAACCUCUCAACAUAUUCCAUCCAGCUAGCUGCACAAACUGAUCCUUUUGUCCCUGGUUUUCUCUUCAAAUGUGAAAGACCUUGCCUAGAAAAAUGAUGAAUAUGUUCUUCCCUCGAUUUCUUCCUCAUUCUCUUUUCUUUGUAGCUUGCUUUGUAACUUUUGCCUUUGGAGCUACUCGAUUGCCAAAUGAUGAAGGUACGAGUAAUUCACCUCAAUAUCUUUGUGUAAUAUCUUCCUUAGUUUCCUUUGUUUCAUUCUAUAAAUGAUGGUUUUAAGUUUGUUUGAUAAUCUUUUAGUUUUUUAAAAAUUUGGUUUGGGUUGAUUUUGGUUUUCAGUUUACAUUUUUUCCGAGAAGUGAAAACAGUUACCAAUGAACUAAUAAUUAAAAAAUUAAAAAUUAAAAUAGUUAUCAAUCAUAUGAUGCUGCGGUGCACUCUGUAGUUCUUGUCUAUGCAUCAAUUUUUUUUUUUACUAUUUUGUUGAGCACGAUGUUAAUUUGUUGCCUUUUAUUUUGCGUAUAUAUAGUGCACACUUUGAAAGACAUAGCAAAGACACUGGGGAAGACGGGCUGGAAUUUCAGUGGAGACGCAGAUCCAUGCAGCGGCCAACUUCCAUGGACUGAUCCAAAAGCAACCAAAGAAUCUGCGAAUGCCAUCAACUGUACUUGCUCCUCCACUGUCUGCCAUAUUACCGGAAUGUAAACCUCUCUCUCUCUCUCUCUCUCUCUCUCAAAAACAAACAUUUCGGAUUCAGAACAUGAGUUGGUAUACCACGUGUCAUUAUAUAAAUGAUGAGUUAUUUGUGUUAAAAAAUUAAUACAAUUUGAAAAAUAAAACUUUCCUCCACUCAUAUAAUGACACGCGGUCUACGAUCCGAACACAAUUUUUCCACAUCUCACAAGCUGAUACCAAAUAAUCUUAUCGGCUUUUUGUGAUGUAAAUUGAUGUGCAUUUAUUGGUGCCACCCUCAACAAAGGUUUUUCCGGAACAUUAUUAGAUCGUUGGGGAUAUUUACUUCGAUUAAAAUUAAGAAAUUAAAAUACUACUUGUUUUUUAAUUAACGGGGAGACAAAUUUGAAUUUUUUUUUUGGCAAAAAACAAAUUUGAAUUUGGUACAUCUUUUAAAUCUAAUAAGAGAAGUACCAUUAGACUGUCAACUAGUUAGUAAAAUGCUACUGCUUCUAAAUUUUUUUGUUGGGACGUUUUGAUGUAGUUGCCUUAUUUUUUAAUGGGAACUUUAACGAAAAGCACCCGGUACUGUUUACUUUAACGAAAAACCACAUUUUUACACUAAAAAGUCAAUCCUGGUACUAUUCACUUUACCCUUUAUUUUGUCCUUAUCAUUAAAACUCAAAGUUUUCAAGCCCUUUUCAUUAGUUUUUCUUUUUUUAAUUUCGUUGAGUAAACAUUGGUUCCUUUUAAGAAUUUGAUUAAACAUUUUUUAGAGGUACCUUUGAUAUUGGUGCAUUUGAUUUUAUGGUACAUUUAGAAUCUAAAUGUCCCAAAAGUUAGUACCUUUUUUUUAAAUAUACCAUAACUUUUAAAUACAUUUUUUAAUAAAAUUAAUGAAGUUUUUUAUUUUUUAUAUUUUAUUAUUUUUUUUAUAAAUAAAAGUAUUAAUGACUUUGUUUUUUUUUAUGAAAGAAGAGACUAAUUAAAUAUAAUAACAGAUAUAAAAAGUUAUUUUUCAAUGAUAUUGAUGAAUUACUUAAAUUAAUGUUUUUAAUAAAGCCAUGAAUUUGAAUCACAUUAUUGCUACUUCAUUAUGAGACUUAGCGCACUCCUCCGUCCCUAUCAGUUGUUAAAAAUAAAAAAAGUUAAAAAAUAAUGCCGUGAAUUUAAAAUUCCUAGAUUGUAGGAAAUUAGUUGUUAGCUAAUUUAAGUGAAUAUAUAUAUAUAUAUAUAUAUAUAUAUAUAUAUAUUAAAUGAAUAAAUAAAAUGCUAAGUUGGUAAUUGAUGAAAGCAUCUUCAUCAAAUUUUGUAAAAGAACAUAUGUUUAAUCUAAAAAAGUUGGAAAAAAUGCAAGAGAUUCUAAUUACUCCUUUUUCUGUUUCACCAUAGAGAACAUAUCGUUAAUAUAUAUAUAUAUAUAUAUAUAUAUAUAUAUAAUUAGUAUAUAUAUAUGGAAGUGUUAUUAGCACUUCAAAAAUUUCAUUCUACACUCAUUCUACUAAUUAAUAAAACACUCAUUGUCAACCAAAACUCUAUGAAAUUACUAGUUUAACCCUCUAAUUAAAAUAGAACAUGAAUAAGAAAUAUGGGGUAGAAAUGUAAUUUCACAACUGUCAACCAAAACCAUAUGAAAUUACCAGUUUAACUCUCUAAUUAAAACAAAACAUGAAUAAGAAAUAUGGGGCAGAAAUGUAAUUUCACACAACCAAAUUUUGUUUUUUUUUUCAAAGCCUCACCUACAUGUAAUUCUAACAUAUCUCUAAUUUAAAAAAAAAAAAAAAAAACUUCUGACAUUCUCUAUCACUCCCUUCCUCUCUCCUUCUAUUAAAAAAAAAAAAAAUUUCUCACACACUUUGUGUGUGCCCAUAUGCUAGUGUGUGUGUAUAUAUAUAGAUAUGAAUAGUUUUAUGUUUGUAUAGUUCUUUUGUUUGAGACACGUUGUGAAUAUAGAAUGUUACUUUACAGCGAAAAGAGUUGGAAAUAAGUUGUUAAUAAUAGAUUACCGAGAGAAAUAAGUGAUUCUUUGUCAUAAUAUGCAUAUGAGAUUAUUGCGUUAAUAAACACCAAUUUAAGUACUUAAUGUGUCACUUAGUUUUUUUUUUACUUGUAAGUGAGAGGUUUUAGGUUCGAUUCUGGCCAAAGGCGUAUUUGAACCAUAUAAUUACUAACUCAUUAUGAGGUUUAGACAACUCUCUCAUGCCUUAGUGUAGAUAAUCGUUUAUUAAAAAAAAAAAAACUUAAUGUGAUAAAGAGAACAUAAGUUGGAAAAUAAACGUUGGGUUAUAUAGAAUUGUCAUUGAUUAACUUAUUUCUUAAGCCAUUAAAAAUUGCUCAUUAAAUUUUUCUUUCCUGGAUAAAUAGUUUGCUCGUUGUGUUUUGAACGAGCUCCAUCUCAUGAUAUAUAGAACUAUUAAGAGAAAAAGAAAGAAAAAGUUGAGAAAAUAAAGAAAAAGCAACGUACAGAUUAGGCGCCUUUUGUUGUGAAAAAGGUUGAGAAGGAUAAGAUCAAAGUUUUUCAGUCUUUGUCAUAAGAAUAAACACUAAAAGAAAAAACAAGAAAGGUCUAUGUCCACGUACCAUCCAGUGACAUUGUAUAAUAUCCACAUGAAGACUUUUUAGGUCAAUGAAUCUUAAUGAGCAGAAAAUUUUGUAAUUGUUCAUUAUUCAAGCAAAUAAUUUAAGUGUUAUAAAAUAGGUGAGGGAAUACGAAAAAAAAAUAUCAUUUUCUCCAUGUGUAAUAUGAUAUUUGGUGUACCACUUGAAAAAAUCUCUUCUCAAUCAGCGUUGUCUCCUACAAAGAAAAUUAACUAUGCAUGUAAGAGAGGAAAAUAACUUAUAUUGAACAAUUUUUUUUAUUUAUUAAACAAAGCUUCAUAUAAACAGAGCUUUAUAAAAUUUACGUUGAAUCAUAUAUUAAUACGUGUAAAUUUUUCUUAGCGUGAUAUAUAUUAUUAUAUUAAAAAUAUUGAAAAAAAAAAUUCGUUCCAUCUAAACUGCUCACAAAUGUGCGAGGAGAAAUGUUGAUUAGAAGGUUGGAAUUCGGUUUUGUGGACCCCACGUCUAUUUGCUAUAAGUAUCAAUCAAUUUUUCACUAAAUGUCCCCAAACCUAACCCUAUGCCCAUGAAACCUCCAAAAUAAAGUAGGAAUUAUAAGGCCUAGUGUGGGCACCAUCGAGUUGUCUAUUGGCAACUUGGCACGUUGUAUUCACUCAUUCAACCUUACGUCGGGCAAGGUAGCUAGGCCAAUUAAUUCCAAUUGGAUUUGAGGGAUGUUAGUUUAAUAGCACAGUCGAGCUCGUUUCUUUCUUAGGGAUUUUCUCACACCCCGACCCUAGCUUCAAAGGGAUUUUUUUAGUGCGUUGAGAAUAUGGUUCGGUACAUCAAGUAUCAUAAUACAAAUAUUUAGAUACAUGGGAAAAAAUUUCUACCACUUGCAUUAUGACACUUAAUGUACCGAACCUUUUUCCUAACACAAUGAAAAUUUUGCCUGGGUUCGUGGCGUAAAAAUUUGAAGUUCUUAUUCGUGGCAUAAAAAUAAAUUGAAUCAAAUUUCUUAGAACUAUAAACUAUUCUUGACGUGCAAGUCAGGAUUGAAAAUUUCGAUUUCCACCAAUUCAGUUUUUGUUGGAACAAAAUUAUGAUGAAAAUUGGAAUAUAUCUUAAAAUUCUCAAAUGGGCUUCGGCUGCCUAACACUAGAACGGGCUUAGUCGUCUGUACUGUUCGGGUCAGGAAUUUUCGUCGAGGAUGUUUCCUGGCCAACAAGCACACAGCUCCCCGGGAGGUUGGCGCCGGUUGAGGGCUACUGUCGAGCUUCUGCUUCACUGUCGAGCUUUGUCGGGCAAGCUUCGUCGGGCAAGUCUUAUCGGGCAAGACUUGUCGGGCAAGGCUCGUAGGCCUUGAGGCUCACAAUCAAGAUUAACUUUUAGGUGCUCAGGCGUGCCACUGCCAUCUUCAGCAUGGCAGAUGUAAAAUGGAUGUCGAGUUUUAGUUAUAUAUAUGUAUAUACCCGAGAAACCGUGUUAGUUAUAACAGGUGCCUUUGUGGGGCCUUAGGUAUAAGCCUUGAGUCUUCCUAUCAAACCAAACCAGUGCUCGAACAUAUCAUAUUUGUUUUUGUGAGUGCAGGAGUCUUAUAACUAUUAUACUUCUGAUUAACCGAGUCCGAGAGGUAGAAUGAACCCAAAUAGGUGCCUUCGUAGGGCCUUAGGUGUAGGCCUUGAGGCUUCCCAUUAGAAUUCGUUCUUAUACUCAAACGUUCUAGAUCGCAGAACGGAAUGAAUCCAAAUAGGUGCCUUCGUAGGGCCUUAGGUGUAGGCCUUGAGGCUUCCCAUCAUAAUCCAUUCCAUGCUUAAGCGUUCUAUGAUAAUCAUAAUAUAAUAGAAAUAAAACUAAGAGGUAGGUCGAUUACUUGCGCCCCAAGUAACUUCAGACUUCUCGUUUAUCAAGGACUGUCGUGGAUGGGUUAAGUCCACAUAAGGUUCUUUUUUAUGCCUUGAGGCCAAUGACUUUUAACUGAUCAGAUUUGCAUGCCCGAGGGCUUAGGACUUGGAUCUGGUUUGAACACUAAAGAUAUAUUCAAAUCGGAUCCAAGUACUGAGAAAGCCUUUUAAUAGUCAUCUUGCUAGAAAUAACUUGCAUAUAACUGGAAGUAUACAACAUAUUGCUAGGCUAAUGAAUGAAAAGACAAAAACAAAGAAGGUCGGGCAAGGUUUAACCUUAUCAGGUAAGGCUGAUCGUCUUGCAGGUUCCUAUCUUUGUAGUUUUGUCAAGGGUCUGAAAGCUUAGAGAGAGAGAGAGAGAGAGAGAGAGAUAGAGAGAUUACAAAAGAUGAAUCGAUACUACAGCAAGGUUGAACAGGGUAGCAGAGCUAUUACAAAGGUUUGAAAGAAGGUUUAGCCCGCGAUGGAUGAAGGCUUGUCCCGAGAGGGAUGAAGGCUUGGGCUGACUACAACUUCAUUUUGAAGGCAAAUCUGGCUUUGAGCAGAGUUUGUGCUUGCAUUUGUUUGUUUGAUUGAGUGUCCUUAUUCCUGGUUUCUCUUUCUUCUUAUAUAGACAACUUGGCUUGGCCUCAUGUAGCAGCAGCCUUGCCCGAAUGCGGUUUGAGGGUGAUGACUCAUCAGCUAUUUUACAUGUAAUGCCACCAUAAAGUACUUUAUGGGCUGUGUAGCUGGUCAGUCUAUACCACUUGGCCUUUGGGUAGGUGAGCAAGUGGUCUUCAUGAGCUGCACCAAGUCAGAAAAGGCAUUUUCUGCUUUUCUGGGUUUUGGCCGGGCCUUGGUCAACUAUUCCUUCAGGCCUCCUUUUGGGCCAGCUCAUUUCUUGAGCCCAAAGUUAAGUUUUGAUCCAAACAGUGUCCCCUUCAAUUGAUAUUUAACCUGGAAUUCCAGGCGCCAAUAUUAAUUGAAUAUCCGCAUGCGUGUAUAUCAAUCUUUUGGAACUUGUGUUUUCUGUGCCCCUUGCUCUUCUCAUGACCUUUGAACUGUCCUGUGGGCCCUAUAAAUUAUGGCUCGGAAUUUCUUCUGUCAAGCCAUCAAAUCCUCUUCGGCCUUCCCUUCCAUCUUCCUCGAGCGUUCUUGUCUUCUUUUAAAAACUGAGAAAUGGGUUCCUCAGGCUUUGAGUGGAGUUUCCUAAAACUCCCUUUUCGUGAGAAAAAGGGUUUUCAUCAAAUGACUGCUAUCUCCAACACCCUUGGUCGAACACCCCGCUAUCUCCAACACCAUUGGUCAGGCGGUUUCCUCUUGAAGGCUUGUCUUCCUCCUUGUUACGGUGAUAAGUCGGGCUUCACCAUCACAUAUGGUGACGGUCCUGUCUAAGGAUCCUCUACUAGGCUCAUGUUGGCCGCACAACCCGAUCACCUGAUUGGGUUCUAUUCAUGAAGAUAUCGGAAAACCAGCUGAAAACACCACCAUAUCCAGAGAUAAUCAAAUGUAAUACGUAGGAAUUGAAUCUAUUGUUAAUUUCACCAAUUUGUCGACAUGAAAUAAAUAUUAUUUCAGCAACUUUUGUCUUUCUGUCUUCUUUGAAUGGUUGAUGAACAAACACUGCACAUGAAACUCCCGAAGCCUACUUUACUUUGCCCCCUCUUCAAUUUAACAAUCUCUAACAUCCCAUAAUGUAGGACAAUAUUUUUUCAAGAAUUUAACAUUAAUGGGAUGUUUCUGCCCAUUUACUUCGAGGUCCGCUAGGUAGUAUCCUCCUUUAUCCAAAACUCGACUAAUAAUGAAAUGACCUUCCCAUGUCGGGCUCCAUUUUCCAAAGCCCCGAAGCUGAGCUCCUAGCGGGAGGACUGUUUUCCAUACUAAAUCUCCCUCUUUGAAAGACUUUAUCUUCACCUUUUUGUUAUAAGCUCGGGCAACAGCUUUCUUUCCUUCCUGAAUCUGGUUCAAGGCUUCAAUUCGGGCUACAUCCAAGUCUUCAAUUCCUUGACACAUGCCUUCGAUGUAUUCUUCACUAUGUAACCCAAAUUGGUUUUGAAUUCUAACAGAACUAACAUUGAUCUCCAUAUGGAGCACUGCAUCUUGCCCGAAAAUCAAAGCAUAAGGAGUUGUCCCUGUUCCUGCCCUCUUGGAAGUUCUGUAUGCCCACAACGUAUUCCCCAGCUUUUCAUGUCACUUUUCUGGACUAUCUAUCACCAUUCUUUUGAUAAUGUUGACCAGGAUCUUGUUGCUGGCCUCUGCCUGAUUGAGGAUAGUACGGACUGGACUGGAUCAUCUUUAUUUUGUACUUGCUUGCAAACUCUUCAACUUUUUUUGAAAUAAAAGAUGGCCCACGGUCCGUUACUAUAGUUUCGGGCACCCCGUAUCUGUGCAGAAUCUUGGUCUCGAUAAAAUUCUUGACUGCGGCUGAAGUUAUGGAUUUUACUGCCGAUGUUUCCACCCACUUGGUGAAGUAAUCCAUUGCUACAAUUAUAAAAGUAUGCCCUUUACUAGAAGUUGGAUAGAUUUGCCCGAUGAAGUCCAUCGCCCACCCUCUGAAAGGCCAAGGCUUGACUACUGGAUUUAAAGGUACUGAAGGCACAUGUUGGAGAGGUCCGUGCCUUUGACAUUCUUCACAACCUCGGGCAUAAGACUUGCAAUCUUUUUCCAUGUCGGGCCAGAAAUAACCGUACCUUCUAAGCAACCAUCUCAUCUUUGUCCCCGCCUGAUGUGCUCCACAUAUUCCUUCAUGUACUUCGGCCAUUACUCUCAUGGAUUCUUCUUGGCCUAAGCAUUUUAAUAGUAGCCCAUCUGGAGUUUUCCUUAGUAGGUUCGUCGCCCAUAAGACAUACUUGGUUGCUUGCUGUCUAUUCUUCUUACUUGUAGGCGAAGAGGGAUCCUUCAAAUGAUGAAUGAUAGGUGACCUCCAAUCUUCUAUCUUGGUUUCUAGAACCAUUAUAUCCAGACUGAAUCCCCUUUCUAAGAUAGAAAAAAGGUUUCUUUUUUGGAUCUCGACAUCUACCCCAUAUUUUCUUUCCUGUAUUGGCACUCCUGAGGCUAGUUGUGCCAUCUCGUUGGCCGCUAAGUUGGAUCCCCUGGGAACAUGAUUGACUGAUAUCUCAGAAUCCCAGAAACUCAAUAAUUGCGUAGCUGCCAUGUGAUACCCCGCUAUAGUGAUAUGUCUGCACUUGAACUCACCAUUUAGCUGGUUUAUUACCAACUCUGAAUCACCAAAGACCUCUACCUCUGCUGCCCCCAAAUCCAUCAGGAUUUCCAGACCAAUUAUUAAGGCCUCAUACUCUACCCGAUUAUUAGUAUUUUCUUGGUAGUCUAGGAGAAAUGAGUAAUAAUGAUAAACCCCUUAAGGGUUUACAAUCACAAUCCCAGCUCCUGAAGCCUUCUGAGUGUGAGAUCCAUCGAAAUACAACUUCCAAGGAGUGAUCCAGAGACCAGUUACUCUUCUUAUUUCUUGCUGGACCUUAUCUUCUUUGCCCAAAAUAUCUUUUCUUGGUGGGAUCCAAAUGCUAGUAACCUCCAGGCUUCCCGGGAUAUUGAUUACCUCACUUUGAGAUUCUUGAUGCUCGGUCAGGAAGUCAGCAAUUGCUUGGCCUUUGACUGCCCUUUGGGGUACAUAUUGAAAACUGAACUCUGAUAAUGCUAGAAUCCACUUCCCAAUCCUUCCUGUUAGCAUUGGCUUUGACAACAUGUACUUUAUCACAUCUGUUUUGGCGAUGAUGUGUACGUGACAGGGCAACAUGUAAUGCCUUAGCUUGCUGGCAGUAAAAUAUAGAGCCAAGCAUAAUCUCUCUACUGGAGAAUAUCUUAUCUCUACCUCGGUCAGAAUUCUGCUGAGGUAGUAUACGGUCUGCUCCUUCCCGCCUUCAUUAUUUUGGGCUAGCAAACUUCCGAUUGACUUUUCUGAAGCAGAAAUAUACAACUUUAAGGGCUUUCCCCUUUGAGGUGGCACCAACACUGGUGGAGAAGUUAAAUAUGCCUUGAUGCUGUCAAAAGCCUGUUGGUGUGGCGGUCCCCACUCGAAGUUUUCUUUAUCUUUCAAUCUUAGUAGAGGAGUUAGCGGCUGGAUCUUGCCUGCUAAAUUGGCAAUGAAUCUCCUCAAGAAGUUAAUUUUGCCUAGUAGCCUUUGGAGUUGUACUUUAUUGGUGGGUGAAGGUGACUCCAUUAUUGCCCGAGAUUUGUUCUUGUCCACUUCCACACCUAUCUGAUGCACUAGGAAUCCCAAGAAGUUGCCCGCUCUCACUCCAAAUGCGCACUUAUUUGGAUUCAUCUUCAAUUUGUGGAUCCUCAUCCUUGUCAAUGUUUGCUUGAGGUCUACUAGAUGAUGCUCUUCUGUCUUAGAUUUUACCACGAUGUCAUCGAUAUAUACUUCCAUGCUCUGGCCAAUCAGAUCGUGAAAGAUGGCAUUCAUUGCCCUUUGGUAGGUUGCACCAGCAUUCUUGAGCCCGAAUGGUAUGACCAGAUAUUCAUAUGCCCCCACAUGACCGGGACACCUAAAAGUUGUUUUAUGUAUAUCUUCUGGAGCCAUCUUUAUCUGAUUAUACUCGGCAUUUCCAUCCAUAAAAGAUAAGACUUUAUGUUUUACUACUGCAUCUAUGGAUAAAUCGGCCAUGGGCAUGGGAUACUCAUCUUUCGGUGUGGCACUAUUAAUAUUUCUGUAGUCAACACAACAUCGUACUGCUUUUGUUACAGCUUUUAAAACGGGUACAAUGUUGGCUAGCCACUCCACAUAUUUGGCUAGUCUGAUAAAGCCAACUUUUACCAGUCUUUCAAUCUCUUCUUUGAUCUUUUCUUCUAUCUUCUUCGACAUCCUUCGUGGUGCUUGCUUAACAGGUUUAUAUCCCUCCUUGAUGGGCAUUCUAUGUUCCACCAAGGUUGGAUCUAACCCUGGCAUCUCAGUAUAAUGCCAAGCAAAACAGUCUUUGAAUUCUUGCAAAAGGCAAAUAAUCCUUGCCCGAUAAUCAACCCUCAAUAAACCACUGAUCUGUAUUGGUCUUGGAUCAUCCUCUGUUCCUAGAUCAAUAAUUUCCAGAGGAUCCUGGACUUCUGGUGGUGGCUUAUCCGGUUCUGCACACAAAAAUUCGACCAGCUCCAGGCUCUCGGGCAAGUCGUCUGGCCCGUCUAGGUCAUAUAUGCACUCGGCCAUUUGAAUGGCCCUAUCCAGUUCUUCUCUGCAAGAUUCCUCCUUGCGUUCAUGCUGGCUGGUUGAAGCUCCCUCCUGCCAUUCUUGCUCUUCCUUAUCCAAGAGCUCCCUUUCUUGCCUUCUUCCCUUCCCAUACACCAACAGUCUUUUAAUCAGGGAUCUGACUGCCAUUACCUGAUUUUUCUUCUUUUGUUCAGUCAUUGAUGGUGUAGGGGAUUUGGGAUGAUACAAGGUCUAUCCCACUCCUCUUUAGUAAGGAGCAUUCCUUGUUCCAAAAGCUUUUGGGCCGUCACCUUGGUAGGGCGGCCGUUCUUAUCAGCUCCUGAACAUUUCAAGAUUCCUACGUUGGGGUUGUAGAAACUUUCUUCCGCAACAUUGGCUGUGGGGAGGAAUGGCCGUGAUUCGGCCUCUACUAUCUCCCAAAAGCCUGGUCCUUCUGUGCCCGCCUCAUGAUAAACAACUACUUGUUGAUGAAGAGUGGAGGGUAUGGCCAAACUUUGGUGGAUCCAAUCUCUUCCGAGUAAGGCCCCAUAAGUGGAGGUGCAGUCCCCCACAAAGAAUGCCAGCAUUAUCUGUUUAGAUCCCAAAUCCACUUCUAAAGGCAAUAUCCCAUGAGUCUUGGUGAUAGCGCCUGAGAAGCUAGAGACCGUGAGGUCUGUGGGAAUAAGAUCCUCCGUGCCUCUUCCCAUUUUCCUCAUCUGCUUGGCUGGUAACACAUUAACAGCUGCUCCUCCAUCAAUUAGAAUUCUUUUGAAGGGCACACCUUUCAAGUAAGCUGUAACAUAUAUGGGCUUCAGAUGGUUGGCCAGCGAGAUGUUCGGGCGGUUAAACACCAUCUCGUCUGUAUAAAUCCUUAGAGGACCACUUUUGGAUGUUUUUGAAGAUUCGGCCUUGCCAGAUUCUUCUUCUUCAACUACCUCCACAUUGACAUGUGCCAUCAUUGGCUCAGUUGUCAAGUAAUCACCCUCCAUAGUAGCGGGUUGAUCAGGUCUGACACCAAACGUGGCGGAUAAUACAUAUGCCAUGUUGACAUGGAAAUUAUUAGGCUCGAGCAAAUCUUCCUUCUUGCUCCCAAUCUGGUCCAUGAAUUCAUCCAACCAGGCCAUCGCAUCGGCUGGAAGUAGUGGUUCUGGUGCCCCCCUGUUGCUGUUGAUUCAUGCCCGCAUACAGUGUUUGUUUUGGAACUUCACCAAAAGGAUCCACCAAUGGCAAAGAAGGUGGUCUCCUAUCAGAUGAAACAGUUCCAACGCAAAUAGGCUCUAGCUUCCACCCAGGGGUUGGCACCAUGAUCAGAUCUUCUUGAGCUCUCCUCAAGAUCCUAUACUUCCCAGGGUGUUGGUUCUGUGGCACGUGAUUCCCCUCGCCUUCUGUCUUACUAUUGGCCUUUUCUACCUCUUUCUUACUUCUCCAGCGGAGCUGACUCCUUCCCCUAGAUGCUGUUUUCUCCAACUUUUGAUUUUUUGAGGCUUCGGAUGUUGCGGGGGUCUUCAGGGAAUUCAUGUAGGCUUUAUGCUGCCUUUGAACCCUCCUGACCAUGGAGGCUCCCAUUGGUUUGGUAGGCUGUCUGUUCUUUCCGACUAUGUACCAUUUUCGCCCUAGGUGGGCAGGAUUUCCUUUUCUGACAGGAUUGGUUAUCCCAUCAAUCCUCUUGAUUUCCCUCCCCAUCUGGCCAUAUUGAGGAUGAUCUGCACCCCUCCGUAUUUUGGCCUCCAUAUCUUCUGCCUCUUUAGAAGCUUCAUGGUUUCGAAAUACUUCUGACAAAGCUUUGGGUUGGGAAUCACCUCCUAGUUGUUGAAAAACGCUUCGGGAAGUGUCCUUUUUUGUUGUCUGCUUGAUCUUUUCGCGGGCUUCUCUCCUUACGUCUUCUUCCUUCCUCCUGAUCAGUUCAUGAUCAAUGAGGAUUCCAGCUGGGGGAAUUUCGAGCUCACACUCGCAUUGGCACUUAUUACACAUAACCAUCCCCUUGAUUAUUGCUACUUUUGGAUAUUCGGGCGAUUUGAUCAUCCCUCAUGUAGGUUUUUUAGCCAGUCUUUCUUCCUCUGCUUCCCUUGUGAUCUUUUCUUUUCCUUUCUCCGCCCAUGCCAUAUUGAUCAUAUUUAUAGGGGCCUCCGAGAAGGGAACUGCAGGUUUGGCCAUCACCAUAUCUUCUGGCUGGCUAGCUUUAAGUCUUUUUCCUUUGGGAGGAACCAAGUCUGUAUCGUUUCUGGAGCCUGUGAAGGUUUUCUCCAAUCUUUGCAACAUUUGCAACAAUGUGGUUUGCAAAUCUUCUGACAUUUUUGUCAUAUAUCUUCUGAUCAAAAAGGGGAAUCCCACCGGGCGUGCCAAAACUAUGUUCGCGUCAGGAAUUUUCGUCGGGGAUGUUUCCUGGCCAACGAGCACACAGUUCCCCGGGAGGUUGGCGCCGGUUGAGGGCUGCUGUCGGGCUUCUGCUUCACUGUCGGGCUUUGUCGGGCAAGCUUCGUCGGGCAAGUCUUAUCGGGCAAGAUUUGUCGGGCAAGGCUCACCGGGCAAGGCUGAAAGAGAAGGACAAAAUUAACUUUGAAAGGUGCCUUUGUGGGGCCUUAGGUGUAGGCCUUGAGGCUCACAAUCAAGAUUAACUUUUAGGUGCUCAGGCAUGCCACUGCCAUCUUCAGCAUGGCAGAUGUAAAAUGGAUGUCGAGUUUUAGUUAUAUAUAUGUAUAUACUCGAGAAACCGUGUUAGUUAUAACAGGUGCCUUUGUGGGGCCUUAGGUAUAGGCCUUGAGGCUUCUUAUCAAACUAAACCAGUGCUCGAACACAUCAUAUUUGUUCUUGUGAGUGCAAGAGUCUUAUAACUAUUAUACUUCUGAUUAACCGAGUCCGAGAGGUAGAAUGAACCCAAAUAGGUGCCUUCGUAGGGCCUUAGGUGUAGGCCUUGAGGCUUCCCAUUAGAAUUCGUUCUUAGUCAAACGUUCUAGAUCGCAGAACGGAAUGAAUCCAAAUAGGUGCCUUCGUGGGGCCUUAGGUGUAGGCCUUGAGGCUUCCCAUCAGAAUCCAUUCCAUGCUUAAGCGUUCUAUGAUAAUCAUAAUAUAAUAGAAAUAAAACUAAGAGGUAUGUCGAUCACUUGCGCCCCAAGUAACUUUGGACUUCUCGUUUAUCAAGGACUGUCGUGGAUGGGUUAAGUCCACAUAAGGUUCUUUUUUUAUGCCUUGAGGCCAAGGACUUUUAACUGAUCAGAUUUGCAUGCCCGAGGGCUUAGGACUUGGAUCUGGUUUGAACACUGAAGAUAUAUUCAAAUCGGAUCCAAGUACUGAGAAAGCCUUUUAAUAGUCAUCUUGAAAUAACUUGCAUAUAAUUGGAAGUAUACAACAUAUUGCUAGGCUAAUGAAUGAAAAGACAAAAACAAAGAAGGUCGGGCAAGGUUUAACCUUAUCAGGUAAGGCUGAUCGUUUUGCAGGUUCCAAUCUUUGUAGUUUUGUCAAGGGUCUGAAAGCUUAGAGAGAGAGAGAGAGAGAUAGAGAGAUUACAAAAGAUGAAUCGAUACUACAGCAAGGUUGAACAGGGUAGCAGAGCUAUUAUAAAGGUUUGAAGGAAGGUUUAUCCCACGAGGGAUGAAGGCUUGUCCCGAGAGGGAUGAAGGCUUGGGCUGACUACAACUUCGUUUUGAAGGCAAAUCUGGCUUUGAGCAUAGUUUGUGCUUGCAUUUGUUUGUUUGAUUGAGUGUCCUUAUUCCUGGUUUCUCUUUCUUCUUAUAUAGACAACUCGGCUUGGCCUCCUGUAGCAGCAGCCUUGCCCGAAUGCGGUUUGAGGGUGAUAACUCAUCAGCUAUUUUACAUGUAAUGCCACCAUAAAGUACUUUAUAGGCUGUGUAGCUGGUCAGUCUAUACCACUUGGCCUUUGGGUAGGUGAGCAAGUGGUCUUCAUGAGCUGCACCAAGUCAAAAAAUGCCUUUUCUGCUUUUCUGGGUUUCGGCCGGGCCUUGGUCAACUAUUCCUUCAGGCCUCCUUUUGGGCUAGCUGCUUUCUUGAGCCCAAAGUCAAGUUUUGAUCCAAACACGUACACUAGUUGGGUUUCCAUUUCCCAAUACUUUACCCCUCCAGAUUUUUUAUUUUUUCUUCAACCCGCAACCAAUUGGAAGUUUUUCUUGAUCUAAUAAGAACUUCUUGUGCCUUGAAAUUCAAGAAAAUGCAAAAAGACUAAUCUAUUUCUCUUAUUGAAUGAACAACAAAACAUUCAACCCUACCAUGUACAGCAAUUCAACUUAACUUAUCUGCAAAAUCUAGUUCUGGGAUGUGACCAAUUUGCUCAAUUACUAUAACAAUGUGUUUCUGAUCUGGUUAUGAGCCAGCAUAGAUGUUCCAUGUCAUGCUGAGUUGUUAGGACUUGGUAUUACCGCUGUGCUGUAUUUAGGCUUGAUUCUUGCAUACUUGAUCAACGUAUAAUUGUACGUAGUCACCAUGAUUCUUGCAUACUUAUUAUACACAUACAACUCUGUAUUGACAAAGUUAUUAGUUGCAAAGUUAAUGAAAGAAUGAUUCACAGUGUGCUUGUAACAAAUACACAUUUACCGUUUGUGUAAUUCCUCAAGUUUUAUUCUUUCUAAAGAACAUUGGACAUUUUCCUUCGGUUUUAAAGUAAGAAAACCAGUUCCUUCUUCCUAUUUAAUUCCCUGACCAAAAGUAAGCAUUUUCUGUGAUAAAUUAGCGUUUUACCUGUUUGGUCUCAUUUCUAUGGUUGCUUUUCCUUUUAGUCACAGUAUAGAUGCGUAAUAGAUAUCUGUUAAUUUGCAACUAAUCUUUGAAACCCUAUUUUCCGAUGAAGCACAGAAUUCUAAAAGCCCUAAAAGCCCAAGAUUUGCAAGGAACACUCCCAGUAGAGCUGGUAAAUCUCACCUAUCUUCAAGAAAUGUAAGCACAUUUUUACCCCUCCAAGUUUACAUUAUUUAAAAGAAAAUAACUAUGUGUCGUGUAAAUGGUUUAUUCUAAUGUCAUAUAUAGCUUACCUUUAUUUUUGUUGUCAAUGAGACAAUAACUGGUUUCUUUCUUUCUCCUUCAGUGACCUCACCCGCAACUACCUGAGCGGUACCAUCCCUCCAGAAUGGAGCUCUCUUCCACUUCUGAACAUGUACUGUCUUCUCUCAACACUACCUGGCAUUUUUGUGUUUGAUGUUCAUGUCAUGUUCUUAUUGCUUUAUUUGGUCACUCCAAUGUUCUUCAGCCAUUUCUUUCUUAAACUAUGAAUCUACUACAUUGGGUUUUGUUCAUGAUGAUGGGCUUCCGUGGUCAUGAGGUGUUUGAAUCAUAAAUAUUGAAUUGAACACAUGGGGGUGUAUUGACGAACAUGUUAAUGUUAUUGAUCCUCUUGCUUGAAAAAAGUGAUCUUAAGACUAUAGUUUUUUAUGCAGAUCCCUUCUUGGAAAUCUUUUGAACGGUUCUAUCCCCAAAGAGCUCGGAAACAUCACCACCCUGAAGAGUUUGUGAGUGUUGAUUGCGCAUUGGUUUCUUGCUUACCCCAUUUGAUUCCAUGGAGAUCCUUAAUGAUGUUUUUUUAAUCAAUGGAAUUGAAUUUGUUUGUAUAGGGACAUCAGUUUCAAUAACUUCUCUGGACCUCUCCCUCAGGAGCUUGGAUCUUGGGUCAACAUAGAAAGAUUGUAAGAGUCCUUUUCAAAUUUUACCGUGUUAAAAAGUAUUUGGAUUUGGAGUUUUCUUUCUUGUAGACAAAUUCUGGAUGUUUUCACUAGUAAAUCAUCUACUUCUUUAUCAUUGAUAUAAUGGUUAUAUCUAUUUCGUAUUUAGGCUGCUUUCCUCAAACAAUUUUACUGGGGAGUUGCCAGAAACAUUUGCAAAUCUUACCAAAAUAAAGGACUUGUAAGUUUCUGUGGUUCUUUCUUCUUAAAGGUUUCCCGAGCACUUAUACAUUUUUUUUACUGCUUUCUGAUACUAAUUCGUAAUAUUUUCCCUUUUGUCCAAUCAUUAUGCAGUCGGGUUAGUGACAGUCACUUUUUCGGGCAGAUACCUGAUUUUAUUGAGAACUGGACAAAUCUUGAAAAACUGUGAGUGUUUUUCUUUUGUGUGUCAUCUUUCUGCUAUAUGAUUCUGAAUAUUAUCUCUAAUUCAUAUGUUAUGACUCGUUGAAACAGAGUGAUUCAAGCUAGCGGUUUGACAGGGCCAAUUCCUUCUGGCAUUUCUCUUUUGACAAACUUGACUGACUUGUUAGUAUAUCUCGUCUCUAUUUAUAAAUACAAAACGAUUAGCGAAAUGUGUAGUUUAUGUUCAUGGCCCAAUUUUAACGUGCAGGAGAAUCACUGACUUGAGUGGACCUGAAUCACCCAUUCCUUCGCUGGAUAAGAUGAAAAACAUGAAGACACUGUGAGUUAAUGGUUCCAUGACACACAAUUUCUGUCUGUACCAGAAAUCUUCUGUAAACUCAAAGCUUUGGUGUCUGUUGCAGGAUAUUGAGGAAUUGCAACCUUAUUGGAAAGCUACCUCCAUAUCUUGCGCAUAUGACCGAAUUGAAAACUUUGUAAGUACAAAUGUAUUCGUCCCUAUUUUUUUCCGUCUUCAAAUAAAAAAUUUCUUCUAGAUGUGAUUAUACUCUAGGAUUAUUGAAGUGACUUAGACGCUGUUGGGCGGACUUUAUGUUUCUGUAUUUAUUAAGAGAACAUCUCUUGCAGAUGUCAUUUCCCUUUCUGCAGAGAGCACAUCUAAACUGCAUUUGCUAUUUGUUUGUGUAGAGACCUCAGCUUUAACAAGCUGACCGGAGUAAUUCCAAGCAGCUUGGCUAGUCUACCAAAAGUGCAAUAUAUGUAAGCAAUUGGAAUGACCAAUCUAGUCUUCCUUACAUGAAAUUCAAGCAGACAUUCUUCAAUGGUUUUGAUACACCCCAGCCUGACAAGCUGGAAGGAUUUCCAAUCAGGAUUACUAUAAUUAUGAGUCACGGGUUAUACUGCAAUAGAAUUUAGUUUAUUCAUGCAAUUAACUGACACAAGGUGAUCACCCUUAGAUGUGUCUUUCUGAUGGAAGUACUGAUCUAAUGCACUCAGAGUUGGCAAACUCAAAUUUUCAAACCUUUAUAAAGAAAUUCCUAAGAAUAAACACUAUAUUCUUUACUGAGUUUUUCUGUAUUCUUUCUUUUUAGAUUCUUAACUGGAAACUUGCUGACUGGACCUGUACCUAAUUGGCCGAAAUACAAAGUGUAAGCUUCUAUUCCAAAUGCUACUCUUUAGUUACUCAGGAAAUUUAUGCUGUUUUUUUUACUAAGAUAGAUAUAAAACUAUUACAUCAAAAACUUCAUUCGAACCAUGUUAAUGCCUACCUCUUUCUCCUCACCCUUGUUCCCUUUUGUACUGACAAACCACAUCUGGAAAAGAAUUUGUUUAUGCUUCUUUGAUUCUGGUUUAUGAAACCUCAAUGAAUAUGAGGACUGCAGAAGAUGAUUAAUACUGAAAAAGGAGGAUGAAGAAAAUCACACAGAGAAUGUAUGUCCUCGCUGCUCUGCAGAAUGCAGCAGUGGAGAAUCCUUCUUCAUUCAAUAUCUCUCUCUCUCUCUCUAACAUACAAGUCGUGCAAAGAGAAUUUUACCGUUAGCAAAGCACAGCUGGAUCCUUAGACAUCACAAAGUGAUCUCAGCCACACAUCUAACUAUUUUUGCAUUAUUUGCCUUACAUCUUUGAACCUCACACUUGGCAAUAUUACAACUCAAGUGAAUACACAAUUAAGCUCAUAACUUAUUUCACUAAUUCUAAUCAGCUAGAGACUUACAAUUCAACAGAAUUUGCAUCAUAUCUCUUUUUGUGCAGUGAUCUUUCAUAUAACAACCUCACCAUAGAGGAUGCAAGUUGUCCAGCCCUAAGCAACACGUAAGAAUGUCUCCAUUAGCUUGAAGUUAAUCUGUUUGUGUUAUGUGGAGCAAAGCUUAGAUUAACUUUUCAUUUGUGUUAAUUUCUGCAGUAACUUGUUUGCAAGCUCGUCAGAAGGCAAUAGUUCGUAAGUUCAAAUUAACCGUCUCAAAGCAUGCACCUAUAAAUUUACUUUGGUUUCCAACGGUGUAUUCUGUACUAUUUUUUUUUCCCUACUUCUUCCAUUUAUGAUUGCUGACAUUUUCUAUACCCUGAAUUACUCUAUCAGGAGAACUGUUUCAUGUUUCAAAACUUCAGAAUGUCCAAAAUGUAAGCCGGGUUUCUACACAAAUAAUUACCUUUAUUUUUUCGGUUCAUUCUUUUUUAGUUUAGCCGACCCCACUUAGUGGGAAAAGGCUUUGUUGUUGUUGUUGUUGUUGUUGUAUUCUUUUUUAGUUUUCCUCCUCAAUGCCUACUAAUCUCCAUUUUCUUUUUUCAUAGAUUUGUACUACUCGCUCCAUAUAAAUUGUGGUGGGACACAAUUUACUGUCCCUGGAAAGAAAGAUACACUAUAUGAAGCUGACACAUUUCUAGAUGGACCUUCAUCAUUGUACCAGAGCACAACAAAUUGGGCAGUAAGCAGCACCGGUUCCUUCAUUGAUGAUGACCGCCCUAAGGACACCUUUAUAUGGCGUAAUGAAACUACACUCUCUAUGGCCAAUCCUCUACUGUACAUGAACGCACGCCUUUCUCCCAUCUCUCUAACUUAUUUUGGGUUUUGUCUGGGAAAUGGAGACUACACUGUAAAGCUCCAUUUUGCAGAGAUAAUGUUUAGAAAUGGCAAAACAUAUAAAAGCUUGGGAAGGCGCAUAUUCAAUAUUUACAUUCAGGUAAGUAUCGCAUCCACUUCCAUGUAUACCAGUGAAUUAUUCUAAUUUUCAGCUAGCAUUGUUUAUAUUUUGGUCGAUUUGAAUGUUAACUUUCACAUUUAUGUUCAUGAAAUGUUAAGCAACUAAAUUAGUAUAUAUACAUAAAUAUAUUGAAGGGAAUCCUAGUGAAGAAGGACUUCAAUAUCAUGGAUGAAGCUCGUGUGUUUGGUGAUGUAGUCAUAAUGAACUUUACUGCUCCUGUAACUAAUAUACAUUGGAGAUUCGUUUAUAUUGGGCCGGGAAAGGGACGACAGGCAUCCCUGUUAGAGGAGUCUAUGGUCCUCUUAUUUCAGCUAUUUCAGUAGACCCAAGUAAGUUUUCAAUGAUCUGACCUUUGUCUUAUUACUAUGCGUCGACCAUAUGCAUUGAUAUAUCUACUAAAUUAAGAGAUCCGACUUCAGCUCUGCAAGGUUCUUCAAUAUUUCCUUUCCCUUGUAUUUUCACAAAAAUGCUUCUGUGCUUUUCUCCUGUUUUACAUAGUUUGAGCCAAGACUUGAAAUACUCUUUUAAAUUUUCUUAUCACAUAAUAUGCUGAAUUUUCUAGGCGACGGUAUGUGCUUUUAAAUACAACAAAAUUCAACUUGAGGAUUGUUUGUUGAGGAAAAACUUAAGAGUACAGAAUUCUAACACAAGUGUUGGAGACACAAAACAAGUGAACAAAUUACUUGUAUUACACUCACAAAAUAUUGCAACACACAAACUCUCAAAGACACUCUUUAGAGGCAAUGACCUCACUCAUUUUCUAAAGACAAACUCUAGAUCACUCAUACUCCUCACAAGACUACUCUGACUUCUCACUCUCACUUGGUUGCCCGCUUCUUCUUGGUUGGUUGGUUUAUUUCACAACAUCACACACCUAUUUAUAGGCAUGUAUGCCGACUUCACUAGCACUUUCUAGUGCAUGUUCAUGCACACACUGCACCGACAUAUGACUUUUCAUAAUAGCCACAUAUUGUAUAAGCUGCUAGAACUUUCUAGCACAUGAUUAUAUACACACACCCACUGACUUAAUAGGAUAAUGCUAGAAUUAUCUAGCAUAUUGAUACGCCUGCAUGAUGCACCGUCUUUAGUGCUAGAAUUUUCUGGAUUUGUGUAGAAUGGGCUGGGGUUGGACUGUUUUAACAUUUUUAACUAUUUACAUGAAAAUAAUCCAGUUCACUUAAGGGAAACAUAUAAUAUUUACAACCAUCCGAAGAAAGUUUGUUCGAUGGAUUACUUCAUAUACUAUCUACUUAUUUAAGGAUGCCCCAAGGACCGGGUUCAAUCUUCUGUUUCUGUGUGCAUUAGAUAGCUGGUUGAAUAAUCCACUCUCAUAUCAAUUACAUUUACAUUUACUCUAAUUUAAGCUAUAUUCUUUCUUCCGACAGACUUUGAUCCCCCGCCAAAACCUGGUGGAAGUGGCGUGCCUACAGGUGGUGUGGUUGGAAUUGUGGUCGGAGGAGUCUUCAUUAUACUACUGAUAUUUGGUAUUCUUUGUAAGAGAGGUCUCCCAGGACAACAAAAGACAUUGGAGGAUGGUAAUAAUUUGCAGUUUAUUCUGUUAUACUGGUUUUUCUUUUUGUUUCUCCAUUACUUUUUCUUAUUGAACUUUUUUCGUAACUAAGAACAAUAUUUAUGCUAUUUUGCAUGGUUCUCAUGCAUAUUGACGUGCAUACACAAAGACAGUAAUUAUUUAGAUAUUGAGCUUUUUGGCCCUUUGAUGUUGCUAUAAUAUAUUUAUCGUCCAAACUCAUGAUGCGGAUUGCAGAGUGUCUGCCUAUAGAUCCAAUUACUAGUUAAAUUCUAGAAGCACAAAAUAUUAAGAACUAAGAAUACUAUCGUUCUGAAAGUUUUCUUCGACACAAUUUCUUAUGAGUUUUACUUGUGAUACAGAUUUGAAGGGUGUGGGCUUGCAAACCGGUAAAUUUACCUUAAAGCAACUCAAAGAUGCCACAAGCAACUUUAACAAAGCCAAUAAGAUUGGUGAAGGUGGUUUUGGUUCAGUUUAUAAGGUAUUCUUCGGAGCUGAUAUUUAUUUAUUUAUUACAUUUUUUUCUAAUUUGAUAUUGUCUGUUCAAAUGAAAGUUAAUUUGCUUUAUAUAGUGAGGCGAAUUUGACUAUCUUUCUCAAAUGCAGGGCGUUCUAGCAGAUAACACCGUAAUAGCUGUUAAGCAGCUUUCUUCCAAAUCAAAGCAAGGGAAUCGUGAAUUUGUUAAUGAGAUUGGCAUGAUUUCUGCUCUGCAACACCCUCAUCUUGUCAAGCUCCACGGAUGUUGUGUUGAAGGAAAUCAACUAUUGCUUGUCUAUGAGUACCUGGAAAAUAAUAGCGUCGCUCAUGCUUUGUUUAGUAAAUAUCAAUCUCGCUUGCCAAAAGUUCAUUUCAUUCAUACAAUGGGCAUAAAAGAUCUUAUGCACUAAAAAUGUCCUUUACAACUAACUUUGUUUAAUUUGGCAAAUUGAAGGGGCAAAAGAAAGUCAUUUGCAGUUGGAUUGGCCAACAAGGCACAAGAUUUGUAUUGGUACAGCAAGAGGUUUGGCUUAUCUUCAUGAAGAAUCAAGAUUGAAGGUCGUUCAUAGAGACAUCAAGGCUACUAAUGUUCUGCUUGAUAAAAAUCUUAAACCGAAAAUAUCUGACUUUGGAUUGGCCAAGCUUAAUGAAGAGGAUAAUACACACAUUAGCACCCGUAUUGCUGGAACUUAGUCAGUCCCUACACUUUUAUUUAUCUUCUUAUUCUCUUGUUUUGAUCUUCUUCAACCCUUAAAAAAGAAGAUAGAGCAACGGAAAGUCUCUAACUUACAUAAUUUCCAACCUAACCAAAUCCUUGUUCAAGAAAUUUCAAGGGCAGAUUUGUUCUUUCAAUAUAGUUGGGUUAAUGAUUUGAUUUCAUGAUAUUGCAGUGGAUACAUGGCGCCCGAAUAUGCAAUGCGGGGUUAUCUGACUGAUAAAGCAGAUGUCUAUAGUUUUGGUAUUCUUGUAUUGGAAAUUGUUAGCGGGAGAAACAACACAACUUACCGGAAAAAGGAAGAAAGCUUUUAUCUUCUUGAUUGGGUAGCAUGAAUCUACUACUUCCUAAUUUCACUUCAAAUUUUCUUAAUAUGCCUUAUACGUAUGAAAGUACAUUUGAAUCGAUGAAGUUUAAUCCAAAGACAGAAUUCAUAUUGCCUUUGAUGCUUCCAUUUUUUGUAGGCACGACUUCUAAAAGAUCAGGGGGAUUUGAUGGACCUAGUUGAUCCAAGGUUGGGAUCAGACUUUAAUAAAGAGGAGAUGAUUGUUGCAAUCAAUGUGGCUCUCCUUUGUUGCAAUGUUACUUCGACAGCUAGGCCUACCAUGUCUUCGGUUGUGAGCAUGCUUGAAGGAAAGGUUGUUGUUCAUGAGUUGGUCUCGGAUCCAAAUGCCAAGAGUAUUGAGAUUGAUGCAAUGAGGAAACAUUUUCAAUCUAGUUUUGGAAGGGGCACGGGAGAGAAACAUAUAGAAAUGGAGUCAACUGAAGGGCCAUGGACUGCUUCGUCUGCGUCUGCUCACGAUCUGUAUCCCGUCCAUCCUGAUUCAGAUUACUGGAAGAACAGAAGCGAUAUAACUUGAGCUGCACAGUUAUCAGUUUGACUCAACCUUGGCACACUCAAACACAUCAAAUAAUAAAUCAUUUGUAUUUCCUCUAUAACUAUUUGUUGACGUGAGUCAACCAUAUAGUUUAGGAAUGUGAUCAUGUGAUUGAUUCCUUGUAUAAUUCGGAUUCUUAUUUCCUAUUUUAUGGGACCUCUUGAACAACUAUUUAUUUACCUCCUAGAGAGAAGGAUACGUACAAUUACACCUUAACUUUUAUGUCGGUAUCAGAGGAUGCUUCGGCCCGUCUCUUUCCAAAAACCCUUAAAAACCCCCUCAAGGCAUGCAACUUGCAUCAAGAAUUAUUGCUGGUGUUUGUCACGAACCGAGAAAUCCAACGUCUGUGGCUUUGGAAUAAACAAAGCUACAAAGUCAAAAAAACAUAUCAAAAUAAACCUACAAAUCAGUCCCUGCAAUGACUGAAGACAGAAAAACAAAAACCGGUGAGAUAAUUCCCAUGCAAACUAUGUCUAUUCAAAGUGAGUCUACCAAAAUCAGCGGCCUUCCAUUCAGAUUUAGAUUGAGCGACUCGAAUUUCAAAGUUUAGUCGAAGAUGAUGGAGGUCCAUGCCUCUGGCCUUGGCAAACUGGGGUAUUUGACAGGAAAAACCCCUGUUGUUGCUGAAGACUCGCCUGGAUAUACAAAGUGGGUCAAUGAUCACUGCUAUAGUACGAGGAUGGUUGUUGAAAACCAUGAAGCCCCACCUAUCGAGUCUCUUUAUUGACUUGCCGACAGCCAAAGAUGUGUGGGAAAGUGUAACCCAGAUGUUUUACGACAAUUCAGACGAGUUCCAAUAUUGUGAACUCAGGUGUAGGGCUACGCGAACUAAACAAGACGGUCGUCCAGUAAAUUUGUACUUCACUGAACUCAAAGGAGUAUCGCAAGAUCUUGAUAAAAGGCGCCCUAUCAAGAUGAUAUGCAAAGCAGACCUGCAAAGCCGUAGGGAGGAGCUUUCAAAGGACAGGGUUUACGACUUUGUUGCGGGGUUAGAUCAUGGUUUUGAUCAAGUCAGGAGUGAAAUCCUAAGGAUGAAACCUAUCCCUGGGAUUGAAGAAUGUUUUUAUUUGGUUAGACGUGAAGGCCAGAGACAAACCCCUAUGCUUGAAACAAAAUCUAAAACCACAAGCUCUUCUAUGGUGAUGAUCACCAAGUCCCCAUCAUCAUCAUCCUUUCGUUUAACAUCCGCGGGAACAUCUAGCCCAAAUCGCACCCAAGAAGAUAUUUGACACGCCCCGAUCCCGAUAUUCCUCGAAUACCAAGAUAGGCACGUGCUGGCCGACACCCAAGGGUGACGAAAGCCAUUAAUUGAAUGCAAAUGCUGAGAAUAAGGAAUAGAUAAGGUUUAUAAAUAUAAAAGAAUAAAGAAUAUGCAUUUAAGGAACGUGUUCAGAGCACACAUCUAAUCGAGAAUAUUAGAAGAAUUAACAUAAACAAUUUGAAUGAACACAGAACGGGGUCCUACACCUAGAGGACUCGAAGAUACCGAUGCGGAAGUGUCUGGAUGCCGGGAUUGUACGCCUCGAUUCUAAGUCCUGAAGGGGGCGCAAAACAAACAUGAGUGGACCAAGUUGAUAUAUAUAUAAUAAAACAGUUAUCAACGUACUAACCCCCAGGUUUAUGAAAACAUAUAUAUAAUGAUAAACAUAGGUUUUCCGAAUUCUAGCAUGAUGUGCAGUAUCUCAAAUCAUAAUUCAUAUAUAAUAAUCACUAGUGAAUUGUCCGAUAACCCCCAGGCCCCAUGCCGGCUCCCCGUCUCUGAGCAGACAGUCAGAGGAAAAUACACUUCAGGCCCUAUGCCGGCUCCCCGUCCCUAUGCUAAAUAGCCAGAGGAAACACACUCCAAGCCCUAUGCCAACACCAAACCGUCGCCCGGGACGGACCGGAAUCUAUCCCUACGUCCCAUAGCAGAAAGGACCACUAGGUAAGUACAAAACCAUUGAACAUAUAUAUAUAUUAAAAAACAACUUCAUAGUAUAAAGUCAUCCAUCAUCUAUACUAUAAAGAGGUGUUCGAAACAUGUUCUACAUAUCAUAUCGUCAUCCAUCGGAUAUUCUAUAAGAACAUGGGUUAUAGGAAAAAUAGUAAUAAUUCAAACUAGCCUUAGUAAGCAUGUUAUCUCAAAACGUUUCAUAAAACGUAAUCAUUAAAUCAUGUCUUUCAUGUAUGCAUUUCUACUAUUAAAACAUGCUUUUGAAGGGGUCCACUCACAGUACUUAGCCGCCGAAGAGUCACGCAAACUAACGAACAAGAAAACGUCACCAAUAAUUGCCCCUAAGCACAUAAAGGGUCCAAUUAAUAAAACUCUAUUUUAACAAUUGAAUUGGGAAAACGGACUUCAAAAACGGGUCCAGGACGUCGAAAUUAGCCUAGGAGAGAUCCUGGACGAAAGCCAGAAUGGGCUUGGGGUUUGGGUUUUAAUUAAGCUAAAGGGACUUGGGAAAAGGGCUGAAAGCCCACUUUACAAUUGGCCCUAAGGCCUUACUUCCUAAAACAGAAAAUAAAUAAAAACCUUAAAAAGGUUUCUUGGGUUUGACUAAUGGGCUACGGGCCCUAAAUUCCUAAUGGCCCGAAGGCCUUUAAGGGUCCUAAAACAAUUACAAUUAAAUAAAAUAAUUAAAAGUAAAAUAGGCUAGGGUUUUGGGCUUGGCUCCCCAAACCACACGGGCCUAAGGCCCGCUUAGCAUGGAACCGGCCUGGGAGGCCUGUCUCGCCGGAGCACCACCACCGGAGCUUCACAGCUCCGGCCGACUUCCACACACAACCCUAGACUUCGAUCUAGGUACCAAAACGAAGAGCAAGACGAGGGGAGUAUUUCUAUACCUUCCUUUCGUCGUGGAAUGGACGGAGAUGGCCGGAAAAACCCCCGAGGUCGCCGGAGUUGGGUGUGCUUACACCCGGCUUCGAUUUCGUCCUAUAACCUCCAAAAAUCACGAAUUAACUCCAAUUAAACCUCAAUCUCGCAAGAAUCAAGGACGAAAAGAGAGAAUUAGGGGCUUACCUAACCGGAGAUUGAAAAAUCUCGCCGGAGCUCCUUUUCCGGUUCUCUGGGGUCGCGGGAACGAGAGGGAGAGAGAGAGAGAGCAGGACGCGGUGAUGAAGGGUGAUGGGCUUCCUCGCGCGGGGAGAUGGGUGCGUGCAUGUGUGCGCGGUGCAGAGAAGAGGGAGAGAAGUGAGAGAUGAGAGAGAGCCGAGAGGGAGAGACAGGAAGAAAGAAAAGAAAAACAGAAAAGAAGAAGGAGAAAUUGUUUGGGGUGCUGCCAAGUGGCAGAUUUAGAAAGAAAGGGAUCCAUUUUCAGAUUGGGUAGAUAAAAUGGGACAAAAUUGAUAUAAUUAAAAUGUUUUGGGGUAAUUACAUACAUAUAUUUUUAUAAUUAGAGGGCGGGUGUUACAAUAUUGACAAAGAUAAGCUUCACUGCAACCACUGCAAUGGAACAAGGCACACCGAAGAAACUUGUUUUGAAAUACACACAUACCCAGAAUGGUACUGGGAAAAAAUGAAGCAAUUGAAGGCCAAAAGGAGGAAGUCGGGCCAGGCUGAACUGGUCGAGAGACAGGACCUGGAUCCAACGGGAUUAAAGGCCGAAAUGAAGCAAUUAAUGAGCAAAUGAAUAUCUAAACUGGCCUUAACAAUUUUCAGCAAUAAAAAACAUGUCCCUUUAUCGAAGUUGCAUAAAUUACAGAACCUUGGGAUUAAGGAGGAAUAAAAAGCCCAAAUUCCAAUCAAGAAAAAAAAAAUUGUAUGUAAAUUUAAGCUUUACCUGUAGAUUGGCAGCAGCAAAAGCAUACUGGAUCCAACGGGAGCGAGAACUGGAUGCCCAGCCCUUGACACGUUAUCGAGUGAGUUUAGGGAUCUGGGUUUUGUGUUUGCCGUUGAAUUUUGGAAUGAUCUGGAGAAAUUUGGGUUUUAGGGUUCUAAGGAUUUGAGUGAACCGAAACUGAUUUGGAUGAGCAACUUUUGGUUUCGAUUCGCGGUGGAGCAAGGAUGAAGAGGUGGAGGAGGUAGGAACGAAAGGGUGAGAAAAUUUGGAUAGGCGGGAUUCGGUUUCGUUUCGAAUCAGGACAAGACCACCGAGAAACCUCAUUAGCACUCCACGUGUGCAAAAGGGUUUUUCGUCUUUUUACUGUACCAACUUGAAAUACACAAAGGCAAAUUGAAGAUGGGUAUUUUCGUCUUUACACCGUCGCUUAUGAACAAUGUUUUUUCCAUGGCGCUUUAGUAUAUAUAACUAGCAAAGAAUGUUCAAGAGCAAUGCUGCGGGAUUGAAAAUCAUACAAAAACUUUGUAUCUAGUACUAUUUAUAUACAAAGGAUAAUACUUUAUGUGUAUUACAUACUAUUUACAUACAAAAGAUUUGAUAGUCCUAUUAAAAAUCACACAAAAUCUACAAUCUGACUGAGUUACAUACUAUUUCCAUACAAAAUCUACAAUCUGAUUGAAAUACAUACACUUAAUAUGUGCGUACCCCUCUUGACCUUGAACUCCCCCUACAUAGUUUACAAAAUUUACAGAUUAAAUUAAAUAUAAAAUCCAACUUAUUAAUUAAUUAUCAAAAUCGGAAAAAAAAAAUUAAAAGGGUCAAAAGAGAGAAUAGGAGAGGAGUCAAAUACUAAAAAAUAAAAAGAAAAAAACGAAAAUAAAAUCAAUAAUAAGAUUACAUAAGCACAUUCAAUUUGAUGAUUUGGAAAUUAAAGCAAAGGCCUUUGACCUUCUACGUAGGCCUGGUGUAGACAUUGAAAUUUCGGUGGCAUAAAUGUUAGCCAUUGCAGUAAGAUUACAUUUGUAAACAUUGAAAUUUUGGUGAAAUAAAUGUUGACCAUUGUAUUAAAAUUACAACCUUCAUUCACUUCACCUACAUCAUACACUAAGUUCACCUACAACAUCCACCAAGUUUCACCUACAAACAUCCACCAAGUUUCACCUACAACAUCCACCAAAAUUCACCUACAACAUCCACCAAAACAAAUGGAUGGUGGUGAUUCGUUCCCAAAGCCUAUAAAUAGGCUCAUCCAUCAAAGAAUCAAUAAACCAAUUCACAAAUACAUUUCUCUACUCCCAAAAUGGAAGAGAAUACUCCCCACACAUCCAAAAUCCUUGAAGCUUUGAAACUCUAAAGCUUUCAAGCAUCCAACCUCCCAAAUUCAAGCAAAUCCCGAAGGAUCAAGAAAGCCCUCUUCGUUCUUCGUCAAAUCCUCCUUCAAGAUCAAGCCCUAACGGCCCUUGAAGAAAUUUCUCCUUCAAGAUCAAGCCCCAACGGCCCUUGAAGAACUUCCACCAAUUCAAGAUCAAGUCUCGACGGCCCUUGAAGAAAGUGUUCAACAAAUCCACACAACUGUUCAUCCUAAGAUCAAGCCCCGACGCCCCUUUUUGGAUCAACAACAUCACCAAAUCCACAUAAAAUGUUCAUCCUAAGAUCAAGCCCCAACGGCCAUUUGGAUCAACAACAUCAACAAAUCCACACAACUGUUCAUCCUAAGAUCAAGCCCCAACGGCCCUUUGGAUCAACAACAUCAAUAAAUCCACACAACUGUUCAUCCCAAGAUCAAGCCCCGACGGCCCUUGGAUCAACAAUCAUCCAUCUUCAAGAUCAAGCCCCGACGGCCCUUGGAUCAACCAUCCACCAAUUCAAAAUCAAGCCCCGACGGCCCUUGAAGAAAGCACCAUCGUUCAUCAUCCGUUCAUCCAAGAUCAAGCCCCGACGGCCCUUGGAUCAACAACAUCAACAAAUCCACACAUCCAACCGUUCUUCAAGAUCAAGCCCAAAAGCCCUUGAAGAUCCGUUCAUCACCGUUAUUCAAGAUCAAACCUUAACGGCCCUUGAAGAAACACUCAUCCUCAAGAUCAAGCCCCAAUGGCUCUUUGAAGAUCCGCUCAAAUCCACCUUCAAAGAUCAAGCCCACGGCCCCUUGAAGAAACUUCCAACAGUUCAUCCAAGAUCAAGCCUCGACGGCCCUUGGAUCAACGAAACAUCCAUAAAUCAACACCUUACGGAGAUCGAAUCAGAAGAUCAAAAUUGAGAGAGAUUGUAACCCAAAUCAAAAUCACAAAAUAUUAUUUUGUGCACGUUGUUCUUGUCUUUUUCGUUUCAGGAAUUUUCCGUGUUCACAAAUUGGCACGCCCGGUGGGAUAAUCUCUACCUCUCAUCUCUUUCUCCGUUCAAGGAAUCCAAAUCCACCUUCAAAGAUCAAGCCCACGGCCCCUUGAAGAAACUUCCAACAGUUCAUCCAAGAUCAAGCCUCGACGGCCCUUGGAUCAACGAAACAUCCAUAAAUCAACACCUUACGGAGAUCGAAUCAGAGGAUCAAAAUUGAGAGAGAUUGUAACCCAAAUCAAAAUCACAAAAUAUUAUUUUGUGCACGUUGUUCUUGUCUUUUUCGUUUCAGGAAUUUUCCGUGUUCACAAAUUGGCACGCCCGGUGGGAUAAUCUCUACCUCUCAUCUCUUUCUCCGUUCAAGGAAUCCAAACACACCUCAAAGUCAAUAGCAUCAAGCAAGGGACAAGCCGUUCUCGCAAUCACUGAGGGAAUGAUCCUAAGCACUUCUGCCGCAAAUGGACAAUCCAUUAGCGCCACAACCGCUCCUCAACAUGCCACUUCAAAGUUGGUGCCGCUAAAAGAGCAAAUGGAGCAUCAAAGGUGUGAGUCUGUCAUCAACCUGACCUCGCUGGGGGCACCGAAGCAUGCUGCUGAGGCACACAAGAUGACAUCCCAAAACAACCAACGACGUUCUUCGUCAGCAUCUUGGAUGUCUAAAGGAAAGUCACGUCUAGUGGUUGCACAAGUCAUGACCAUCAGCGUUACCUCCAUCGAAGAACAACUGGCUCAAAUGAAUGAAGCAAUCGCAAGGCUAACCCGAACUGUGGAAGAAACAGACUUGCAAAUCGCUGCACUCGUCAGUCGACUGGAGCCACAGGACGGCGAGAACCCUAACCCAGAAGAUGAGUCUACGGUAGAGAGAAUCGAUGUGAAGCUGGAGCCAGACCAAGAAGCGGCACUCAUGGGAUCUCUUUCUAUCCAGCAGUUGCAAGAGAUGAUUGCCAGCACCGUCAAGGCACAGUUCGAAGGGAGCUCAAAUACCUCUAGGUUGUACUAAAAGCCUUAUUCAAAGAAGAUUGAUGCCCUAAAGAUGCCGAGGGGAUAUCAACCACCAAAGUUCAUGCAGUUUGAUGGAAAAGGAAACCCAAAGCAGCACGUUGCACAUUUCGUCGAAACUUGCAACAAUGCGGGGACGGAGGGAGACUACCUUGCCAAGCAGUUUGUGCGCUCGCUAAAAUGAAAAGCCUUUGAAUGGUACACGGACCUAGAGCCUGAGUCCAUCAACAGCUGGGAACAGUUGGAAAGGGAAUUCCUCAACCGCUUCUACAGCACCCGCCGCACUGUGAGCAUGCUAGAGCUAACGAGCACAAAGCAGUGGAAGGACGAGCCAGUCUAUUUACUACUCCAGCAUAUCAUUCAUGGAAGAUAUGGCGGACACUCUUCAAGCCUUCCUGUUAUCCUCGUGUUAUAAAGAACAGUAGCUCAUCGGGUACAGCUACUUCAAUCGUGAGGCAUGAUGCAUCUCCAAGGUCAGAUUCUCAAUUAUUAAGUUGUUUAUAUUGAUAAUUGAUUUUUUGUGUAGCCGGUGGCCGAUAUUCGACUUUAAUUACAUAUCGAUUCAAUGGCAUUCAUAGAACCCGAUCUAAUAUGUGCGGACCGAAUACUUGCCUUACCCCGCCACAAAGCUGCCGCUCUAUUCCCGAACGAUUAUGGAAAGUUGUGUGAGCAUCGCCCAUAAUUGGGUAAGAAAAUGUACACCUGCAAGUCGCAACCGUGCAGAACGUACAUGAUACAGUACGAUUAUACGACAAAGAGAGUGCUUCGAGAACACAAAAGGUUGAGUGUGUGCGAAGGAAAGUGUCCUCCGUGGAUAUACCAUACUCUCAACGAUUUAUCAGAGACUACAUGACCAGUCAACACAUUUCUGUACCUCGUUCAAAUGAUGACAAGACUCUGCGUACUACUAGCAUCUGAACUAACUUGUUAUGUUAUUAUAUGAUUUGAAGUUUUCUUAGCCGUGUCUUAGGCAUGGAAAGAUCGCAUGUUCUUGGUUUCCUGCUCUCAAAUGCUGAGAUACUCAUGAGAAGCUUCCAUACUUUCUCAAGGUGUUUGUGAGAGAAGGUGUUGUUAUGCCGUGGACCUACUUAUUUACCUGGUACUCCAAAUUCAGUUUUCGCGCUACCAGAAUCUUCUGCUGAAAAGGAGUCGUGAUAUCCUGUUCUCUGAACAUAUCACGUUUUCCUAGAGCGUUAUGUGACGAAGCAAACGAGCAUACUUGCAAAUCCAAGAAUGGGGAAUUCCAUUUGGUUAUCAGAAACUAAGAUGUUCCGCCUUAUCAAUCAGACAGAAAGUAAUGGUUCAUCCUCCAAGCUUCAGUGGAGAUUCCCCCGCCCAUACUGUUAACUCUCAAGCCCUGCGACAAUGGACUGUCAGCGGCAUGUGCUUUAAGCCUUUUAAGACAAUACUUUCCCGUAUUCAGAAGUCCGGGCUGUUGAGUUGGGAGUUUACAGAUGAUCUAUUUACAUUUUGAAAGAGUCUAUUGCAUGAAUGCGAUAUUGCAGGUGUUGAGUGAGAGCCAAAAAACGAAGCAAAGCGGAAGGAUCGAAAGCUUUUGGGGAUCUCGCUUGAGUAUAAGACUAGUUCUUGCAAGUUAAGCCGAGAGAGUAUUCACUGAUUGGUGUCCGGUGUACGUGAGAUUGCUAGCCGAACUAACGCAAGGGUAUGGUGUAUCCACUUUGAGUUCAUUGGUAGAUAGGUGUGGUUUGUUUGCUGCAUUGCUUCAACUAUUUUUUUCUUAUGGGUACUUCUCCAAGGAGAGGAUUUCGUGAAGCCUAAUGCUUCUGCGCCAAGGCUUCAUGAGCAAGCCUGCGAAGAAGAUUUCAAAUCAUUUGUUGCUGUUCUUUUCCUUUCAUUAUUUAAUGAAGGAAUGUAGCAUCCAUAUGGGGGACUGUCCUACAGUAUCAGAAGCUGCCAAAUGCCUUGUCCUCCUCCUAGUAGGCCCGUUCCGGUUUGUAGCAUAGUCAUUCAAUCAGGUCAUCCACUGGUUGAGGGCACGCCUCUCACUCUGGACUUAGCUGAUUAUCCUCAGCCCUUUAACAAGUGUUGCAGUUCUUUGUCGAGCACGAAGCCGAGAAAAGAAUCCGAGACUAUUCUCGAACGUUUGUUUCUGAUCUUGAUCCAUUAGGCAAGUUUAGCUGCUGUAGAAGAGUUUCUUUGGGCUCUCGGGAUCACCAGCCGCGAGGGGAAUCUGGUUCAGAGCCUGCCUGCCCUCUGCUGGAAUAACUCGGGGAAUCUGGAACUCACACCGCACAGGUGCUCGUGCUUCAUCUCUGGUCUACUUCAAAUCUGCUUCACCACUCGUUCGCCAUUCAACCGAUCCAGAAACAUCUGUGAAUAUAGGAGAUACAGCUAGGAGGGAACCACACAAAGGAGUAGCAAGAGCACAAGACUCAUCAAAGGAAGGGUAAGCUGUUUGAAGCCUUCUCAGGAUGAAGCAAGAGGACCUCAAACAGAAAUGCAGCUACGUAGACGGGCACUCUUUUGAUAAAAGAUGUUCAAACUGAAGCCACAAAUGGGGACACUACUCUGAGGUUGUUACUGAUACCAAAGUGACAUGUAAUUAUUAUUAUUAUUAUUAAUUUGUGAAUAUGCGUGUUUGGGUUAUUUUGUUCAUGCUAACAAAGACACUUCUAGUAGUACUUUUUCACUAAGCAAUCUUCUUUCUUGCAUAUCUGUAUGGGUUUUGAUAUGGCAUUGGGGUUCCCGAUAGGAUUCAGUUUACAUUCCCCAAGCUUAUUGUGUUGAUUAUCAAUUAAAAGAUUAAUUCUAACGCGACAGAGAAUCAUGGUUCAUUGUUUCUGAUGGGCUACUUUAUCGACAAGGGUUUAUUGGGUAUUUGGUGAACCAAACCUUGCUAAGGGCAACUUUAAGCGAGAUGGGUAUGUGGGGUAAGCAAGUGGACAUUAACUUUGGUGUCCCUAUAAUGAGUUAGUCCUCCACGCGUUUGCGCUCUUACAGCACUUUAUCUUUUUAAAUUUCUUUAUAUUGGUAAAGUUGGUUGGCAAUUCACUUCUUAGAUAUCUCAUCUCGGUAUGAGGUUUGUUUAAUACCACUAACAACCUCCUCCUUCUAGUGAGACGUAUUUUCUUUUUUCGAAAUUUUUUUUGGUUGAGUAAUCGCUGCCAUAGUCAUCCAAUCUGCCUUUCCAAUACAAUUUCUGUUGAACAGUCAUUGAUGUUGUCUUCUGUAGGAUGAGGAAUCUGAUAAUAUCGCCUGUGAGAUGGGAUGAAUUGUUUAGAAGAUGAUGAAAUAUCUCAGAUGACGAAGAUGUGACCUAUUAUGUAUGUUAUUGGAGUCUUUAAUUUUUAUGUCCUGAACAGGAGUAUUGGAUACUUUGAGUUUUUAUUGUUGCUAUUAUUGGGUACUUUUGGCAGGUUCUAAGAGAUGAUCUCUGGUCCCGCUUUGCAUGCCGGGAUAAAGUUACAACCUGCAUGUCAUAAAUUGGGAGAACUCAACUAAUGAGGAUGCUACAUUCUAAGCUUUCCAGCCAGCAACGUGAACAAUCUACUAACCCCAGCUUGUCUUCAGUAGCCAUCAGUCACUCCGACAAAAGGCUUGUGCUGUGAAAAUCUCAUCAUAGAAGCGCUCAUAAAGCAAUCCAGACGCAUGCUACAGUCGUAAGAGGCUGCCAGAUCUGCUGAGCGAUAGGCUAAUAGUAUUCUGCUUAAUUAGGUUCAAUAUAGACUUGCAUGUGAAUUUUGCUCUUGCCCCAUGGCUGGGCUUGGAUCUGCAGCAGGGGCAUUAGGGGAGGCAGAGAUAGAUCAAGGACGUCCUAUUUUUGUCAUUCUAGUGAUCCUCCUAAGUUGAUUUUUACUUUCUGGAGGGGACAGCUUAAUAGGCUCUGACAUCAUAUCGGCUAUUCAGAGGACAGCUUGUGCAGAUAGGUAGAUGAUGAAAGUAUGCUGGAGUGAUUUUGUAUCAGUAAGGUUGCAGGCUAUGGAGUGAUAUUUACACUAUCACUACCAGGGCCAGAACAUUCCAAAACUGCAGGCAUUCGUUUGUUGAGAAGGGCAUAACCAAGUAUCCAUACCCCAACACCUGCAUCACAUGAUCUGGACAGCUCAAAUUUCUGCGACUUAACAAAUAUUUCUUGCACCUUCACACUUGCAUUCGCAGAUUCCAUUCGAAUUCAAUUGCAUCGAAUGUCACUUGUCUAUGCGCUCCGUAGUAUAUAUAGAAUGCCAGGAGUCGAGAAGGCUUUUUGACAGCUUGGUGAUGGACUCAAUGUCUUAAGCAUAAACACAUACAAUAAUAUGCUACCACAUAGGCAUCUUACGUUCUCCCCCACAUAAUAGAUGCAAUCGGACUGGAGGCGGCUGAGCGCCAUAAACCUGCGUAGGUCAUCUUAGAGGGCUUGGAACUUUAGCACUACCUUCCAAUCCUCGCCUGAAGCUCAGAAUGCAACAGUUUCCGACAUUUUUGCGGAGGUAAAGUUUUGGAAUUGAUGACUUGAGUACAACUUGGUGCUAGAGUUUUUCCUUGAGGAAUUUAUGUAACGAACGCUAAAUCUACGUCGCAAAAUUGAGAUGAUCGCCGGCCAAAAAUUCAUAGCGACACAAUGCCCUUGUCAGUAGUCGUCCAGCCAGUGGGCGCGCGAAGUCUUCACUUCUUGAUCUUUGUGGUUACCAUGUCUUUACACCAUCACAUGAGAUCCUUAUCUUUCAUAUGUUCACCCUUUUGAGACUCGGAACAACGUAUGUCUCAUGAGUUCUCCCAUGCGCAUAUUAAGAGUAUGUCCCUCAGCCGGAACCGUCCCUGUACCUCUCCCUAUAUAUAUUCCGAGCACCAGCAGUGCUGACUGGUCCAUGCACAUUAACAAAAUUUCACAAAUUCUCCUCCCCGCAAUGAACCAGAAUGAGUCUAAACUGGGUGAGCAUAGGCACAAGAAGAAGUCUCACCUUGGGGCUAGCAAAGUCGACGAGUCUAUUUUACACACGAAACCGGAUUUUGGAUUCUGCCUGCCCAAGACAGUUAACUGAGCCAGAGAUGAUUGCAUUCCCCAUCUCCAGAAAAUCUCUGUCGCUGAAGUAAGCAGAUGAAUCUCUUUAUGAACUGGCGUGGGCCACUGAGCCUGAUGGGUCCAACUGCUCUUUAGGCUUUCAGUCAAUCCAGAGCCUAAACAACCUAUAAUGAACCACAAGCUCACUGGUGCGCAGCCCUACCAAGAGUAAACUAGUUGGCAAUUGCGAUAAGAACUGUGCAUAAUUCUUCAAAUGUACGCACAAAAUCAAUCGAAGUGCAAAUGAGGAAUGUUACUGUUAAAACUCUCAUUCAAGAUGGCUCACUCAAAUAUGCAAAUUACGGUCGACAAUAUGCCCUCAAAUGCUGAUCCCUCUUGUGUGUUGUCCCUUCUCCUGGAAUCCGAAAGCCGUUAGUUCGUAGCUCCUGUUAAUUGCCAGUUUUUCCAUACAGAAACAUUCAAGAAGUUCGAAGGUUCAAAGUCAAUAUACACUAAAUUAAGAAUUAGAGAAAAAAUAUAAAGUUUUAUUAGAAUGGAAAGUGCAAUUUCUAGUGUACAAAAAUUAGUAAUAAAUAAUGCACGUGAAAUAGUCACUAUUCGUAAGUUUACAUAUAGAAAAACAGACUAAAUGAAGAACAACCCUACAAUAACCAACCAGAAUUUGUUUAAAGUUUUGCUGGUCAGGCCCAGAUAGAAUAAGUUAAGAGAGAAAUAUAAAGUAGACGCUUUCUUAUUUUAUUUUUUUCUCAUGAUAAUCAAUUUACACCUAAUAAAUUUUAUUAAUGAUAAGUAGAUAUCUUAUAAGAAUAUAAAAUAAAUUUUCAUAUAUCAAAUAUUAACAAUUUUGAGAGGGAUGCUUAAAAAAGAAUUAAACCCAAUUUUCCAUCUCCUGAUCUAUCUUCCCUCCUUCAGGAAUGCGCUUCGACUUAACCACUCAUAUCCCUUGGCUAUCCGUGUCUCUCACAAAUGCAUAGUUGAAGACUUGAGCAAGAGUGAACAUCGUUAUAUAUGAAGCAUACACACUAACUCAGACAGAACUUCCUUCAGUGCUAGACGUGAGAAAUGAAACCCUCAUAUAAUAGUUAGAAUCCAAAAUUAUUACAUUAGGAGCUUUUCAAUUGACGCAGUACGAGCCUAGACGAUGCGGCCAUAUUGGUGCUGAACAAACCUCUGAAAUCAAUGCCCUUGAUUUUGAAGCCCGAAGCUCAAAACUUGGCGGAGUAGCGCAUCAGAUUCCUGCAAUUUCUGAGUGUUAAUACCUCUCGCGUUCUGUCUAUGAGAUUUGUUUAUCCCAACUUAGAUCACCUUGGCGAGCUUUAAUCUGCAGACUAUUAUUGAGUCUUUCCUGCGUUCGACCUCCUCGAAACCUAACUCGCUGGUGUGAAAUACUGCAAUGAUAUUCUUCAAACUGCGAUGCAGCCGCUGAAAUUGAUUCAAAACUUUUGGUACUUAGUUCUUCGGUGCAUUAAUAAUUUGGCUGUAGGGCUUUCAUUAUUUUAGGACUUUCUAUUCCUGCAUCAACGUACUAUCUUGGAGCUCAAUGGGAUGAAUCUCUCGAUAAUAUGGUCGCCUAUCUCUAGAUCCGGACUAUUGGUGUAAAAUACUGAUUUAAUCUCGGGUAAUUUCUAUAGGUUAGUUAGACACAAAUGGUCAAUUACACGUUGGCCAGGACCACGCGCUAGUACAAGCAUACAUUUCAUAAAUUCUCUAAGCCAUGCGUCGAUAGAGUCACCCCAGCACAGUGCAAGUAUCUUAAGGAUAUGAAUACUAAGUAGGCAAUAUGAAAGUGUGAAGCAAUGUGUGGGCCCAUAUGGUUAAUCUGAGAAUAGACAGACUCACCUCAGGUUCACCGAGUUUUCUAAAUCAAAAAUCGGGGUCGGUCGGUAUGUUGUCUUCUAGUAUACUAUUUUCUAAAGCGUUUGUUGAAAUAAAGACACUGACCGGUGAUAUAGCAGGAGCAAUUCAAGAUCUAAUGAAGUGCAGGAAUGAAAUUUUUAACAGAGGCUGACAACUCAGAGAGUGUGAGUCUUUCUUGUAUACAACGAAUACUGAGCGAUUCGACCUUUCUAUAUAAAUGUAUCAAGCCAUUCACGACGGGUGACUCAAAAAGAUGUCGUAAGACCGUCUGGAGCUCCGAGAAUUCGGAUGAUGAGGACAUAUUUCAAAUAAUACUCAAGAGGGCUAAGUCAGGAGAACACUUGAAAAGAAAGUUAUUCUGCACUUUUCCAUGCUAUAUCUGUGCCAACUGCAAGUUUAAACAUUCCCGCUUACAAUACGCGCCCAAAUCAGCUCUGAUGGAAAAAGUUACUUUGCGGGGCACGAAUGUUUGUAAAGAGCUCGCAUGGAAAUUCGCGCAGUGAGUUUAUCGAAGAAGCGAGCGUGUACUUAUUCAUCGCUACGUUCAGCACCUGGUCCAUCUCUGGGCGAAAACUCAUCUUACGGGUAUUUAAUCGAAAGUGAGGCAAUUUAUCAGAGGCGUUUAUGAAGCCUGUCUGUCACAAGCCCAAGUAAGUAAAUCUCAAGAACACGCACCUGGUCGUGCUCAGUCUUUGCAGGUACUGGCGUUCGCUGAGACACACGUGUCCUAACUACACUUUGCUUCAGCUCUUUUAGAUUACAUAUUUGGAGCUAAAAUUGCGUACUUCACUACGGACAGAGAGUUUGUCGGAGGAUUUUUCUGGAUAUGUAAAUAUAAUGAAGUAUAUAUUGAGUCUAAGCUUCCUACGCUCAUCUAUUGGCUGUUUACCGACAAACCGCGUGUGAAAGUAGAUAUAGUUCAGGUUUACCCAAUACCUGAUGUAUUAAAGUAAUGUUUUAUCUCUUUCUCUGUGUUACGUAAGCCUGUUGUCCAACCUCUCUACCCCUCCGUCCAAUAUGCAAUGUCUGAACAUACUAUUACUGCUUAAUCUUCAUAUCUACUCGAGAAUGACGCGCUUUUCUCUCUCCCUCAAAGACGUAUAAAGAACCUUCGUCGGAGUGAUGAUCAGUUCAGUCUUUGAAUCUUUAGUUGUCACUUUGGGUGUCCUCUGCUGCAAAAUACUAUUAUCGACUCACUCUCCUAGCGCACGAGAGGUAUCAUCAGUUGAGAUCAACCAGAGUAUGGUUUAAAUUGCUCUUUCUGAAUCGAGCCAUAAUUCUUACAAUCAUGUCUUUACUCCCUUUCCCAUUCUCUCUGUUUUCCGCUUUUUACUCUUACCCUGUACAAACUUCUCACAGGAUAGAGAGGUCAAAUACAUAUAUGCCAGGAAUACUCUCCCAGCUCUCCAAUAUACUUCGGACGACCAACAUUAUUUCCUGCGUCCACAUGAGUUGGACUAUCUGGACUGUUAUCGAGGUACAAGUCGGGCAAGAGGUGAAAAUUUGUGGAGUAGCAUGCAGACAGUUAAUGUGGAUACAAUCGUAGCAUGACUAUCACGCUAAAAUAAGUAGAAAUUACCACGAAGAAGAUAAUGCUUAUUAACUAUCUAGCGAACAAGCAUUGCCUCAAGCCAUAAGUGAGUGUUUUGAGCUGAGAUCUGUUGAUAUUCUAAUGACUGAAACUUCGCUCUACAUUCUGCUGAGAGGACGAGAGACGAGACCGAACAAUUUGGCAGUGACCUGUUGCACGAUGAAUCAGUCAUAUCAGUCAAAGAGGAGUUCUGAGGCGAAGAACUCAUGCAGGAAGAUGCUUAUGGCAAUGACCAACCAGCCUCGCCAGAAAUGGAGACUCCAUAGAGCGAGGAAAAUGGAUAACAUUCUUAAAGCUAUGGAGGACAUAGUGACAACAACAUAUCAUCGUUCUGUGCUCGAAAUCCUUCAAUGUGCGCGAGUGCGCUUCUCUGUUCAAAGAAUUUGCAAAAGUUGUUCUAGUUCUAUUGAUCAUCAGUGUAGCACAGUUCUUCUUGUGUUUAUAAAUUUGUAGGUUUGCGUCGAUGAUUAGAUAGCUCGGUUUGUGGAACCUCCAACGACUCUCAUGGGGUCGACUUGACUAGGCGUUGUUAAGGGCUGACAGCUUUCUCACCAACCCUUAAUCAAGCCUUAAGAUUUCAAGUCACCAACUGGCAAGAAGAGAGGCCCACGCAUCAAUUCUUGACAUAGAGCCAUCUUACCUUUGACGCACACAAGUCUGGUCUCAUUGACUUGGUGAAUUAAUGCAGAACCUCUGGUUGUAAUCUCACAGACACACUAAUCGGUUCACCGUUUCUUCGUGCCUUGUCUUGUGGCCCUUUCGAUUUAACCUCUCUCAGAAGAAUCAAUGCAUCAGACCCUGAAGAAGUUUCCGGCCAAAUUCAAGAUCAAGCCUCGACGGCCCUUGAGGAAAUCACAAGUCCGAUUCAAGAUCAAGCGUCCACCAUAUUUGAAUCAAAUCCAGUUCAAGAAUAAGCUGUGGAAAAUCAACAAUUGGAGGAAUCCAAAAAAUCCUCCAACCCAGUUCAAGAUCAAAGCUGUGGAAAGUCAACAAAGCGCAAAAACAAAUACGUGCCGAUUCAUCCACUACCAAAACCAAAGAUCAUCUACCACAUAAAGCUCCUUGUGGUCCAAUUUCAACCUUCAAGAUCAAGCCUCGACGGCCCUUGAAGAAAUUUCGAACAAAGUCCAAGAACAAGCCUCAACGGCCCUUGAAGAAAUCUCCAGCCCAAUUCAAGAUCAAGCCUCGAUGGCCCUUGGAUUGACAACUACAUUAACGGACUUCAAAACGCAUCUCCUACAUGUAACAAGCACAUGUAUACAACGCGCCUUGAAGUGGGGGCAUUUGUAGACAUUGAAAUUUCGGUGGCAUAAAUGUUAGCCAUUGCAUUAAGAUUACAUUUGUAAACAUUGAAAUUUUGGUGAAAUAAAUGUUGACCAUUGUAUUAAAAUUACAACCUUCAUUCACUUCACCUCACCUACAUCAUAGUUUCACUACAAGUUCCACAGUUUCACCUACAAACAUCCACCAAGUUUCACCUACAACAUCCACCAAAAUACAAUCACCUACAACAUCCACCAAAACAAAUGGAUGGUGGUGAUUCGUUCCCAAAGCCUAUAAAUAGGCUCAUCCAUCAAAGAAUCAAUAAACCAAUUCACAAAUACAUUUCUCUACUCCCAAAAUGGAAGAGAAUACUCCCCACACAUCCAAAAUCCUUGAAGCUUUGAAACUCUAAAGCUUUCAAGCAUCCAACCUCCCAAAUUCAAGCAAAUCCCGAAGGAUCAAGAAAGCCCUCUUCGUUCUUCGUCAAAUCCUCCUUCAAGAUCAAGCCCUAACGGCCCUUGAAGAAAUUUCUCCUUCAAGAUCAAGCCCCAACGGCCCUUGAAGAACUUCCACCAAUUCAAGAUCAAGUCUCGACGGCCCUUGAAGAAAGUGUUCAACAAAUCCACACAACUGUUCAUCCUAAGAUCAAGCCCCGACGCCCCUUUUGGAUCAACAACAUCACCAAAUCCACAUAAAUGUUCAUCCUAAGAUCAAGCCCCAACGGCCAUUUGGAUCAACAACAUCAACAAAUCCACACAACUGUUCAUCCUAAGAUCAAGCCCCAACGGCCCUUUGGAUCAACAACAUCAAUAAAUCCACACAACUGUUCAUCCCAAGAUCAAGCCCCGACGGCCCUUGGAUCAACAAUCAUCCAUCUUCAAGAUCAAGCCCCGACGGCCCUUGGAUCAACCAUCCACCAAUUCAAGAUCAAGCCCCGACGGCCCUUGAAGAAAGCACCAUCGUUCAUCAUCCGUUCAUCCAAGAUCAAGCCCCGACGGCCCUUGGAUCAACAACAUCAACAAAUCCACACAUCCAACCGUUCUUCAAGAUCAAGCCCAAAAGCCCUUGAAGAUCCGUUCAUCACCGUUAUUCAAGAUCAAACCUUAACGGCCCUUGAAGAAACACUCAUCCUCAAGAUCAAGCCCCAAUGGCUCUUUGAAGAUCCGCUCAAAUCCACCUUCAAAGAUCAAGCCCACGGCCCCUUGAAGAAACUUCCAACAGUUCAUCCAAGAUCAAGCCUCGACGGCCCUUGGAUCAACGAAACAUCCAUAAAUCAACACCUUACGGAGAUCGAAUCAGAUGAUCAAAAUUGAGAGAGAUUGUAACCCAAAUCAAAAUCACAAAAUAUUAUUUUGUGCACGUUGUUCUUGUCUUUUUCGUUUCAGGAAUUUUCCGUGUUCACACCUGGCAAUUCCUGACACGACCUGAUAAUCCGACACGACACGACACAAAAUUAACAGAUGUUCGGGUCGACACGAUAACGAAUCGGGUGUUAUCGGGUAACCCGAUAAGCAACUGUUAAGAUAACGGGUUAGUUCGAGUAUACAUGUGGAUAACACGAUAAGCACCUGUUAAUAAUUUUAUAACGCUAAAAAAUACUAUAAUAAUUAUAUAUAUUAAUUUAACAAUUUUAUACCCCUAAAAAGUUUAAAACUAUAAUAAUUAUAUAUAUAUAUAUUAAAUUAACUAUAAUAAUUAUAUAUACUAUAAUAAUUAUACCCCCAAAAUAUUAACUAAAAUAAUUAUAAUAAUUAUAUAUACUAUAAUAAUUAUACCCCCAAAAUAUUACUAUAAUAAUUAUAUAUAUAUAUAUAUAUAUUAAGUUUUAAAUUAAAUUUAUACCCCUAAAAACUAUAAUAAUUAUACGUACAAAAUAAAUAGAUUUAAAUCUACAUAAUAUAUAUAUAUAUACACACCAUUGAACUUGAUGGAAUACACGAAACUAAUUUCAACGAUCCAACCAUUAAACUUGUUUGUAUAUGCUUCGAGAUCGCAUCAGCAAAAAAUUGCAAAAAACAAACAUUUAGAGAUCAAGUAACGAGACAAAACUUUUCGACGGUUAUAAAACAAAAAAUUACGAUUUAACAGUUAUUUUAACUCCGAUUUUGAUAUUUUUUACAGCUACACUCGUUGACCAUAUAUGAAUACAAUGAAUGAAUUCGAUUUUCAAUUUAAAAUAUUUACACUAGUGGAUACUACAAAAUUUUAUGUUAUACUUAAUGAAAAUAUAAAUAAACUCUAAGUGUUAGUGAAUCUAUCGUUUUGAUGAGAUACAAACUCUAUGAAACUAAUUUUAACGAUCCAACCGUCAAACUUGUUUGUAUAUGCUUCGAGAUCACAUAUGCCAAAAAUCACAAAAAAAAAACAAUCAGAGAUUAAGUAAUGAGACAAAACGUUUCGACGGUUAUAAAACAAAAAAUCACGAUUUAACGGUUAUUUUAACUCCGAUUUUGAUGAUUUUUUACAACGACACUCCUUGACCCUAUACGAAUUCAAUGAAUGAAUUGGAUAUUCAAUUUAAAAUAUUUACACAAGUGGAUAUCACAAAAUCUUAUGUUAUACUUAAUGAAAGUAUAAAUAAAAUCUAACUGUUAGUGAAUCUAUCGUUUUGAUGAGAUAUGAAUUCUAUGAACCUAAUUUUAACAAUCCAACCGUCAAACUUGUUUAUAUAUGCUUCGAGAUCGCAUACGCCAAAAAUUACAAAAAACAAACAUUCAGAGAUCAAGAAAUGAGACAAAACAUUUCGACGGUUAUAAAACAAAAAAUCAUGAUUUAACGGUUAUUUUAACUCCAAUUUUGAUGAUUUUUUACGACUACACUCAUUGACCCUAUAUGAAUACAAUGAAUGAAUUUGAUCGUCAAUUUAAAAUAUUUACACAAGUGGAUACCACAAAAUCUUAUGAUACACUUAAUGAAAGUAUAAAUAAACUCUAAGUGUUAAUGAAUCUAUCGUUUUGAUGGGAUACGAAUUCUAUGAAACUAAUUUUAAAAAUCCAACCGUCAAACUUGUUUGUAUAUGCUUCAAGAUCGCAUACGCCAAAAAUCACAAAAAACAAACAUUCAGAGAUCAAGUAAUGAGACAAAACUUUUCGACGGUUAUAAAACAAAAAAUCAUGAUUUAACGGUUAUUUUAACUCCGAUUUUGAUGAUUUUUUACAACUACAAUCUUUGACCCUGUACGAAUACAAUGAAUGAAUUUGAUCGUCAAUUUAAAAUAUUUACACAAGUGGAUACCACAAAAUCUUAUGUUAUACUUAAUGAAAGUAUAAAUAAACUUUAAGUGUUAGUGAAUCUAUCGUUUUGAUAUGAUACGAAUUCUAUGAAACUAAUUUUAACGAUCCAACCGUCAAACUUGUUUGUAUAUGCUUCAAGAUCGCAUAUGCCAAAAAUCACAAAAAACAAACAUUUAGAAAUCAAGUAAUGAGACAAAACUUUUUCGACGGUUAUAAAACAAAAAAUCAUGAUUUAACGGUUAUUUUAACUCCGAUUUUGAUGAUUUUUUACAACUACACUCCUUGACCCUAUACGAAUACAAUGAAUGAAUUUGAUCGUCAAUUUAAAAUAUUUACACAAGUGGAUACCACAAAAUCUUAUGUUAUACUUAAUGAAAGUAUAAUUAAACUCUAAGUGUUAAUGAAUCUAUCGUUUUGAUGCGAUACGAAUUCUAUGAAACUAAUUUUAACGAACCAACCGUCAAACUUGUUUGAUAUGCUUCGAGAUCGCAUACGCCAAAAAUCACAAAAAACAAACAUUCAGAGAUCAAGAAUUGAGACAAAACUUUUCGACGAUUAUAAAACAAAAAAUCACGAUUUAACGGUUAUUUUAACUCCGAUUUUGAUGAUUUUUUCAACUACACUCCUUGACCCUAUACGAAUACAAUGAAUGAAUUUGAUCAUCAAUUUAAAAUAUUUACACAAGUGGAUACCACAAAAUCUUACGUUAUACUUAAUGAAAGUAUAAAUAAACCCUAAGUGUUAGUGAAUCUAUCGCUUUGAUGGGAUAUGAAUUCUAUGAAACUAAUUUUAACGAUCCAACCGUCAAACUUGUUUGUAUAUGCUUCGAGAUCGCAUAUGCCAAAAAUCACAAAAAACACACAUUCAAAGAUCAAGUAAUGAGACAAAACUUUUCGACGGUUAUAAAACAAAAAAUCACGAUUUAACGGUUAUUUUAACUCUGAUUUUGAUGAUUAUUUACAACUACACUCCUUGACCCUAUACAAAUACAAUGAAUGAAUUUGAUCUUCAAUUUAAAAUAUUUACACAUGUGGAUACCACAAAUCUUAUGUUAUACUUAAUGAAAGUAUAAAUAAACUCUAAGAGCAAGUCCACCCCUAAGGACUUUGCGCCAGCACCCAGCGUAUUUAUCCACCCAAGUGAACAGUAAUAGACCCCAAUGAACAGUAAUAGGCUAAAGCAGCUCCACCCCUAAAAAUGGACUGGCACCCAGCCCAUCUAAUAUUAUAUUAUUUUAUUCAUAUCAAUUAAUAUUUUAUCAUUUAAUUUAUUUUUUCUUCCUUUCUUUGUCCGGUCCUCACCCUUUUAUUCUCUCUCUCUCUCUCUCUCUCUCUCUCUCUCUCUCUCUCUCUCUCUCUCUCUUUUCCAGCUCACUCCCGUGAGCUCUCUCUCUCUCUCUCUCCUUUUUCUCCAUGUUUUCUUCUUCAAAUGAGCACCCAGCACCUGAAAUGGACCUCUUCCCCCAAAAAUGGGAGGUCGCCGUGGAGGUGCUCCACACCAACGGUUGGGAUCUCGCCGGAGCUCCACACAAACGCUCACAGGCACCUCGUUGUCGUCUCCUCACCGGAGCUCGCCAUGGAGGUGCUCCACACCCACGGAGUCGGAUCUCGCCGUGGAGGUGCUCCACACCAACGCUCCUCGAAAAAUGGACCUCCUCCUCCUCCGCAUUACCCGGCUGGCGUCAGCAUGAGUCAGAUGUACCGGGCAACACCUCAGUCAAUUUUGGACUGGGCUACAGACCAGCUUGCGCUGGGUGCCAGUCAAUUGGGUCGGGUGGAGGGGUUUCACAGGGUGCUGGGCAGUUUUUUCAGCUGGGUGCUGGGCAAAAUGCCCUCCGCUGGAACUGCUCUAAGUGUUAGUGAAUCUAUCGUUUUGAUGAGAUACGAAUUCUAUGAAACUAAUUUUAAUGAUCCAACCGUCAAACUUGUUUUUUAUUAGGCUCUUAUUUUCAUGUGUAGAUGUAGUACUUAAAUGACAAAUAUGUUUUAAUGUUUUGAAGUAAUAUUUAUGUGGUCAAACUUGUUUUUUAUUAGGCUCUUAUUUUCGUGUGUAGAUGUAGUACUUAAAUGACAAAUAUGUUUUAAUGUUUUGAAGUAAUAUUUAUGUGGUAAUGUGUGGUAUAUGCAAAUUUAAGAAAAAAAUAUAUUUUUCUUAACGGGUCAUAAAGGGUCGGGUCACUUUACCCAGGGUCGGGUCACUUUACCCGUUGGGUAAAGUGACCCGACCUGUUAAAGACCCGUUAAGAUAACAUGUGUGACACGACACGACCCGUUACGAUGACAGGUGUUAUACGAAAACGACACGAACACGACAGACACGACCCGUUUGCCAGGCCUACUUCUAUGACAUAUUAAAUACCUCCUUGAGCACAAAAAUAGAAAGAAAGGAGGCAUAACAUAUAAUAACUCUAGUUUGGGCUAAUUCAUUCACAUACUAAGUGUCAAAGAGGUUAAUAUAUAUAUAUAUAUAUAUAUAUAUAUAUAUAUAUAUAUAUAUAUAAUAUAUAUUUUUUUUUUUUUUUUUUUUGGUCGAAGAGGUUAAUAUUUUUAUUGGAACUAAGACUUCUGUUUUAAACAAAAGAAGAAAACACGCGGCAGACAGAAAAACAUAAAGUGGAGUACUUACAUCAGGCCAAGAAUCGAUAAUGAGCUCUGCAAUUCAUUGGCUAUAUCUCAUUCCACAUCAACUUGUUCCUUCUCAGUUGGCCGCUAAAACCAACCAUUCCAAUUUAAUUAUAAGAAAUCAAUAGGAAGGCUAGUAAUUUAUUGUCAAAGUUCACCGUAUAUAGAUUUCCUCAGAUAUAAUUCAUCGUAUAUAGAUUUCCUCAGAAAUACGAUAAAAUACAAUUACAUUAAAUCUAAGGGUUGAAUUGCAAACUCAAGCAUUUCCUUGUAAAUAAAAACUAAUAAUAGCUCAUGACAAAAAAUUUACAGAACACAUAAAGUAGAAACAUUAGUACCUAAUUAGACAUGAAAAUUACAGAAUAAGCCGGAUUAAGCCAUCUAAAAACAGAAUAAGCCACUCAGUACUACGAUGGUCUAGUGAUAUUUCUCUUCACUUUGAAGUGAGAUGUCGUAGGUUCGAAUAUCGUGGAUGGUGAAUUCGAUAUCAAAUUAGGCUGUCUAAUGUGUGACUUAGCCAAACUUCCCCUCCCUUGGUAUAAAAAUACGAUGUACUAAAAAAAAAAAAAAAAAAAAAAAACAGAAAAUUAAUACCACCAUAGCGAAAUACUACAGAAUAAUCUAAUUAUUUAUGCAUUUGGCAAGUUAAAAUAAUUAACUAAAAAACUUGGAGCAAAACAACACUUUAAUUCCAUGGUUGGUUUUAUAUAUGUGUUUGGGCCCAAAAUAAUAGUUUGGGUCGAGUUUAGUGACUCUUGGCGUAGUAACCAUUUAGGGUGUGUUUGUUGCACCAAACUAUCUCGAACUGGACUUAGCUCAUGGACUAACCUAGAUUGACUUAGACUAGAUUAAGCUGGACUAACUUAGUGAAGCGUUUGUUGCAGUGUCAGACUAAAAAGCUGGACUAACAAUAAAUUAUUAUUAUAUUCUAAUUUUUUUUAUUAAGAAUAUCAAAAUUAAUAGAUUAAAGAAAGAGGAUAUCUUCUUCGCCAAUUUCCUGGUGUUCCUCAACACCUUGGAAGUUACAAAAUUUCCAAUAACAAAAGGCUUAAACUUGAUCUUGAAGAUAAACCUCCGCUGCUAAAGACCCAAUUCCCAAAUAUUUUGAUUAUUACAAAUAAAAAGUACCCAUAACCCUAAAAAUACCCAAUCUUCAUCCUUCUCACCCUCAGAUUCCUAUACCCAUGGCCAUGUAUGCGACUGAAGAUAGACAUCGACCACUAAAGGCCGUCGUCGAAGAGUCGAGCUUAAUCAUCCAAAGAAAUCGCCAGAUUAUAUAAUCGAUUCGGUUUGAGAUUUGCAUCGAAUGCGACCGCUAAGAGGAACUCAUCAAUUAAUUUCCCAACGAGCUUGAUCUAGCAGAGAGAGGUAAAGACAAAGAUAGAUGAGGAAAGACGAAGAAGGAGGUAGCAAGUGAGGAAAGCGAAGAAGAAGGCAUAUCGUAGUCCUUGGCAAUCCCAUGGUUUAACACGAGACUAUUUUGGACAAUCUAACGAGGCUCGGAGUCCACACGAGUCCGGGCUAGUCUCAUUUAAGUUAGUCCCCAAGCAUACCAAACAUGAGACAAUAAUCCUAGCUAGUCCAGUCCCACUUAAGAAGGUGAAACAAACACACACUUAGAGUCCUAUCAUGGGCCGUCCAAUCAUCAUCGACCGUCUAGUUAAGGUUGGCCGAAUCCCAUUGCAAAGAGGAUUGGUUUAGAUAAAAAGUAUACUCUAAGAGACGAGCGAUAAUAGUGCUAUACAUACCAGGUUGCUCAAACUACUGGUCAAUAAAGGCCACGAAGAUGGACCCGUCGAUCGUUCCCGACAGCCCUCACUUAAGAAUAAUUUGCCACCAGUGAUACAAGCCGAGACAAUAUAUGGUUGGCUCAAAAUGAUUGACUUAAAGAAAAGGGGUGGAUCAACUAGUAGAUCAGACAUAUUUGACCAAGGAGCGGAAACAACAUCUAUUGAUAUGGUCGAGGUUUAGAGAAUGAUUGAUUCGGCCCUAAAAAAAGGGCCGAAGUUUCCGAAAUUCAUUCACCCAUAUCCAGCAUUCGUAGAAAAGUUUGAAUACCCCAAGAGGUUCAAAAUUCCGGAUUUCAACCUUUUCGCCGGAGAGUCAUCCUUAUAGUCGUUAUAACAUGUAGCUCAAUUCACUGCCCAACGUAGGGACGUUAACAAUGAUUUUCAUAAGCUUCGACUGUUCAAUUUCUCAUUAACCGGCUCAGCAUUCGCGUGGUAUAUAAACCUUUCACCUAAUUCCAUCCAAAGCUGGGAGGAAUUAGUUAAGAAAUUUCAUGAGCAGUUCUAUCGACCAGGGAUGGAUGUGUCAGUAUUUUCUCUGGCCAGGAUGGCUCAAGCUUCUGACGAGUCGCCAAUGGAAUACCUUACGAGGUUUAAGUCGGCCAAAAACUGGUGUCGAGUAUCUAUCCCAGAAGUCGAGUUCGUUAGGCUUGCCUUGAAUGACCUAUAUGUGGAAUACAAAAAGAAAUUUUUGAGGGAAAACUUCGAGAUAUGUACGAACUGGCUUAACAUGUUGAGCAAUAUGAUUAUUUGCUACGAGAAUAAAAUAUUUGAAGCCCCUAUCCUGAGGAACAAUCUACAAGAACCCUACGGUCAGUUAUGCAUCGGUCGAAGGCGAAGAAUCCCAAUAUGCCAGUAUUGACGCGGCCGAGAUAGUGAUUGACAAGCCAUACAUAUGCAAAGCAUUGGCUUAUGCUAAUUCCAAGGAUGCCAAAACCCGCUCGGCCUCUGAAGAAGCUACCAUCAAAACAUCGAAAGUUUAUACUGUUGACAUUACCAAGGCCGACGCCAUCUUCAAGUAGCUGUUGCUCGUGAAAAUUAUCAAGCUUCGGUAAGGGCAUAACAUUUUCAAGGCUGAAGAUUUGAAAGGAAAAACAUAUUGCAAGUACCAUGACUUGAACAAACAUACAACAAACAACUACGUCGUAUUUCGUGAUGUCAUCUAGAUCUGGAUCGACAAUGGUAAGCUCAAGUUCCCCGAGAAACAAAUGGGCGCUGACACCGAUCAUUUUCCUACGGUGACAGUAAACAUGGUAGAUGUUCAUCUACCGAGGGAUAAAGGAAAAUGAAAAGCCGAGUUCGUUCCAAUGCAAUUCAUCCCAAAGCAGAACUCUCAACCACGAUUGAAGAUUGAUUUAUUUUCAAACGAGUACCCCAAGAUUUGAUUGGACCAACUAUUAUCGAGUCAAUGUCGGACUCCAGCACUGAGGAAACCGACGAGCCGAUAAAUCUUAUGUAGUCGGUGUAAAACAAAUGUCAUCUUAACUGAGCCGAAGAAAAAGCUAUUUCGAACUAAAAGGUCACGACAGGCAUCCACAACUGCAACACCAUCCCAAAAGGUACUUGGGGUAGGACAACACUAGAAAGUUUUGAUAGGCUCGGCCCGCAGGUACAAGACAAGAUGCCAUCUUCGGCCAGACGACACCUUGAUUUCAACGUGCAGUUUUACAACGAGGAUUAUUAUACGUGUAACUCUGGUAAUUCAAGUUCACCUGCGAACCAGUGUAUCAUCAGACCUCCUGAGCCACGUGAUCAACACUGGUAUACUUAUAACUCCCCUACCAGUGUAUACAUUGCGUUGUCCAAAUCGUUAAAACGUCGGAGCCAAAGAAUAGAUUGUAUAGCCCGCCGACGAGCAACUUAGGAUACCUCGGUUACCAAGUGGAAGCCGAAGGAAACGACCAAUAAUAAAGAUGACCGAUAACCUCCUGCGAUCAUGAUCGAGUUGCUCCAAGGGAAGAAAGUGAUUGAUCGUGACUUUGAAACCACGAUCGAAGAAUCCAAAAAGUGAAUCAAACUCCUCAUUCAACCUGAGGAAAUAGAAGCUCGCCUCGAGCACUUCCGGAAUGAGAUUAAGAGCAAACUUCCCCUGCUAUCUACACAAGAACCGUUGAUCAGAGUUAGAUAGAAUCUCCACCCACCAUUUCUUAGUGAAACUUUAGAAUACAUGCGAGAGUUUCACAAGAAGCAUUCGGCAAAUGAUUUAUACGGCUUGCCGAAAGCAUGCCAAGAUACUCUUGAUCUUGUUCUAACUUGCCCCGAUGUUGAAUGAAUCAUCCAAAAGACCUCAGAUCCGGGGAUGAAAGCUAGGUUCCAACAUAUACGAGAGCCUUGAGUUUUCGACUUCGAGGUAGAUCCAUAUAUUGAUAUUGACGCUGCCGAACUUCCUCUUUCGAUGACCUUCAAUAUUUACGAUACUAUUUCAAAGUCUUUUCAGAUGUUUCUCUCUUCGACCUUACUGUCGAUGAAAAGGAAUGCGUAGCACAAUUAGAUGCUUACCUUGACACGAGAGAUACUCGCAUCACAUAUCAGGAGCAAACUCAUAUGUCGUCACAAGACCAAAACCCAGUUUUAACACUGAACGAACCUGAGGUCAACAUGCAGAAUGAGAAGACUCUAGUGAACAUACCGCAUGAGCAUACCCCGGCGUCAGCUGAAAAAAGCAAGCAAAUACUGCCCAUACGUAGGACACCUCACCCGAAAGUCCAGAAGAAGAAGAUCAUGACCCGAUAGGUCAUUCGGUCAUCGACAACAGGGAAAUCAGCAUGGUCUAUGUUUUACCUACCGAGUUCCAACCAACCACAUCCCAACCAAAUUUCCUGGACAGCAACGUGGUUGCCGAGGAAGCCACGCAAGUUGAUUUUAUGGUCGCCGAAGAGAUUUAGCAAGCAACAAAAGAAGAUAAACUUAAAACAGUUUUUGCCGAAUUGUUUCCUCACUUUUCAUCAGUUAAUCUCCAUCAUCUUAAGCCGUUAUAUGUUAUGGCUCAUAUUGAAGGAUAUCCGGUCUUCAAAAUUUUCAUCGACUAUGGAGCAACGGUCAACAUCAUGCCUGUUGUUAUCAUGAACACAUUACGUCGUUCCAACGACGAACUUAUUCCAUCAGGGGUCACCAUGAGCAGCUUCGUCGGUGACAAAUCCCAGACCAAAUGAGUGCUUCCGUUGGAGGUAAUUAUCGUAGGUCGUAAUCACAUGACUGUAAUUUUCAUAGUCGAUUCAAAGACAGGGUAUAAUGCAUUUCUUGAUCAUGACUGGAUCUAUCAAAUGAGCUGCAUCCCCUCGUUAUUAUACUAGGUCAUUAUCUUUUGAGACGGCAAAUCGAUCUUAGUUCAUCUAGCCGACAAUUAGCCAUUCGAAGCAAAUAUGAUUCAAGCUCGUUAUUAUGACGAUCACGUCGGCUACAUCACCCUGCAAGCGUUUGAUGAGGAAUGACGGUCGACUUAGAUCUCAGUUCAGAAAGCCAUCGAGGUAAGCGCCGAGAUUGUUCAUUAAGAUUCGGCGAAACUAGGGUUGGCCGACCUAGUUGCCGAUCCUGAUGUCUGGUACCAAACUAGAUAGAUGCUGGGCCAUGGUUUCAUCCAUCAUAGAACGACUACUGGCGCAUUGGUAUGCUAUUUCUAGGUAGCUAAAUUCGGGUGUGAACUUGGUAGAGUUUCUCGCCGAAGGAAACAACAGUCCAGUUUUAUCACUUGACAAGAUUCAAGCUGCCAUGGCCGAGCUCGAAGACAGUCGGGCCCAAGUCAAAGAACCUUUAGAGGAAGUAAAUGUCGAAACGGCCGAAAACCCACGGCCUUUGUUUAUUAGUGCUUUGUUACCCCAACCUAUGAAAACUGCACUUUGUAAUUUACUCAAGGAAUUUAAAGAUUGUUUUGCUUGAGUUACCAUAAGAUGCCUAGUUUAGACCGAACGUUCAUCUAGCACGAAUUACGCAUCAAACCUGGUUGUAAACCGUUCCUCCAACCCCUCCCCCCCCCCCCCGACGAUUCUCGACCGAAGUACAACUUGGCAUAAAAGAUGAACUCGUUCGACUUUUAAAAGCUGGGUUUAUCCGGACAACUCGAUACAUUGAAUGGCUGGCGACCAUCGUCCUAUUUUUACAGAAAAGUGGUGCUCUACAUAUUUGUAUCAAUUUUUGAAAUUUGAAUUUGGCAACCCCUAAAGACGAGUAUACAAUGCCAAUUUUAGAUUUGUUAAUCGAAGUAGUAGUACACCAUGAGAUAUUAUCCUUCAUGAAUGGUCAUGCUGGUUACAACCAGAUUUUCAUUGCUGAGGCCGACGUCUAUAAAAUUACUUUUCGUUGCCCAUGGGCACUCGGGACUUACGAAUGGGUCGUCAUGCCAUUUGACUUGAAAAACACUGGUGCCAUAUGCCAACGUGCUAUGAAUACGAUUUUUCAUGUUUUAAUUGGUACCAUCAUCGAAGUCUAUUUUGAUGAUGUUGUAGUUAAAUCAAAACAUCGCCGAACACAUUUAGAUGAUCUUCGGCAGGUUUUCCUUCAAAUGCGCCAACAUAACCUUAAAAUGAAUCCUGCCAAAUAAGCAUUUGGUGUAUCGGUCGGCAACUUUUUAGGUUUUCUUGUACAUCAUCGUGGCAUUGAAGUGGACACAAAUAAAGCUCGGGUGAUCAUCGAUGCUCCACCUCCGACAACAAAGAAACAAUAACAAUCACUACUCGAUAAAGUCAAUUUCCUCUGCCGUUUCAUUUCUAACUCGGCAGGGAAGAUGAAAGCUUUCUCCACGCUCUUGAAACUUAUAGAUUCGGACAAAUUCGAAUGGCGUGAGGAGCACCAAGAUGCUUUCACGAAGACAGCCAACGGAUUCCUCGGCGGCCAAAAUAUACAACUUGAGUGAUUUACCGCGCCGAGGUGGCACAAUGACAUGUGGGUUAGUGAGGGAGACCCUAAUUUGUUUACUUUUAUUAAUUAAAUUCGUUUUUAAUUUAAGUAGGUUAUAAACUCAAUCAUCUCAAUUUCUACUUUACAAUAAUUAAUUGGAAUUUGGUUUGUUUCGAAUUAUUUAAUAAUUCCUGUGGAGAACGACCUUGCGAGAUCCGUUUAUACUACAAUAACUUUGUCAUUCUUACAAGUAUUAUAGGAGUUUUUAGCCCGUUUACGUGUGUAGUAAAAUCCGUAUCACCUUUCUUCAGACAGACUUUGAUCCCCCGCCAAAACCUGUAAGUGACACAUCAACUGGUAGAAGUGGCGUGCCUAUAGGUACGGUGGUUGGAAUUGUGGUUGGGGGAGUCUUAAUUAUACUACUGAUAUUUGGUGUUCAUUGGAAGAGAGGCCUCUUGGGGCAACAAAAGACAUUGGAGGAUGGUAUUAAUUUGCAGUUUAUUCUGUUAUACUGGUUUUUCCUUUUUGUUUCUCCAUUACUUUUUCUCAUCGACCUUUUUUCGUAACUAAUUAAGUACAACAUUUAUGCUAUUUUGCAUGGUUCUCCUGCAUAUUGACGUGCACUACAAAGACAGUAAUUAUUUAGAUAUUGAGCUUUCCGGCACUUUGAUGUUGCUGUAAUAUAUUUAUCUUCCAAACUCAUGAUGCAAAGUGUCUGCCUUACUUGUUAAAUUCUAGAAUCAGGCACAAAAUAUUAAGAACUAAGAAUGCUGUCGUUCUGAAAGUUUUCUUAAGACACAAUUUCUUAUGAGUUUUACUUGUUAUAUAGAUUUGAAGGGUGUGGACCUGCAAACUGGUAAAUUUACCUUCAAGCAACUCAAAGAUGCCACAAGCAACUUUAAUAGAGGCAAUAACUAGGUCUGGCAAACGGAUCGUGUCAAUCGUGUUCGUGUAACAUCUGUUAUCUUAACGGGUCGUGUCGUGUCACACCUGUUAUUUUAACGGGUCCUCAACAGGUCGGGUCACAAAACGCUUACAUUUUGCAUAUCCUUGCACAUUUAAAGUGACCCGACCCGUUAUGACCCGUUAAGAAAAAUAUUUUUUUUUCUUAAAUUUGCACAUACCACACAUUGUCACAUAAAUAUUACUUCAAAACAUUAAAACACAUUUGUCGCUUAAGUACUACAUCUACACUCGAAAAUAAGAGCCUCAUAAAAAAUACAUCCAUACACUACUAAUUUAUUACAAAUAUUAAAUGUGCAAGGAUAUGCAAAAUGUAAGCGUUUUUGUUUUCAAGGUUGUGAAGCCUUUCUCAAAAGUUUAAACCUUGCCAAUGGAACUCAAAGCUUAAUGAAACUGACCCACUAGUGUGUUUAUUCGUACUUUCAUUAAGUAUAGCAUAAGAUUUUGUGGUAUCCACUAGUGUAAAUAUUUUAAAUUGAAUAUCGAAUUCAAUCAUUGUAUUCAUAUAGGGUCAAGAAGUGUAGUUGUAAAAAAUCAUCAAAAUCGGAGUUAAAAUAACCGUUAAAUUGUGAUUUUUCGUUUAUAACCGUUGAAAAGUUGUGUCCCGUUACUUAAUCUUUAAAUGUUUGUUUUUUACAAUUUUUGGCGUAUGUGAUCUCGAAGUAUAUACAAACAAGUAUGACGGUUAGAUUGUUGAAACUAGUUUCGUAGAAUGCGUAUCCCAUCAAAACAAUAGAUUCACUAACACUUAAAAGUUUAUUCUUACUUUCAUUAAGUAUAACAUAAGAUUUUGUGGUAUCCACUAGUGUAAAUAUUUUAAAUUGAAGAUCGAAUUCAUUCAUUGUAUUCAUACAGGGUCAAGGAGUGUAACUGUAAAAAAUCAUCAAAAUCGAAGUUAAAAUAACUGUUAAAUCGUGAUUUUUCGUUUAUAACCGUCGAAAAGUUUUGUCUCGUUACUUGAUCUCUAAAUGUUUGUUUUUUGCAAUUUUUGGCAUAUGCAAUCUCGAAGUAUAUACAAACAUUUUUUACGGUUGGAUCGUUGAAACUAGUUUCAUAGAAUGCGUAUCCUAUCAAAACAAUAGAUUCACUAACACUUAAGAGUUUAUUCAUACUUUCAUCAAGUAUAACAUAAGAUUUUGUGGUAUCCACUAGUGUAAAUAUUUUAAAUUGAAGAUCAAAUUCAUUAAUUGUAUUUAUAUAGGGUCAAGGAGUAUAUCAUUAAAAAAUCAUCAAAGUCGGAGUUAAAAUAACCGUUAAAUUGUGAUUUUUCGUUUAUAACCGUCGAAAAGUUUUGUCCCGUUACUUGAUCUUUGAAUGUUUCUUUUUUGCAAUUUUUGGCCUAUGCGAUCUCGAAGCAUAUACAAACAAGUUUGACGGUUGGAUCGUUGAAACUAGUUUCGCAAAAUGCGUAUCUCAUCAAAACAAUAGAUUCACUAACACUUGAGAGUUUAUUUAUAUUUUCGCUAAGUAUAACAUAAGAUUUUGUAGUAUCCACUAGUGUAAAUAUUUUAAAUUGAAGAUCGAUUUCAUUCAUUGUAUUCAUAUAGGGUCAAAGAGUGUAGCUGUAAAAAAUCAUCAAAAUCGGAGUUAAAAUAACCGUUAAAUCGUGAUUUUUCUUUUAUAACCGUCAAAAGGUUUUGUCCUGUUACAUGAUCUCUGAAUUUUUAUUUUUUUGCAAUUUUUGGCAUAUGCGAUCUUGAAGUAUAUACAAACAUGUUUGACGGUUGGAUCGUUGAAACUAGUUUCGUCGAAUGCGUAUCCCAUCAAAACAAUAGAUUCACUAACACUUAAGAGUUUAUUCAUACUUUCAUCAAGUAUAACAUAAGAUUUUAUGGUAUCCACUAGUGUAAAUAUUUUAAAUUGAAGAUCGAAUUCAUUCAUUGUAUUCAUAUAGGGUCAACGAGUGUAGAUGUAAAAAAUCAUUAAAAUUGGAGUUAAAAUAACCGUUAAAUCGUGAUUUUUCGUUUAUAACCGUCGAAAAGUUUUGUCCCGUUACUUGAUCUCUGAAUGUUUGUUUUUUUCAAUUUUUGGCGUAUGCGAUCUCGAAGCAUAUACAAACAAGUUUGACGGUUGGAUCGUUGAAACUAGUCUCGCAAAAUGCGUAUCUCAUCAAAACAAUAUAUUCACUAACAAUUAAGAGUUUAUUCAUAUUUUCAUUAAGUAUAAUAUAAGAUUUUGUGGUAUCCACUAGUGUAAAUAUUUUAAAUUGAAGAUUGAAUUCAUUCAUUGUAUUCAUAUAGGGUCAAGGAGUGUAGCUGUAAAAAAUUAUCAAAAUUGGAGUUAAAAUAACCGUUAAAUCAUGAUUUUUCGUUUAUAACCGUCGAAAAGUUUUGUCUCGUUACUUGAUCUCUAAAUGUUUGUUUUUUGCAAUUUUUGGCGUAUGUGAUCUCGAAGUAUAUACAAACAUGUUUGACGGUUGGAUCGUUGAAACUAGUUUUGUAGAAUGCGUAUCCUAUCAAAACAAUAUAUUCACUAACACUUAAGAGUUUAUUCAUACUUUCAUCAAGUAUAACAUAAGAUUUUGUGGUAUCCACUAGUGUAAAUAUUUUAAAUUGAAGAUCAAAUUCAUUCAUUGUAUUCAUAUACGGUCAAUGAGUGUAGCUGUAAAAAAUCAUCAAAAUCAGAGUUAAAAUAACCGUUAAAUCUUGAUUUUUCGUUUAUAACCGUCGGAAAGUUUUGUCUCGUUACUUGAUCUGUGAAUGUUUGUUUUUUUGUAAUUUUUUGCUGAUGCGAUCUCGAAGCAUAUACAAACAAGUUUGACGGUUGGAUCGUUGAAAUUAGUUUCGUAUAAUUCGUAUCCCAUGAAGUUCAGUGGUGUGUGUGUAUAUAUAUAUUUAUUUAUUUAUUAAGUAGAUUUAAAUCUAUUUAUUUUGUAUGUAUAAUUAUUAUAGUUUUUAGGGGUAUAAAAUUUAAUAUAUAUAUAUAUAUAUAUAUAUAUAUAUAUAUAUAUAUAUAUAUAGAACUAUUAUAGUUAAUAUUUUGGGGGUAUAAUUAUUAUAGUAUAUAUAAUUAUUAUAAUUAUUAUAGUUAAUUUAAUAUAUAUAUAUAAUUAUUAUAGUUUUUAGGGGUAUAAAAUUGUUAAAUUAAUAUAUAUAAUUAUUAUAGUAUUUUUUUUAGGGUUAUAAAUUAUUAAAUUAAUAUUCUGCUUAUCGUGUAUCGUGUUACCCACGUGUAUACCCGAACAACCCAUUAUCUUAACAGGUGCUUAUCGGGUUACCCGAUAACGACCCGCUUCGUUAUCGUGUCGACCCGAACACCUGUUAAUUUCGUGUCGUGUCGUGUCAGAUUAUCGGGUCGUGUCAGGAAUUGCCAGGCCUAGCAAUAACAUUGGUGAAUGUGGUUUUGAUUCUGUUUAUAAGGUAUUCUUUGGAGCAAAUAAUUUAUUUAUUGAUUAUAUAUUUUUUUCUAGUUUGACACUGUCCGUUCUAAUGAAAGUUAAUUUGCUCCAUAGUGAUGCGAAUUUGACUAUCUUUCUUAAAUGUAGGGCAUUCUAGCAGAUGGCACCGUAAUAACUAUUAAGCAGCUGUCUUCCAAAUCAAAGCAAGGGAAUCAUGAAUUUGUUAAUGAGAUUGGCAUGAUUUCUGCUCUGCAACACCCUCAUCUUGUCAAGCUCCACAUAUGUUGUAUUGAAAGAAAUCAAUUAUUGCUUGUCUAUAAGUACCUGGAAAAUUAUAGCAUCGCUCAUGCUUAUCUUCAGUAAAUAUUAGUCUUGUUUGCCAAAAGUUCAUUUCAUCAUAUAGUGGCAUAAAAGAUCUUAUGCACUAAAAAUAUGUCCCUUACAACUAACUUUGUUUAAUUUGGCAAAUUGAACGGGUGAAGAAAGUCAUUAGAAGUUGGAUUGGCCAACAAGGCACAAGAUUUGUAUUGUUACAGCAAGAGGUUUGGCUUAUCUUCAUGAGGAAUCAAGAUUGAAGGUCGUUCAUAGAGACAUCAAGGCUACUAAUGUUCUGCUUGAUAAAAAUCUUAACCAGAAAAUAUCUAACUUUGGAUUGGCCAAGCUUGAUAAAGAGGAUAAUACACACAUUAGCACCCGUAUUGCUAGAACUUAGUGAGUCCCUAAACUUUUAUUUAUCUUCUUAUUCUCUUGUUUUGAUCUUCUUCCACCCUUAAAAAAGAAGAUAGAGCAAUGGAAAGUCUAUAACUUACAUAAUUUUCAACCUAACCAAAUCUUUGUUGUUCAAGAAAUUUCAAGGGCAGAUUUGUUCUUUGAAUAUAGUUGUAUUACUAUGUAUCUCUCUAACUAUUGCAUUAAUCUUAAGUAUUCAAUUAGCAAUAUUUUUACUAAUUAUUUUAGCUAAAUCUGGGUUAAUGAUGUGAUUUCAUGAUUUGCAGUGGAUACAUGGCGCCCGAAUAUGCAAUACGGGGUUAUCUGACUGAUAAAGCAUAUGUCUAUAGUUUUGGUACUCUCGUAUUGGAAAUUGUUAGCGGGAGAAACAACACAACUUACUGGAAAAAGGAAGAAAGCUUUUAUCUUCUUGAUUGGGUAACAUGAAUCCACUACUUCCUAAUUUAACUUCAAAUUUUCUUAAUAUACCUUAUAUAUGUGAAAGUACAUUUGAAUCGGUGAAGUUUAAACCAAAGACAGAAUUUAUAUUGCUUUUGUUACAUCCAUUUUUUGUAGGCACGACUUCUAAAAGAGCAAGGGAAUUUGAUGGACCUAGUUGAUCCAAGGUUGGAAUCAGACUUUAACAAAGACGAGAUGACUGUUGCAAUCAAUGUGGCUCUCCUUUGUUGCAAUGUUACUUCGACAGCUAGGCCUACCAUGUCUUUGAUUGUGAGCAUGCUCGAAGGAAAGGCUGUUGUUCAGGAGUUGGUCUCGGAUCCAAAUGCUGAGAGUAUUGAGAUCGAUGCAAUGAGGAAACAUUUUCAAUCUAGUUUUGGAAGGGGCAUGGGCGAGAAACAGAUAGAAACAGAGUCAAUUGAAGGGCCAUGAACUGCUUCGUCUGCGUCUGCUCACGAUCUUUAUCUCGUCAAUCCUGAUUCAAAUUACUGGGGGAACAGAAGCGAGAGAACUUGAGCUGCACGGUUAUCAGUUCGACUUAACCUUAGCACACUCAAAACAUAUCAGCUAAUAAAUCAUCUGUAUUUCCUCUAUAACUAUUUUCUUUUUUUUGUUUGAUAAUAUAGUAGAAAGCAUAAUUGAAGAAGUUUCUACAGCAUGGUAAUUGUAAAAUCAGUUCUUUUCAGUAUUUUGUAGUAUGAUAAAAUGAUUUUCUUUUCGAAUAAUCGAAUAGAGUAAGUUGGUUGAACACUAUACUAUUUUGGCUAUGUGGUGGUUUGUGAAGAGAGGAGAUAAUGUACACCAAAUUCGAAAAGGAUGGGAAUAGAGUAAGUUGAUUAAGAGAAGGAACUUAAAUUUAGUAAAAUCGGAAAUCAUUUGUGGAGGAUUUUUCUAUAUCAAUAUAUUGUUAAUAUACAAGGUAAAGCAAGAUUCAGAGGAUAUGCAUGAAAAGAAAAAUGAUACCUGACGUAAAUCAUUGCCAAAAAGAUAAACAAAUUGCCAAGUUUUCUUAAAUUUAGUUUUGGAAGUUCUGAAAUUUACUUCAAUUGCAUUGAUUUUGAUUGUACUAGAAUACAGGUAUAUAUAAAUACAAGAAUUCCUACUACAUAGGUAAUUGGUACAAACUAAGUAAUCAGCCUGUGAUGCUUUACCUUAUUAAGAACGCCCAACUUGCCUAAUAGAGAUUUAAAAUGUUCAUUCCCCAAAGCUUUAGUGAAAAUGUCGGCAAGCUGUGACAUGUUGACAACUUUUCAUUCCAUGAUUUUAUUUCCGACAAAGUAACAAUCAAUCUCAAUACGUUCAUGAAAUACUGAAUUUGCGGCAAUGUGAAGAGCAGCGUGAUUAUCACAAAACAAAGUUGCAGCCCCCUUGUUGCCAAGUUAUAGACCACGAAAUAGAUUUUGUAACCAAGCCAACUCGCAAUAGGCUGCUGCCAUGGAUCUAUACUCUGCUUCGGCAGAGGACAAAGAAAUUGUCUUUUGACGUUUGUUGUUCCACGAAACAAGAGAGUCUCCAAGAAAAACUCAAGAAUCAGUGGCGGGUCGCAGAGUGGUUGGCCAUCCUAUCCUAUCCAAGUCACAAUAUGCAUUCAACUUCAAAUCAUUUUCUGAAGAAAACAUAAUACCUCGUCCGGGUGUCCGUUUUAAGUAUCUCAAAAUCCAUAAUGCAGCCUCAUAUCAUGGCUUCCGAGGUGCUUACAUGAAUCUACUCAACAAGUGGACCAAGUACAUGAUAUUUGGCUAGGUAAUAGUGAGAUAAAUUGGACGACCAAUCAAUCUCCUAUAUUUAACAUGAUCAUUGAGAAUUUCACCCUCAUUAGGAGAAAUUUUUCAUUGUAACGAGAACACACGUGGUAAACCACGUGUCAUUGUGUAAGUGGUGGAAAAUUUUAUUUUUUAAGCUAUUACCUUUUUAACACACAUAUGAUAUAUCCUACCAUUUAUACAGUAACACGUGGUGUACCACUUCGUAUGCCGGUCACUCUGAAAAAUCUCUCCCUCAUCAGAAAGCAAUUUGAGAUUUUGCUCCAUAGAGAAAGUGCAAGGUUGUGAUCCUAAAAGACCCACAUCAUUGAGAAUAUCCAACAAGCAUUUCCUUUGUGACAUAAAAAUCCCCCUUUUUUAACACGCCAUUUCUAUGCCCAAAAAGUAUUUUAAAUUACUAAGAUCUUUGCUAUAGAACUUGGUAUUUAAAAAAUGUUUUAGACUAUUAAUUGCAGUUGAAUCAUUUUCUAUAAUCAAAAUGUCGUCAACAUAAAUAAGGGGUGAAGUAAAUGACUUGCCUUUGUGUUUAGUGAAAAGCGAAUAAUUUGCUUUUGAUUGAACAUAACCGGCGAACCGAAUGGCUUGCGAAAACUUGAAAAAUCAUUGUCGAGAGACUUGCUUCAAACCAUAAAGUGAUUUAUUGAGGCAACAUAUCAGUUUCUCCCCCUAUCGGCGAAGAUUGAAAGGUGGGACCAUGUAUAUUUCCUCCAUGAGAUCACCAUGAAAGAAGGCAUUAUGAACAUCCUAUUGAUGUAAAGACCAUGAAUAGGCGGUGGCAAGAGCAAUAAGGCAGCGGAAUGUGACCAGUUUGACAGUAGGGGAAAGAUAUCAUGAUAAUCAAUACCCUUUGAGUGUACCUCUUAGCGACCAAAUGAGCUUUGUAACACUUAAUACCAUUGGAUUAGUACUUGACUUUGUAGACCCAUUUGCAACCAAUGAGUGAUACUCCAUAUGUUGUUAGCCUUGAGAGCUUGGAUUUUGUCAUCCAUGACUUGAUUCCAUUUAGGAUAUGUGCAAGCUUCUGCUUAUGUGGUUGGCUCCAUAUGGUAGAAAUACUAGCAAGAAAGGUAGAAUAUAGGGGCAACAAGUGGAUACCUGGUACUGGAACUGGAAGACGAGGGCGUAAUGGGGCAAUGUAAGAGAGGGACAAACAUAGUCACUGAGCUUCGCAGGUGGAGUUAUGAGGCGAUUACAUCCUCGUAAAGGGAUAUCAGAGAGCUAGUCAUCAGGCUGCAUGGUAGGGAGCUGAUCAUCAGGCUGCGUGUCAGGGAACUAAUCAUCAAGCUUCGUGAUAGGGGCAAGGUGCUCAUCAGGUGACUACAUGUUAGAAAGCUGAUCAUCAGGAGCAAUAUCAACAGAUGUCUCGACAUUUUGUAGGGCAUUGGUGGGGUCAUGCAGUUUAUGAGAUAGUGAGCAAGGCUCAAUGCAUGGAUUGAAUAUAGGUGUCUGAUAGCUAUUUGUAAGGGGAUUUAAUUCUUUUUGGCCAUGAUAGGGAAACAAAUCCUCGUAAAAAACAUCUCGACUCGUAAAAAUAUGUUUGGAUUGAAGAUCAUAUAAUUUGUAUAUUUUUGUCCUAAAAGGUACCCAAUGAAAAUUCAGGAGGGUGCCAUCAGAUAAGCCCACGGUAGGCAAUGGUGGUUUAAAUGUUGCUUGGGCCAAUGGAAGACCUGAAACGUGGUAUGUUGCACCACUGUCUAAUACCGACUCGUUAGAAACCCUACCUGCAGCGGUGACUGCGUGGGCUUUGCUUUCCAGGCCUACCUUAUGGCUCAUCAGCGAUAAAAGUUACUGGAACUGCUUUUGAAUAAGGUUGGGCAUCAUGUCAGCACACCCUGUGGAUUAAAUGUUGUUGACCAAUGAAACCCCCCUCUGGAACUGUUACCUUUAGUUUUCUUUUUGUGAUCGCCAUCACAGGUUUCUCUGGAUUUUCCAUGAAGACAAUGACUAGGCAGAUAAUCGUGAAGUAUUUCCAGCAGGUGUCAAAGGUGUGAUGGUCAUGGUCACAGUACAAACAGUGGAAAGGUUUACGUUCUAUCGAUCGUUCCUUGCCAUUAUUGGAUGAAGACUGCACCGCCAUGGCUGCGGGUUCAAUCAAGGCUUGCACAAUGGUUAUGCCUCAUUGCUUCUCUUCCUGAUAAAAGAGAGAAUAGAUCUUGCAAAUGAACAGAAGGGUUGCAUUGUUGAAUAUCUCACUUCUAACUCAUCAUUGCUAGCUCAUCAAAACAGUUGUAAAUGAUUGGAUGAUGUAAUAGUUAGUUGAAAAAGUUAGUUAGAGUUUGUUGCUCAAAGCUUAUGAGCUAGGUCCUAUAGGCUAUAUAGUCAACUAUAUAUAGCUGUCGUAAACAUGAUCUUUUGUCAUGAUCUUAUCAAACAUGAAGCACGUGAUUCUGUCUCAGGUUUCUUUUGGGUAAAUGAUAUGGCAGGGUCUUGAAGCUUGAUUCAAUUGUGGGAGGCAAGUUAUGGAAAAAUAUUGAUGUGCUCAUCUUUAACACUUGGCAUUGGUAGAAUCGUAGAUGACCCUCUCAAUCGUGAACAUAUCUUCAAUUUGGAGAAACAGUAAUGUGUUGGCAACCAGCAACAUCUUCAGUUUGGAUAAACAGCACUGGAGCUGUAGAAUCAGCCGAUCGAGGAUCACCUUCAGUUUGGAUAAAUAACAUUGUUUUGAGACCAACUGGUUAUCUAUCCAAGUUUUGGCCAUCAAAGAUUUCCGAAUCUUUGUUGGAAGAUGUCAUCUCAUUAGCCUUCUAGGUAAAGUGAGGUGUUACAAGGUUACGACAUUCGGCACACUGAAAGUCAAAUACUUAUUGAACUUCGCAGAACUAGUAGCCUUGUCUUCAGACUCCAGAACCCAAAGGUCAAUAUGUGUUCCAUCCUCGACUGCAGUCACAAGAUUCAGAAGUCAUUAGCGCGCCUAACACCACAUUAACAUUCAUUCACUCCCCGGCCAAGCUCGGCCAACGAGUUGGCACGCCUUACAUUCAACUAAAGGAUGUAGUUAGCUUAUUAGCUAUUCGGCCUAUACACCACGUAGGCUAAGUAGUUUUUAAGGUGAACACCAUGGCAUCAAUCAAAUUAAUAGUCUCUUAUUUUCUCUUUUUUUUUUUAAUUUUAAUUUUAGUGGCAGUGAGUGGCAUGAACCAAGGGCAAGAAGAUGUGUAGGGCAGAAUGAGCCUUUGCUUAGGUCGACCUAUCCAGGAGCUUUGCCACCAGCUCUGGGUGCGCUGAGGAAUGUGUUAAGCACAAUAAAAAAGCUCGUGACAUUGCAAGAUAUAACAAGCCUCUCACUCAUGCGUAAAGAUGGACAUCCUUCAAUCUAUGGACUGGGAGGCCAAUAACUGCAAGCAAGGAAUGGAUGACAAUGGUAGCAAUAGCUGCAACAGGCCAACAUAUAAAAAUAGGAUAUUACUAGAGAAACUAAAUUUUUUAAAUUAAAUUUCAAACCAAAUGAUUUGUCAACAAUAAGAAACAAGUACGUUAAUAGACACUUAAUUAAUAAUCCAAUCAUCUACAACCACAUCAUUUAGUUUGCAAAUUUGGUUUUAAAAAAUUUAGUUUUCCUAGCAUUACUCUAUCCAUAAAGAUAACAUCUAGGGAAACCCAAUCGGUGAAGUAUAGCAAACAACUAUUCACUAAGGAAUGAGGAUCCUCUUCGAAUCCAUUUUGUGAGGAUCUCAAGAAUCAUUCAAUCACGUCUGUUCAUCGUACAUCGUGUGGUAACAAUUAUUGUAAAUUUUUUUAUUUAAAAUUAAAUAUAAAUAAUACCUGAUGAAAACUGGUAAUGUACAAUGAACAGACAUGAUUUGAGGAUUGCCGAGAUUCUCACAAAAAUUAUCCGGAAAGGACCCCCAUUCUUCACUAAGGAAUAAACUAGAAAUUAUAAUAUUAAAAUGCAUAAUGGUUACCAAGCAAGCAAAUUUAUUGGGACUUGGAUUGUUUGCCUCCCCAUCCCAUACCCUCCAUAUGCCCUUAUAUUUCUAUGGUCAUGGUUAAACCACGUUAACAUUUUAUAUUUGCAUUGCUUUUUGUUUUAUUAUUUUUAUAAAAAAAAUUAAUAUAAAAUAUUGACGUGAUUUAACCGUGACCACAAAAUAUAGGAGGGCAUGAGAAAUGUAUAGAAUGGGGGAGGACAGACAAUCCAAGUCCAAUUUAUUGGCCUUGAAGUACCCAUGCCUGCAGAAGACAGAACCCAAAGUAACUCGGGAACUCAAACGUGGCCAAUUCAUCCAAGCAAAACAAUUAAAGCAUCCAAGGAGCCGAAACGACAUCCCAUUACAACCAUUAAACAUCAAGGAGAAUGGAAAACAUAUGAACUUUUUUUAUGAUGCUUUAUGAAUGAUGAAUUGAAAUAUAAACGGCUCAUACCUUUGAAAAAAAAGAAUUACAAAAUGAAAACCACAAAAAUUGUGUUAAAAUGUGUGUCAAAUAUAUGAGGAUGUGUAUAUAUAUGCACACCCACAUAUACACACACACACUUAAACGUGUAGCACUGGGUAUAGGUAGCAAAAGGCCACUUGUGAUGAGUGCUUGAUUCUAAAAUGUAGUAUUUCUCUCAAACAUUUGACUAUUACUUUAGUCAUGGAAUGCUGAUCAAAAUGCAAUUAAAUAGUAUCACUUAGAAUCAUAACUCUUGGCUUAUAGUAUGAAAAAAUAACAGAACAUUUGUAUAUUGCUUGCAAGUAAUUAGCUUCAGUUAGUCAACUCCAGCAACUUGAUUAAGAAAGCAUGUACAUAGAGCUGCGCAAUUACCAUGUCCACAUUUCCUGAUCAGGAAAUUUCCCAUGCUUGGCUUAGUUGAAAAUAGCAGAUAAGUCAAGAGUGUAUUUUAAAUUACUGUUACUUAAUUAUUCUAAAGUUCAUAAUCAAUAUUAAUUACUAGCAGCUUAUUAUAUACUGUUGUCAAAAUCGUGAGUUGGACUGUUGGUAAGGGUUUUUAAUUAGGGAACUUUAACGAAAAGCACCCGGUACUGUUCAUUUUAACGAAAAACCACAUUUUUACACUAAAAAGUCAAUUUUGGUACUAUUCACUUUACCUUUUAUUUUGUCCUUAUCAUUAAAACUCAAAGUUUUCAAGCUCUUUUCAUUAGUUUUCCUUUUUAAUUAAGCUGACUUUGGGCCCCAAAUAAUAAAGUGUCGACAUAAUACCUGUUACUUCAACAACAACGAAUAUGAAAAAAAAAAAACCCUUGAUUGUCAGUUGCUUGUUGUAAAUAUAAUUUUUUAUGUAAUCUUUCGUUUUCUUCCUGCUUACGUCCAUUGUCAGCUAAACAUCAGCUCUUUGUUUUUGUUGUUAAAAAACGGCUUUCUAAUAUUAUAGAAUUCCCACUUGAUCUAACAAUUGGGAUAAUUAUUCGAAAGAAAAAAAUACAAUUGAGAUAAUUAUAACAAAUCAUCUCAACUAUUUGCAGUUUUACUUUAAAAAAAAAAAAAUCUCACAUACGUCUCAAUCAUCCAUAAUGAUCAGAUGACUAAAAUUUCACAUCCGUCUCGAACAACCAUUUAUGUUAAAAUUGACUAAAAUGCAAAAUUCUCAUAUAUUAGAGUCUUUAAAUUGGAUCCUCACUACAGAAUGUCACUUGGUUGUGUAUGCGUAUCUUUAGCUGAAUCUGGCCGGCCACAGGUAUCGGUCAAAAAAACAGGUUUUCAAAAUCUGUUUUUUAUGAUAUUGUUCUACUAGAAUUUGUCUUUGAUUAGUAUUGUCCAUAGACUAUGUUCGAGAGAGCUCCCAAACUUGACCUCGGGAGGCGUUCAGUGUUUCGUGAUACAAUAAUAUAGUCCAUACAAAUUUUCUUGCUGAUUAUAUUCCACAGUAUGAUCCAAUACUUUUUGGUAAUUUAGGUCAUGAUUAUCAAUUCAAUAACUCCCACCUUAUACCUUUAAAGCCAAAAGUAACAUAAGGGGCAGAUCCGUGUUAUCACAUUUUUACACAACUUUUUAUUCUUAUUUUUCGUGAGAAUCAUUCUGUAAUGUAUUUCAAUAAUCCGAACGUCUAUCUUUUAGGUUUUUCUUCAAAUAUCAUGUAUACCAAGAAUCACCUAAAUAUGAAAUCAUAUGACUGUUGAAUGUCUUCACAGUUUUAUAUUUGUCUAAUUUUUUACAAGAAUCAUCCAUGAAUGAUUUUCUAAAAAAAUAGACGUUCAAAUCGUUAAAAGUACAUUACAAAUUUGACCCCACAAAACCUGUGUAAAAAAUUAUGUAAAAAAAAUAGUGCCACGGAUUCGCUAUAUAUAUAUAUAUAUAUAUAUCCAUACAUUUUUUUUACUUCUCACAUACCUCUUAUUAAUUUCUGUCCUUUGAUAUAUAUAUAAAAAAAAUCUUCUUCAAUUCAUCCAAUCCGAUGGCCGAAAAUUAAAAGUGUGUGAGAAGUAAAAAGAAGUGUGUAAAUAGCACACAUCAUCUAAAAAACCAUUAACGAACGGGCCUGUAAUUCCAAAUUUACAAGUUUUUACUCCCAAAAGAGACAGAGCUUAUUAAUUUUGAAUUUUUUUAAUUUUCUGAUUGACUUGGGGUUGGGGUAAGUACGGAAUAUAGCGCUUGAUCUGUUGAAAUGUCCCACAUCGACCGUAUCAAUGAAAAAAGAAGAGUUUAAAUACCCUAAUCUCACUUUAACUAAUACCGAGGUCUUCUGUAAUAAAACCACAUAUCUGACGGAUUGUGCAUAUGGUAAUUACCAAGUUGGGGACAAUAUCGGUGUUGUUGGAAGUGGGCCGUGUGGUUCGUCUCUUUGAUAAUUCUACAUGGUAUCAAAGCCAAGAAGCUGGCAUGUACCGUACUGCCACGUGAUUGGUGGGUCCCCUUGGCCCCGCGCGAUGAUGGUGGGUCCCUUGGUCCCGCGUGUAGAGUGAGUCCUCUUGACUCCACGUGGUUGUCGAUGUGUGGAUCUCCCACGUGUGACCUGGUAAUUGGGUCCCACAUGAGGGGGGUGUUGAAAUGUCCCACAUCGACCGUAUCAAUGACAAAAGAAGAGUUUAAAUAUCAUAAUCUCACUUCAACUAAUACCGAAGCCUUUUGUGAUAAAACCCCACAUCUGACGGAUUGUGCAGGUAGUAAUUACUAAAUUGAGGACAAUAUCGGUGUUGUUGGAAGUGGGUCGUGUGGCCCAUCUCUCUAAUAAUUCUACAUGAUCACGGCUGAAUAGUCAAUUGGGUCCCACGUGAGGGGAGUGUUGAAAUGUCCCACAUCGACCGUAUCAAUGACAAAAGAAAAGUUUAAAUAUCAUAAUCUCACUCCAACUAAUACCGAAGCUUUUUGUGAUAAAACUUCAUACCUGACAGAUUAUGCAGGUAGUAAUUACUAAAUUGAGAACAUUAUCGAUGUUGUUGAAAGUGAGCCGUAUGGUCCAUCUCUCUAAUAAUUCUACAUGAUCACGGCUGAAUAGUCAAUUGAUCGUAUCAUAUACCAACGAACCUUUGCUUUUGAUUGAGUAGUUGUGAAGAAGUCAAGGUCGUGUAAGAUUAAUUUUCAAACUACAAUUAUUUAGCCUUCUAUCAUUCUGUGCCAUUCAUUUGUUUUAGCUAAAUGUAGACAUGCACUUAAUUUCAUGCCCGACUUUUAAAAAUGAAUAUGACUUUUCUCUUUAAUUUGUCGUGUCACCGGUUUAAAAGCUCCGAUCUUCACAGUGUAGCUUAGAUUAUUAAUAAUAACAUCGAUUGUAAUAAAAAUAUAUAUAUAUUCUCAAAACACAAAAAGGGUUAUUAAUAAAAAUAUAUAUAUUCUCAAAACACAAAAAGGGUUAUUUUUUUCAUUUUCAGAUUAUGUUGGACACGGAAUAGGAUCCUCUGGAUUUGUGGGGAUCUGAAAGAUCAAUUAAAUCGGUGUAUUGAGCAAAUAAUACUAGUUACUUCAACAAAAAAAAAAAAACAGUUACAACUAAUUAUUUUUGAUCGUCAGUUGCUAGUUACAAAUAUAGCUAAUGUCCUGUGACCUCGUAAUAUUUUUAUGAAAAUUUUCAUUUUCUUUGUCAACUAAAAAAAUACUCUUUAUUUUUGUUGUUAAAAAACAACUUUCCAAUAUUAUAGAAUUCCCACUUGAUCUAACAAACGCAUCAAAAUGAUACCUGAAAUUGAAAAUUGAUCAAUGUCGUCUAUGAAUAUGGAGAUUGUUGUCGGUGGCUAAGUUCAAAGAAGAAGGAGAAGAUGAGGAUUAUUAGUUUGUUGUUUUUCUUCUUUUUACCUUUUAAAUUUUUUGAAACACUUUAUUUAAUCCAUAUGUUAUCAUAUUAUUGGAGUGCAGAGUCUUAUGUGUGUCACAUAAACACAUAAUAGAUUUUUUUAACAGAAAUAAGACAGAAGACGACAUUGAUUUGCAACACCCAUAUUCAGGGACGAUAUUAUUCAAUUUUCAGCUUCAGAUAUCAUCUUGAUGUGAUGGGUCAAUUUCAGAAACCACUUAUAACAAAAAUGUAAUAUAAUAUAAUAACGUAAGUUUAACAAGUCACUACCUGUGAAACCAGUCUUUUUAACAUGUUACUAAGGAGCCUAUCUAUUGUCAAACGAUAAGAUAAUUAUAUUAAAUUUAACUAAAUUACGGCAAGUGGAAUUCAAACUUGGUGCAUAAUAAAACACAGUGAUGUAACUAGCUUGGCUAAACUAAAAUCUUCUAUUUUAAAUUAAUUCUUUUACAAGUAAUUUAUGUAAAUGUAUCUUUAAUUAUAUAAAUAAUUAAAUAAAAAUAAAUAGAGUAAGUGGUUGGGAACAAGGUCUAAAAUAUCGAUAUUAUCCCGAUAUUUCCAUCGAAAUUUUCAUGUUUUUGGACUAUCGAUAUUUUCGAUAUCAUCAAUAUUUUAGACCUUGAUAGGAACUCUAUGUGGUACUAAGUCACUCAUGUAUCUUACCAUGCAAUGUAUAAAGUGUAAAAUAUUGUACUAAUUCAUUAUAUAUAAAUGAUUAUGGUGUGUUUAAACUUCUUUCAUUAAUUACUACAUAUUUUUACACUCACAAUGUUUGCCAGCUCGCUAUAUAAUUAACUUAAAUCAGUUAAAUCCAUCAUGCAAUGCAUUUCUUUCCAAUUUUUUGUGAUAAACUAAUAGAUAAUUGACUAAAUAAACAUCCUGCAAAGUUUUAAUAAAAAUUUCCAAGUUUUUCUUAUAAUUUCCGUGGUUUUUAUUCAAUUUUUAUCGAUAUCGAUAAUAUCCCGAUAUUUCCAUCGAAAUUUCCGUGUUUUUGGACUACCGAUAUUUCCGAUUUCAUCGAUAUUUUAGACCCUUCUUGGGAAUAAUAUAUAUUUUUUCCUUUCUUGUUUGGUCUUUGGUUUUAAGGAAAAUUAAUGAAAAUGACUUGAAAACUUUGAGUUUUAACAAUAAUGACAAACUAAAGGGUAAAGUGAAUAGUAUCAUGAUUGACUUUUUAGUAUAAAAAUAUGAUUUUUCGUUAAAAUGAACAGUACCACAAGCUUUUCGUUAAAAUUCCCUUAGUUUUAAGGGCAAGGUAACACAAGUCAUUGACUUCCGUUUGUGUCCUUCGAGGUCCACUCCUUCCCUCCCCUCAAGGGAAUAAAAACCUGUAAUUCAGACUCAUUCUCCUCACAAAUCCUUCUUUCUUCGCUACUCUAAAAAAAUUUCAUACAUACAAUCCAACAAAUUCCAAAACCUCUCAACAUAUUCCAUCCAGCUAGCUGCACAAACUGAUCCUUUUGUCUCUGGUUUUGUCUUCAAAUGUGAAAGACUUUGCCUAGAAAAAUGAUGAAUAUGUUCUUCCCUCGACUUCUUCCUCAUUCUCUUUUCUUUGUAGCUUGCUUUGUAACUUUUGCCUUUGGAGCUGCUCGAUUGCCAAAUGAUGAAGGUACGAGUAAUUCACCUCAAUAUCUCUAUGUCAAAUAUCUUCCUUAGUUUCCUCUGUUUCAUUCUAUAAAUGAUAGUUUUAAGUUCGUUUGAUAAUUUUUUUAAUUUUCAAUUCUUUUUGAGUUCUCAAAUUUUGGUUUGGUUUUUCCGAGAAGUGAAAACAGUUACCAAUGAACUAAAAAUUAAAAUGGUUAUCAAAUGAACCUUAGGUAAACAGAUAUUUGUGUGAACUUAGUAGAAAUUUUCAAUCAUAUAAGGUGCACUCUGUAGUUCUUGUCUAUGCAUCAAUUUUUUUUUUUUACUAUUUUGUUGAGCACGAUGUUAAUUUGUUGCCUUUUAUUUUGCGUAUAUGCAGUGCAAAUUUUGAAAGACAUAGCAAAGACACUGGGGAAGACGGACUGGGAUUUCAGUGGAGAUGCAGAUCCAUGCAGCGGCCAACUUCCAUGGGCUGAUCCAAGCGCACCCAAAGGAUUAGAGAAUGCCAUCAGCUGUAAUUGCUCCUACGAAAACUCCACCGUCUGCUAUAUUACCAGCAUGUAAACCUCUCUCACUCUCUCUCUCUCUCUCUCUCUCUCUCUCUCUCUCUCAAAAAUAAACAUGGCCGGCUCAGAACUCAGUGAGAUUUUUCAAUGUGAUGGUAUAUCACGUGACACGAUAUAAAUGGUGAGUAACUUGUAUUAAAAAAUUAACACAAUUUGAAACAUAAAACUUUUUUCACUUAUAUAACAACACGUAGUGUAUCUUCCGAAUAUAAUGAAAAAUUUGUUUUCAUCUCACAAGCUAAUACCAAAUAAUCUUAUCGGAAUUUUGUGAUUUAAAUUGAUGGGCAUUUAUUGGUCCACCCCCCGGGGCCCAAUCUAGGGAUAUUUUGAUAUUGCCGCCUCAUUUUUUAUUUCUUUUAAGAAUUUGAUUAAACAUUUUUUUAUACAAUUUUAUUAGAGGCACGUUUGGUUUUAUUAGUACAUUUGAUUUUAUGGACAUUUUGUUUUCUGGUACAUUUGGAAUUUAAACGUAACAAAAGUUGGUAUGUUUGUUUUUAAGUGUACCAUAACUUUUAAAUACAUUUUCUAUAUAACUAGUUAUACGUAAAAUUUUAAUAAGAUUAAAGAAGUUUUUUUAUGAAAAUAUUAAUGAAUUUUUUUAAUGAAAGAAGAGACUAAUUAAAUAUAAUAAAAAAAAUAAAAAGUUAUUUUUUUUAUAAUGAUAAUGAGGAAUUACUGAAAUUAAUAUUUUAAUGAAGCCAUGAAUUUAAAAUUCCUAGAUUGUAGGAAAUAGUUGUUAGAUAGUUUAAGUGAAUAUAUAUAUAUAUAUAUAUAUUAAAUAAAUAAAUAAAUAAAUGUUGAGUUGGAAAUUAAUCAAAACAUCUUAAUCAAAUUUUGUAAAAGAACAUAUGUUUAGUCUAAACAAGUUGAAAAAAAUGGAGGGAAUUCUUAAUUCUUUGUCUUCAAUUUAUUUGACACAUAAUAUGCACAUGAGAUUAUUGCGUUAGUAAACACCAAUUUAAGUACUUAAUGUGAUAAAGAGACAUAAGUUGGAAAAUAAACGUUUGGUUAUAUAGAAUUGUGAAUGAUUAACUUAUUUCUUAAGCGAUAAAAAAUUGCUCAUUAUAUUUUUCUUUUCUGGAUAAACAGUUUGUUCGUUGUGUUUUGAACGAGUUCCAUCUCAUGCAAUAUAUAGAAAUAUUACGAGAAAAAUAAAGAAAAAUUUGAGAAAAGAAUUAGCCAAUUAGGUGCUUCAUUAGUCGAAUAACUUGACUAAGCAAAAACAAUGUACAGAUUAGGCGCCUUUUGUUGUGAAAGGUUGAGAAUGAUAAGAUCAAAGUUUUUCAGUCUUUGUUAUAUCAAUCAUAUUAGAGAAGAAAAAAAAAAUAUAAGAAAGGUCUACGUCCACGUACCAUCCAGUCGACAUUAUAUAAUAUCUACAUGAAGACUUUGCAUUUUAGGUCAAUGAAUCUGAAUGAGCAGAAAUUUCUGUAAGUACUCGGUAUUCAAGCGAGUAAUUUAAGUGUUAUAAAUGAGCGAAGAAAUACAAAAAAAAAAAUAUUAUUAUUUGUAUUAAGAUAUGUGGUGUACUCUUUGAAAAAAUCUAUUCUCAAUGAGCACUUUCUAAUACUUUGUUAGGUUAGAUGUUAAAUUAGCUAGUGGCAUGAUUUGAACUCAUGUCGUCAUACAAAGCCUCAACACUUUUUCACCACUAUGGUAAAGAGUUACGAGUCACUUGCAUCCUACAGGGAAAAUUAACUAGCAUGUAGACUACUAUGCGAAAAAUAAGGGUUAAUCUCAGUUUACUACCUUGAAGUUUCGUGAUUUUCAACAUUUGAUACAUGAAGUUUUUUUCAUCACAGAGUCAUAUCUCAAGUAUUAAUUUUGGAACAGUAUCAUACAUUCAUUAAGUUGGCUGUUAAGUCACAGAGUCAUAUCUCAAGUAUUAAUUUUGAAACAAUAUCAUACAUUCGUUAAGUUGGUUGUUAAGUCAGCCGUUAACUGAUGACGUGACAUCCAUAUAGAUAAUAACUAAGCUCCACGUGUAAAUAUAGGCCAUAUAAAUAUUUAAAAAAUUAAAAAACUAAACAAAUAAAAAUAUGGCCUAUGGAUGCGGGCCUUCCCUUUCCUCCACCCGCACCAACUCUUUAUCUUCUUCUCUUCGACAGCCACCAGAGCUGAUCUGAAAAUCAGCACAACCUCGAAAUUUAAGCCCUAAUUCAACCUAAAUUUCAGAUAGAAGGGCUGGAUUAGUCCAUUAAUCUAAGCGUACGAUCCAAAAUCCAGUUCCCAAUUGUGUUCCUUUCCUCAAUAAACAGCCAGAGGGCUCAACGAAAUGAAGAAAUUACAAAGAGAUGUAUAGAAAACGCACCGUUUUGGAGGUAGGGGCCGUACUCGGUGGCAGAGAGGUGCAUCUUGAUAUAGUCGAGGGUCUCGCACUGGCAAAAGUUGUUGUAAUCAGCGGCGAGCGGUGACCCUGCACUAUGGCCUCCAAGUACCCGCCGUGAAUGUUGAAGAUCAUCGCUUCGAAUCCGUACACUUUCGCUGAAAUUUUGAAAAUUUACGCGAUCUGCCACUGCAUGAUCCGAAAAAUUGAACGUCUCGCGGGAGAGAGAGAGGAAGGGGACGAUCGGGGAACCAGAAACCCCCUUCUGCAGCGAAAUCAAUGGAAACCCUAGCGAUUUGCAGACGGAAGCUGAAAUCUGGAAAUUAACCGCGUGGGCGCCAAUGGAAACCCUAUGGGCUAUGGCUUUCUACUCUGGUUUGAAAUCUCCGCGAUGAAUGCCUCGUUGUUGUUGUCGACGGAGAAGAAAGAGAGAGAACCCAGGCCGUGGUGGUGCAGAUUUUCAGAUCAGCUUUGGUGGCUGUCGAAGAGAAGAAUAAACAAAACUUCAUAAUAAUAAACUGAGAUCGUUCCGAAAAAUAAAGAAAAAGUUGAGAAAAUAGCUUGACUAAGCAAAAGCAACGUACAGCUUAGGCGCCUUUUGUUGUGAAAGGUUGGGAAGGACAGGAUCAAAGUUUUUCAGUCUUUGUUAUACGAAUCACCUUGUAUAAUAUCUACGUGAAGACUUUUUUAGGUACUCGGUAUUCAAGUGAAUAAUUGAAGUGUUAUAAAUGAGUGAAGAAAUAUAAAAAAAAAUGUUAAUUUUCCAUUAUAUUAUGAUAUGUGAUGUGUUGCUUGAAAAAAAAAAGAGUAAUGUUAUUCAUACUAUAUUUUUGUACCAUAUUUUCAUACCAUCUUAGGUGGUAUUUGAUGUGGACAACCAUAUCAUUUGAAUUAAUCUGAUUUUUAAAUUUAGUUCAUUAUUUAAUAAACUAAUAAUUAAGAAAAACUAAUUAAUUAAAUAAUAAUUGUGGUAUACGAGGAGUUUUUCUCCUUCAUUUUCUUGGGUUUUGCAAAUUUUUCAAAUGAUGUGGCUGUCCACAUCAAAUGCCACAUAAGGUGAUAUAGAAAUGUGGUAUAAAAAUAUGGUAUGAAUAACAUUACUUGAAAAAAAAAUCUCUUCUUAAUAAGCGCUUUCUCCUAUAGAGAAUAGAUUUUGUUAGGUUAGGUGUUAAAUUAGCCAGCGAUCGGGUUUGAACCCACGUCGUUAUGUAAGAACUUAACUUUUCACCAUUGUAGUAAAUAACCACUUGCCUCCUACAGAGAAAAUUAACUAGGCAUGUAGACUAAGUGAGAAUAAUAACUAGGGCUGGUUCGGUAUGGGAUACCGAACCGAAAAUGACAUACCAAAUCCCGAACCGAAAAUUUUCGGGACUGGAAUAAGAGGACCGAUACCAACCGAAACUUCGGGAUUCCCAAAUUUCGGUAUUCCCAAAAAAAUUUCGGUAUUUCGGGAUUUCCCGAAACCGAACUUGCAUUGAAAUCCAAAUCAACUAAUUGAAAUCGAAAACAUUCGAACCUGCAUGAAAACCCCAAAAUGAAAUCAGAGAAGUGACAGUGAAUCAGUGAAGAUUGAUGGGAGAUAGAGAGACAGAGUGAAGAGAUAGUUCGUCCUCCUCCUGACCCGAGCCCCUAAUUCGAAACCCUAAUCCCCAAUUCGAAACCCUAAGCCCCAAUUCGAAACCCUAAUUUGAAACCCCACAUAGAGAAUCAAUGGAGAGAAUCGGAGGUGGGGAUGAAGCCGUGAUGUGUAGUGGUGGCCGGAGGGGAGAGAGUUCAUCGGAGUGAGACUGUGAGAGGGUGGUGGCUGCUAGGCUUCGAAUUCGAGAAGGAGAGACAGAGAGAAUCUGAGACUAAGUGAAGGGCCAAAGAUGAGAAAUGAGAGAGAGUAAGUAUGGAUGUGUCGGCUUGGGUUUGAAUUGAGUUGAAGGAAUGUUUUGGUGGCUUCGCCUUUCUGGGUUGCAAAGCAGAUGGAGAUAAUGAGAGAGAGAGAGAGAGCGAGAGCAGCAGACAGCACCCAUGUGCUUUGAUAAAACUUCAAACGCCAGGCACACAAUCAUAUCCUUAUCCCCACACUUAAGUUAUUUUAAUAAUAUAAAUAGGCCAUAUACAUAUAUUCCAACAUAUAUAUAACAAUAGGGUUUAAAGUUCGGUUCGGGAUGGGAAUACCGAACAAUUUUAAGUGUGAGACCGAAUCCCAUACCGAAAAAUUCGGGAUCGGUUUGGUUUUGGUACCAAAAUUUUCGGGAUUUUCGGUAUGGUUUCGGUAUGAUUUGGGAUUUUCGGUAUUUUUUUCCACCCCUAAUAAUAACUUACAUUGAACGAGUUAAAUAUCAUAAAAUUUUACACUUAAAAUUUAGUUCAUUAUUUAAUAAACUAAUAAUUAAGAAAAACUAGUUAAUUAAAUGAUAAUUGUAGUAUACGAGGAAUUUUUCUUCUUCCUUUUCUUGGGUUUUGCAAAAUUUUCAAAUGAUGUGGCUGUCCACAUCAAAUGCCACCUAAGGUGGUAUAGAAAUAUGGUAUAAAAACAUGGUAUGAAUAACAUUACUAGAAAAAAAAUCUCUUCUUAAUGAGCGCUUUCUCAUACAGAGAAUAGAUUUUGUUAGGUUAGGUGUUAAAUUACCCAGCGAUCGGGUUUGAACCCACGUCGUUAUGUAAGAGCUUAACUUUUCACCACUGUAGUAAAUAACCACUUGCCUCCUACAGAGAAAAUUAACUAAGUGAGAAUAAUAACUUACAUUGAACGAGUUAAAUAUCAUAAAAUUUUACGUUUAAUCAUAUUUUAAUACGUGUAAAUUUUUGUUAGCAUGAUAUAUAAUAUUAUAACAAAAAUAUUAAAAAUAAUAAAUUUGUUCGAUGUAAACUGAUCACAAGUGUGUGAGGAGAGAUGUUUUUCUUUCAAAAAAAAAGAUUAGCUGAUAGUUUCGUCAUGACAGGAGUCGAAAAAACUAGUAGAGAUAGCGAGGAGAGAUGUUGAUUAGAUGGUUGGAAUUCGGUUUUGUGGACCCCAUGUCUAUUCGAUAUAUGUAUCAAUCAAUUUUUCUUUUUCUUUUUUUUUUCUGUUAAAAAGUAUCAAUCAAUUUUUCAUUACAUAUCCCCUAACCUAACCCCAUGCCCAUGAAACCUCCAAAAUAAAGUAGGAAUUAUAAGGCUUAGUGUGGGCCUCAUCGAGUUGCCUAUUGGCAACUUGGCACGUCGUAUUCACUCAUUCAACCUUAUGUCGAGCAAGGUAGCUAGGCCGAUUGAUUUCAAUUGGAUUUGAGAGUUGUUAGUUUAAUAGCAAAGUCGAGCUCGUUUGUUUCUUUGUGAUUUUCUCACGCCCCGACCGUAGUUUUGGAGAGAUUUUUUAGUGUGCUAGGAGUACGAUCCGGUAUAUCAAGUAUUAUAAUACAAGUAGUUAUAUACUUGAAAUUUUUUUCCAACUGCUUAUAUUAUGACACUUAGUGAACCAGAUUUGUUUCCCCCGCACACAAAAUUUCUCCUACCUUUGGGGCGUAAAAAUUUUAAAGCUCUUAUUGUGUAUGUAAAACAAGUAAAUGUUGCUACCGUUUAGAGCUAUGAAAAGUGACUACCACUCGUCUUUUUCUCUUCAUGCACACUAUUGAUUUCUGGCCUUUGACGAAUCAAGGGGCAUGAAUAAAACCAAAUUAUGCAAUAAUCAUUUUCAUAAAGCUAUAAGUUAUUCUUGGCAUGCAAGUUGGAUUGAAAAUUUCGAUUUUAACCAAUUCUGUUCUUGUCGGUUUACGAACAAAAAAUAUGAAGCAAAUUGGAACGCAUCUUAAAAUUAGGCCGCCUUUGCCAUUGUUACACAGUUACUAAUUUGUGAUCCAUCAUUGGGUAUAAAGUCAAUAUAAUUCUGAUAUAUCUAGACACUAGUGGGGUUUCCAUUUUCCCAAAUCCUUUACCCUCUAGAUUUUUAAUUUUUCUUCAACCGGCAACCAAUUGGAAGUUUUUCUUGGUCUAAUAAGACCUUGUUGUGCCUUGACAUUCAAGAAAUGCAGAAAGACUAAUCCAUUUCUUUUAUUGAAUGACCAAUGAAACAUCAAUUACAACCUACCAUGGACCGCAAUUCAAGUUAAGCUUAUCUGCAAAAUCGAGUUCAUGGGAUGUGACAAAUUUGCUCAAUUAUGAUAGCAAUGUGUUUUUGAGCUGGCCAUGAGCCAGCAUAGAUGUUCUGUGGCAUGCUGAGUUGUUAGGACUUGGUAUUACAGCUGUGCUGUAUUUAGGCUUGAUUCUUGCAUACUUGAUCAACGUAUAAAAUUUCGCAGUCACCAUGAUUGUUGCGUACUUCUUAUACACGAACAACUUUGUAUCGGCCUAGUUAUUAGUUACAAAGUCGAUGAAAGAAUGAUUCACAAUAUGCUUGUAACAAAUACACACUUACCGUUUGUGUAAUUCUUCAAGUUCUAUUCUUUGUAAAGAACAUUGGACAUUUUCCUUCGGUUUUAAAGAAAACCAGUUCCUUCUUCCUAUUUAAUUCCCUGAUCAAAAGUAAGUAUUUUCUGUGAUAAAUUAGUGUUUUACCUGUUUGGUCCUAUUUGUGUGGCAGCUUUUCCUUUUAGUCACAGUAUAGAUGUGUAAUAGAUAUCUGUUAAUUUACAACUAAUCUUUGAAACCCUGUUUUCCGAUGAAACACAGAAUUCUAAAAUCCCAAGAUUUGCAAGGAACACUCCCACCAGAGCUGGUACAUCUCACCUAUCUUCAAGAAAUGUAAGCACAUUUUUACCCCUCCAAGUUUACAAUAUUUAAAGUAAAAAGAAAAUAACUAUGUGUCGUGUAAAUGGUUUAUUCUAAUUUCAUAUAUAGCUUACCUUUAUUUCUGUUGUCAAUGAGACAAUAACUGGUUUCCUUCUUUCUCCUUUAGCGACCUCACCCGCAACUACCUGAGUGGUACCAUCCCUCCAGAAUGGAGCUCUCUUCCACUAGUGAACAUGUACUAUCUUCUCUCACACUGCAUACAUUUUUGUGUUUGAUGCUCAUGUCAUGUUCUUGUUACUUUAUUUGGUCACUCCAAUGUUCUUCAGCCAUUUCUUUCUUAAACUAUGAAUCUAAUACAUUGGGUUUUGUUCAUGAUAAUGAGCUUCCGUGGUCAUGAGGUGUUUGAAUCAUAAAUAUUGAAUCGAACACAUGGGGUUCAUUGCCUUCGUAUUGAUGAACAUGUUAAUGUUAUUGAGUCUCUUGCUUGAUAAAAGUGAUCUUAAGAUUAUAGUUUUGAUGCAGAUCCCUUCUUGGAAAUCGUUUGACGGGUUCUAUCCCCAAAGAGCUUGGAGACAUCACCACCCUGAAGAGUUUGUGAGUGUUGAUUGAGCAUUUGUUUCUUGCUUACCUCAUUUGAUUAUGUGGAGAUCCUUAAUGAUGUUUUUUAAUCAAUGGAAUUGAAUUUGUUUGUAUAGGGACAUCAGUUUCAAUAAUUUUUCUGGACCUCUCCCUCAGGAGCUUGGAUCUUGGGCCAACAUAGAAAGAAUGUAAGAGUCCUAUUCAAAUUUUACCGUGUUAAAAAGUACUUGGUUUAUUUGGAAUUUUCUUUCUUAUAGACAAAUUCUGGAUGUUUUCACCAAUAAAUCAUCUACUUCUUUAUCAUUGAUAUAUUGUUAUAUCUGUUUCAUACUUAGGCUGCUUUCCUCAAACAACUUUAGUGGGGAGUUGCCAGAAACAUUUGCAAUGCUUACCAAAAUAAAGGACUUGUAAGCUUCUGUGGUUCUUUCUUCUUAAAGGUUUCCUGAGCACUUAUACAUUUUUUACUGCUUUCUGAUACUAAUUCGUAGUAUUUUCCCUUUUCCAAUCAUUAUGCAGUCGGGUUAGUGACAGUCACUUUUCCGAGCGGAUACCUGAUUUUAUUGAGAACUGGAUAAAUCUUGAAAAACUGUGAGUGUUUUUCUUUUGUGUGUCAUAUUUCUGCUAUAUGAUUCUGAAUAUUAUCUCUAAUUCAUAUGCUAUGACUCGUUGAAACAGAGUGAUUCAAGCUAGCGGUUUGACAGGGCCAAUUCCUUCUGGCAUUUCUCUUUUGACAAGCUUAACUGACUUGUUAGUAUAUCCCGUCUAUAUUUUUAAAUACAAAACGAUUAGCAAAAUGUGUAGUUUAUGUUCAUGGCUCAAUUUUAACAUGCAGGAGAAUCACUGACUUGAGUGGACCUGAAUCACCAAUUCCUUCACUUAAUAAGAUGAAAAACAUGAGGACACUGUGAGUUAAUGGUUCCAUGACACACAAUUUUUGUCUGUACCAGAAGUCUUCUGUAAACUCAAAGCUUUGGUGUCUGUUGCAGGAUGUUGAGGAGUUGCAACCUUAUUGGAAAGCUACCUCCAUAUCUUGCACAAAUGAACAAAUUGAAAACUUUGUAAGUUCAAAUGUCUUAGUCCCUAUUUUUUCCGUCUUCAAAUAAAAAAAAUUCUUCUAGAUGUGAUUCUACUAAUUCAAGAUUUAUUGAAGUGACUUAGACGAUGUUGGGUGGACUUUAUGUUUCUGUAUUUAUUAAGAGAACUUCUCUUUCAGAUGUCAUUUCCCUUUCUGCAGAGAGCACAUCUAAACUGCAUUUGCUAUUUGUUUGUGCAGAGACCUCAGCUUUAACAAGCUGACCGGAGAAAUUCCAAGCAGCUUCGGUAGUCUAGCAGAUGUGGUUUAUAUGUAAGCAAUUGGAAUGACCAAUCUAGUCUUUCUUACAUGGAAUUCAAGCAGACAUUCUUCAAUGGUUUUGUUACACCCCAGCCUGGCAAGCUGGAAGUAUUUCCAAUCACAGUUACUAUAAUUAUGAGUCACGGGUUAUACUGCAAUGAAAAUGAAAACGGCUCUUCUGCUCAGAAAUGAAAUGUUUAGUUUAUUCAUUAGAGUCAUUACUACUCGUGCAAUUAUCUGACAUAAGGUGAUCACCCUUAGAUGUGUCUUUCACAUGGAAGUACUGAUCUAAUGCACUCAGAGUUGGCAAACUCAAAUUUUCAAACCUUUACAAAGAACAAACACUAUUCUCUACUGAGUUUUUUCUGUAUUCAUUAUUUUUAGAUUCUUAACUGGAAACUUGCUGACUGGACCUGUACCUGCUUGGCCAAGAGUCAACGUGUAAGCUUCUCUUCCAAAUGCUACUCUUUAGCUACUAAGGAAAUUUAUGCUGUUUUUUUUACUAAGAUAGAUAUAAAACUAUUAUAUCAAUAUUGAGUUUUGGUUUCAAUAUUUGUUGUAUAUUUCAUUAUGAAGAUUACAAGAGAGUGAAGGCAACUCUUAUAGAGAGCCAAAAGAAAGCUACAAUAGAUUGUAGGAUAACUACACAAACACAAUCCCUAAAAUCUGCCCUAACAAAUGGAAAAGCAAAAACCAAAUUACAAGUAAAAAAGCUUUUACAAACAACUAAGAAAGGUUGAUGUAAGGUGAAUGACAAGGAAAGUGACUGGUGAAUGACAAGCUAUGGAAAGUGACUUUAGCCUAUGACUUAGCUAAAGUGAGGAUGACAACUCAUACAUACAACCCAUCCAUACAAUCCAUACAAACCGGUUUCAAUACACCCCCUCAAGCUGGAUCAAGGGGAUUGAUUGAUCCAAGCUUGCACAACAAACGCUGAAACUGAGUAGAGUCUAGUGCUUUUAUGAAUAAAUCAGCAAGUUGAUCGUGGCUGCAUGUGAACACGGUGUCUAUCACCUUGGAUUGAACUUGAGCACGAAUAUAAUGGCAGUCAACUUCAAUAUGUUUGGUCCUUUCAUGGAAUACUGGAUUGGAGGUAAUGUGCAUGGCAACUUGGUUAUCACAAUACAAGGAUAUAUGUGCCAUGCUUGUGAAUCCGAGCUCGGAAAGAAGACCUUUCAACCAUAUGAGUUCACAGGCUGUUGCUGUCAUAGCCCUAUACUCAGCUUCGGCGCUAGAUCGAGCAUUAAUAGUUUGUUUCUUGCUCUUCCAAGUGACAAGGUUCCCUCCAACAAAUAUGCAAAAACCUGUUGUGGAUUUUCGAUCAAGGGCAUUUUCAGCCCAGUCAGCAUCUGUGUGGGCCAAGAUGUGAUUUGAUCCAUUGUUCUUCAUAAUUAUCCCCCUUCCUACUGAGCCCUUGAGAUAUUGAAGUAUUCUCUUGACGAUUUCCCAGUGAACUAGAGUAGGAGAGUGCAUGAACUGACUGGCUAGGCUAACUGAAUAUGAGAUAUCAAGCCUAGUAAUGGUGAGAUAAAUAAGUUUCCCAACCAUUCACUGAUAAACACUAGGGUCCGAGAGAGGUUCACUUUUUUCAUGCCACUGAAGUUUUCUAGCUAGGGGUGUCCAAGCUGGUUUACAUUCCAUCAUGUUAGCUUCAUCUAGAAGAUCAAGAACAUACUUUCUUUGAUUUAAGAACAAUCCCUUUGAAGAGGUAGCCACCUCAAUUCCAAGAAAGUAUUUCAAGGGCCCCAAGUCUUUAAUGGCAAAUUUUUGGUGAAGUGAUUGCUUAAGCGUCUUUAUUUCACUUAUAUUGUCACCUGUAAUAAUUAGGUCAUCAACAUAUAUAAGCACAACCAAUUUUCCAGCAAUACCACUUCGAACAAACAAAGAAGAGUCAGCAUGACUCCUUUUGAACCCUGCAGCUUCAAGGACUGAACUAAGCAUCGAAUACCAAGCUCGAGGGGACUGUUUGAGACCAUAUAUGGCUUUGUGAAGUCUGCAGACCUUGUUGGGUUCAUUUUCUCUUGGAUGACCAGGAGGCAACUUCAUGUACACUUCUUCUUCAAGAUCCCCAUGAAAAAAAUGCAUUCUUCACAUCCAUUUGGAAUAAGGGCCAUGCAUUAUUGACUGUCACAGACAACAAUACCCUCACUAUGUUCAUUUUGGCAACAGGAGCAAAGGUCUCCUUAUAGUCAAUGCCAUAGUUUUGAGUAAAGCCUUGAGCUACUAACUGUGCCUUGUGUCUUUCAAUGCUUCCAUUGGAGUUGAAUUUGGUCUUAUAUAUCCACCUACUUUCCACGACCUUCUUGCCAUUUGGAAGAUCCACCACACUCCAUGUCUGCUUGUCAUUCAGAGCUUGAAGCUCUUUAGUCAUAGCAUCUUGCCACUCAGGCAUGCAUGUGGCUUCAUGAAAAUUCCUUGGUUUGAAAGUGUGGGACAAUUUGUUAAGGAAAGAAGUAUGAGAAGAUGAGAAUCUAUGAUAAGAAAUGGCUGCAGAGAUAGGAUGCCUUGCAGUGUAAGUAACAUACUCUUGUAACCUCAUUGGUGGAUGUCUAUCUCGUGUAGGAUUUCUUCUUGGUGUACUUAUAGCUUGCUGAUUUGGUUGAGCUUCUGAUGGUUCAGAUGAGCUUGGCACUGCAUCAAUUACACUCUCAGUGAGUUAAGAAUUAUCAGUGCUGAUAUGAGUAGGAGUGACUUCAUGAAUUUCUGCUGGAAUAGGUAGUGGAAAUAGGUCCAUAAGAUCUUCCAUAUUAGCAUUAGUCUUCAACCCUUUGUGGAAAUAAGGUGAAUAUUCAUCAAAUCACACAUCUCUAGAGACUGCCAGCUUUCCCGUGUUAGGGUUGUACACUUUGUAACCCUUUUGAGAAAUGGCGUAUCCCAUAAACACACAUUUGACAACUCGAGGGUCGAGUUUGUCAUGAUGGAGAUCUUGAAUGUGCACAUAACAAGUACAACCAAAAGUCCUGAGGUAAGACAAGUUUAUAGGCCUUCCUUUCAUGACUUCAAAAGGAGAUUUAGUAUUCAACACCCGAGUUGGCAGUCUAUUAAUGAUGUACGUGGCAGUGAGUAAGGCUUGAGACCAAAAUUUCUUAGUAAUAUUCAUUUGGAUCAUAAGUGAUCGAGUCUUCUAAUAAGUCUCAAUUCUUUCUCUCUGCCACACCAUUUUGUUGUGGUGUACCAACACAGCUAGUUUGAUGCAAAAUGCCAUGAUUGCUCAAGUAAUUAUUCGUGUUAUUGGAAAUGUACUCGGUACCAUUAUCUGAUCUUAACAUAUAUAACUUAGAUGAAAAUUGAUUGGUGAUUAGGUUGUGAAAGUCGUUAAAAGCAUCAAACAAAUCACUUUUAAGUUUUAAAAGAUACAACCAGGUUACUCUAUAAUAGUCAUCAAUAAAUGUAACAUAAUAUCUAUACCCAUCAAAGGAUUCUACACGAGAAGGACCCCAAAUAUCAGAGUGAACAAGCUCAAAAAGUUUACUAGUUCUAGAAUUAGAGGAAACAAAAGGAAGUCUAGUGGCUUUUGACAUUUGACAAGUUUCAUACUCUAGUGUGUUUUUACAAAAAAAGGGAAACAACUUGGUCAUCACAUGUUCUGAGGGAUGGGCAAGGCGUUGAUGCCAGAGUUGGUGUUCCUGAACUUGACUUAAGUUGACACCGAGCUUUUUGACAAAAUUGGACUCAUUUGAAAGAUAGUAGAGUCCAUUCAAGAAGAACCCUUCACCAAUCUUCUUCUAAGUAACUCGGUCCUGAAACACAACAUUGUGAGGGGAAAAUAUGGCAAGACAGUCUAAGGUUUUUGUAAUUUUUUCCUAUUGACAAGAGCUGAAAAGGAAAAGAAGGUACAUAGAGAACAGUGGAAUCAGUAUGCUCACUUAGCAAUCUAAUCUUUCCUUUCCCUAGAAUAGGUUCCCAUUUCCCAUUUGCAACAGAUACAUGCAUUGGAUCAAUAGUUCUUUGAAAAUCGUGGAGACUAGAGGGUUUAUUAGUUAUAUGAUCAGUGGCACCAGAGUCAAUAAUCCAAAAAUCAUGUGUAACAUUUGCAUUAAGAGCAGUGGAAAUGGCACUGAUAAUACCUGAAAUAUUUCCUUUCGAUGUGUUCUCCGAGUCAGCCAAGAAUCCAGCAAAUUUCCCUAGCAUUGCAGUAGGGUUUUCAAGUGUCAUUUCAUCAGGUUCAGUGCUUCCUUGCUUCUUUUGAAGAAAAGCAGCAAACUCGUUGAUCAAGGACACAUGAUUGUUGAGAAAUUGGCCAUCCCAUCAGUUAUGGAACAAGCUGAAUGAAAUGCUUUUGUAGUGACUCCACCCUUCCCAUCUUUGAUCAUCCUGCCUUCCCUAUCAAACUUAGGCUUUAACUCCGGAUGAAGAAUCCAACAUUUUUCUCUCAAAUGUCCCUUCAUGUUGCAAUAAUAACAUUUCCAGUCUGCUUUCUUGCCAAGUACCCUAUCACCAGUUGCUUUGUGAUUUGUCGUGAAAACCCUAGCUUCAGAAUUGGAUUUGGGCUCAACGUUCAUCACUCUUCGUCAAGUUUCCUCUCUCUGGACUGCAUGACACACACUGGUAAAUGAGGGCAGCUCUUGAGUCAUUAACAAGUGACUACGCAGGUCUUCAUACUUCGUUCCCAAGCUUGCUAAGAGUUGAAACACCUUGUCUUCAUCAGCCAUCUUCAGUAGCACAGCGGAAUCAGUCGUGUGUGGACGAUACAUAUUGAGUUCAUUCCACAUGGAUUUCAUACUUCCAAGGUGUUGAACAAAUGAGUGAUCACCUUGCUUUAAACUAGCCACACUCUUCUUCAGUUAAAAGAUGCAAACUGAGUUGUUUUGGCUGCCAUACAUGUCUUUGACAGACUCCCAUAGGAGAAGGGAAGACUCUGAGUAAUUGAAAAGCUCAGACAGUUUUGGCUCCAUAAAGUUAAGUAACCAGGACAUGACCAGUUAAUCAGUAGCAUGCCAUGCAUCGUAAGUUGGUGAAGUGGAUUAUGCGGGCUCAGAGCUUCCAUUGAUAAACCCUAGCUUCGAUCUUCCCCCUAGAGCAAGUGACACAGCUCUUGACCAAGGAAGGUAGUUGAACUCGUUCAGUAGCACCGAGCAGAGUCGUUGAUUUGGAUUGUUUUCAACCCCUUGGGUUAAGUUUAGGGAGGAGGAUGAGGCACUAUCGGCACUAGACACAUUUUCUUCUGCCAUCUCUUUCGAUGAUGAGCAAAUGAAGAAGUAAAAAAAAAAUGACCCUAUGGUUCCUGCUCUGAUACCAUGUUGAGUUUUGGUUUCAAUAUUUGUUAUAUAUUUCAUUAUGAAGAUUAGAAGAGAGUGAAGGCAACUCUUGUAGAGAGCCAAAAGAAAGCUACAAUAGAUUGUAGGAUAACUACACAAACACAAUCCCUAAAAUCUGCCCUAACAAGUGGAAAAGCAAAAACCAAAUUACAAGUAAAGAAGCUUUUACAAGCAACUAAGAAAUGUUGAUGUAAGGUGAAUGACAAGCUAUGGAAAGUGACUGGUGAAUGACAAGCUAUAGAAAGUGACUUUAGCCUAUGACUUAGCUAAAGUGAGGAUAACAACUCAUACAUACAACCCAUCCAUACAAUCCAUACAAAGUGUUGUUUCCUUUUGUACUGACAUACUACACCUGGAAAAGAAUUUUUUAGUGCUUCUUUGAUUCUGGUUUAUGAAACCUCAAUGAAUAUGAGGACUGGGGGGAAGAUGAUUAAUAAUGAAAAUGAAAGGAUGAAGAAAAUCACACAGAGAAUAUAGGUCCCCACUCAAGUCGUGCAAAGAGAAUAUUACCGUUAGCAAAGCACAGCUGGAUCCUUAGACAUCACAAAGUGAUCUUAGCCACACAUCUAACUAAUUUCUAGGAUCCUUAGACUUCACACAAGGCAUUAUUUGCCGUACAUCUUUGAACCUCACACUUGGCCAUAUUACAACUCUAAGUGAAUAUAGAAUUAAGCUCAUAACUUAUGUCACUAAUUCUAAUCAGCUCGAGACCUACAAUUCAACAGAAUUUGCAUCAUAGCUCUUUUUGUGCAGUGAUCUUUCGUAUAACAACCUCGCCAUAGAGGAUGCAAGUUGUCAACCACGAGGUGGCACGUAAGAAUGUCUUCAUUAGCUUGAAGUUAAUCUGUUUGUGUUAUGUGGAGAAAAGCUUAACUUUUCAUUUGUGUUAAUUUCUGCAGUAACUUGUUUGCAAGCUCGUCAAAAGGAAAUAGUUCGUAAGUUCAAAUUAAUCGUCUCAAAGCAUGCACCUAUAAAUUUACUUCGGUAUCCAAUGGUGUAUUCUUUACUAUUUUUUUUUCCAACUUCGUCUCAUUUAUGAUUGCUGACAUUUUUUGUACCCUGAAUUACUAUAUCCGGAGAAUCGUUUCAUGUUUCAAAACUUCAGAGUGUCCAAAAUGUAAGCCGAGUUUCUACACAAAUAAUUACCUUUAUUUUUUCGCUUCAUUCUUUUUUAGUUUUCCUCCUCAAUGCCUACUAAUCUCCAAUUUAUUUUUUCAUAGAUUUGUACUACUCUCUCCAUAUAAAUUGUGGUGGGAAACAAUUUACGGUCCCUGGAGGAAAAGAUACAGUAUAUGAUGAUGACACAUUUUCAGCUGGACCUUCAUCAUUUACCUGAGCAGAACAAAUUGGGCAUUAAGCAGCACCGGUUACUUCCCUGAUGAUGACCGCCCUUAUGACACCUUUAUAUGGACUAAUGAAACUAGACUCUCUAUGGCCAAUCCUCAACUGUACAUGAACGCACGCCUUUCUCCCAUCUCUCUAACUUAUUUUGGGUUUUGUCUGGGAAAUGGAAACUACACCGUAAACCUCCAUUUUGCAGAGAUAAUGUUUAGAAAUGGCAAAACAUAUAAAAGCUUGGGAAGGCGCAUAUUCGAUAUUUACAUUCAGGUAAGUAUCGCAUCCACUUCCAUGUAUACCAGUGAAUUAUUCUAAUUUUCAACAAGCAUUGUUUAUAUUUUGGUCGAUUUGAAUGUUAACUUUCACAUUUAUGAUCAUGAAAUGUUAAGCAACUAAAUUAGUGUGUGUGUGUGUGUGUGUGUGUGUAUUGCAGGGAAAACUAGUGAAGAAGGACUUCAAUAUCAUGGAUGAAGCUGGCGUGUUUGGUGAUGUAGUCAUAAAGAACUUUACUGCUCCUGUAACUAAUAAUACAUUGGAGAUUCGUUUCUAUUGGGCCGGAAGAGGGACGACAGGCAUCCCUUUUAGAGGAGUCUAUGGUCCUCUUAUUUCAGCUAUUUCAGUAGACCCAAGUAAGUUUUCACUGAUCUGAGCUUCGUCUAAUUACUAUGCGUCGACCAUAUGCAUUUAUAUAUCUACUAAAUUAAGAGAUCCGACUUCAGUUCUGCAAGGUUCUUCUUCUUCUUCAAUAUUUCCCUUCGCUUGUAUUUUCAGAAAAAUGCUUCUGUGUUUUUCUCCUGUUUUACAUAGUUUGAGCCAAGACUUGAAGAAAUACUCUCUUAAAUUUUCUUAUCACAUAAUAUGCUGUUUUUUUCUAGGUGACGGGUAUGCUCUUUCAAAUACAACAAAAUUCAACUUCGAGGAUUUUUAACUAUUUACAUGAAAUGUACCGUUUGGUACGUGGGACGGGACGGGAUGGAACGGGACGAGCCGUUCCGUCCCACGUUUGGUGCGCCUAAAAACUGUGGAACGGGUUGUCCCAUGGGACGAAAUUUGGCUGAUUUUUCGUUCCACCUCUUCCCCCUGGAACGACCCGUUCCACAUCCGUGUAACACAAAUUUAUAACAUUUUAUGACACAAUUUCUCCUUAUCUUUUUUAAUAUUUACAUCAUCUGUUCCGUCCUGUUCUGUCCCGUCCCGUCCUGUUCCAUCCCGUCCCGUCCCGUUCCAUCCCGUCUACGUACCAAACGGUACCUUAAGGAAACAUAUAAUAUUUACAACCAUCAAAAGAAAGUUUGUUCGAGGGAUUACUUCAUAUACUAUCUACUUAGUUAAGGAUGCCGCAAAGACAGGGUUUCAAUCUUCUGUUUGUGUGCAUUGGAUAGCUAGUUGAAUAAUCCACUCUCAUAUCAAUUACAUACAUUUACUCUAAUUUAAGCUAUAUUCUUUCUUCGGACAGACUUUGAUUCGCCGCCAAAACCUGUAAGUGACACAUCAACUGGUGGAAGUGGCGUGCCUGUAGGUGUCGUGGUUGGAAUUGUGGUUGGAGGAGUCUUCAUUAUACUACUGAUAUUUGGUAUUCUUUGGAAGAGAGACAACAAAAGACAUUGGAGGAUGGUAUUAAUUUGCAGUUUAUUAUGUUAUACUGGUUUUUCCUUUUUGUUCCUCCAUUACUUUCUCUCAUCGAGCUUUUUUCGUAACUAAGUACGAUAUUUAUGCUAUUUGCAUGGUUCUCAUGCAUAUUGACAUGCACCACAAAGACAGUAAUUAUUUAGAUAUGGAGCUUUCCGGCACUUUGAUGUUUCUGUAAUAUAUUUAUCGUCCAAACACCAUGAUGCAAAGUGUCUGCCUAUAGAUCUAGUUACUUGUUAAAUUCUAUAAUUAGGCACAAAAUAUUAAGAACUAAGAAUGUUAUCGUUCUGAAAGUUUUCUUAAGACACAAUUUCUUAUGAGUUUUAGUUGUUAUACAGAUUUGAAGGGUGUGGACCUGCAAACUGGUAAAUUUACCUUCAAGCAACUCAAAGAUGCCACUAUUGGCAUGUAACCCUUCAGCCGAAGACUUGGAGGCAAAGAAAGAAUUCAAACCUUAUUUUAAUGUUUGUUUCAUGUUUAAAUUUGAGCCAUUGAAUCAUAGUCCAUGUGGCUAGCCUUACUUGUAUCUAGCUUAAGUGAUAGAUUAUAACAAGUGGCAUCAUCUCAUAGGAUGAUAGCAAUUAAGGAAUGAGAUUAAGUGUGUUAUUGAUGAGUGUAUAAAGCCAAAAACCUUAUAUGUUUGUUGUGAGGGAAUAUUUUUCAAUCAAUCAGUGUAAUCAUCCUCCUAAAAAUUCUCUCUGCCAUUUUCGGCAUUACACAGACCUCUGCAAGAUUUCAUAGAAGCUUACCAAACAUUCCCAUACACUAACAGCCACAAGCAACUUUAACAAAGCUAUCAAGUCGUUGCAUCCGACUAUCCUUGCAUUCUCUGCUUUGAACAUUUUCACAUAAUCGCGAAACAACUCCUUUGGGUUCUUCUUGACGUUGAACAAAUGGUCGGACUUCUUUUUUAUCAAGCGAUAGGAUGAAUAUUCUUUGGUGAAAACCAAAAAAGUUCGUCAAAACUCCGGAUGGAUUGUGGUGGCAGGGUGUAGAACCAAUUUUGCGUCUCGCCUUGUAGAGUGAUGAUGAAUAUCUUGCACAUGAGAUCGUCGUUGUUUCGAUAGAGGAUCAUUGCGCUUCGGUAGUGCUUUAAGUGUCUCUCCGGGUCUUCAUCCCCUUUGAAAGAUGUGAAAUGUGGCAUGCUGAACUCGUGUGGAGGCUCUGCCUGCUCGAUCUCAUCCGUGAAGGGUGAUCUGCUUAUGUUGGUCAUGUUCCGUCGUAGUACCUCGUAGGUGACCUUGUUGCGUUGGAAAUUGCACAAUCACUUAGUCAAGAGUCUCUCUACUUCUUCCUGAAUUUGCCUUUGUUAGGGUAGUCGAACUCUCGGCUGCCCCUAGCUGUGACUUGCUGGUCUAAGCUGCUCUUCUAUGUGUUUGGCUCGUCUAUUCCGCGGAUGAGGUGUGUGUGGUGUGUUCCUAGCAAGCGAGCGAGUUCUUCUCAGGCUGUCGGUUGAACUUGAGCCGGAUUGAGUGACAAAGUCAAUGAAAGAAUGAUUCACAGUGUGCUUGCAUACUUCUUAUACACGAACAACUUUGUAUCGGCCUAGUUAUUAGUUACAAAGUCAAUGAAAGAAUGAUUCACAGUGUGCUUGUAACAAAUACACAUUUACCGUUUGUGUAAUUCCUCAUGUUUUAUUCUUUCUAAAGAACAUUGGACAUUUUCCUUCGGUUUUAGAGUAAGAAAACCAGUUCCUUCUUCCUAUUUAAUUCCCUGACCAAAAGUAAGUAUUUUCUGUGAUAAAUUAAUGUUUUACCUGUUUGGUCUCAUUUCUGUUGCAGCUUUUCCUUUUAGUCACAGUAUAGAUGCGUAAUGGAUAUCUGUUAAUUUCCAUAUAUGUUAUUAUUUAUUUUUACUUGUAAUGAAUAUCUAUUGUCACAACCCGUCCCGAAAUAUUUAUUUUCGACGGUGUGAAAUGACAGUUUUACCCUUGGACGUUGAGAUGUGUGGUGUGUGUCAUGCUUUUGGAUGUGGACCAAUAUGUUGAGUUCCUAAGUUUUUGGACUCAAUUAGAAGUUAGACUUUUGUUAGUUUGGUUAGGGACCAAGUGAGGACCACACACACACACAAAACACCCCGUGCAUUCUCUCUCGUCUCGGCCUUCCUAUCAUUUCCGUACAAAACGUACAGACGAACACCAAACUCACACUUCACGCACGGAUCGACGUUAACCAGGUAAUAUUCGAAUUCCUUGUAAGAUUUUGAGUUCACCCAUACCCUUUUUAGAUCGAGAAACCUUCGUUUUCUCGAGAAACCAGAACUGCCGAAUUCAUGCACUGUUCAUGCACUCAUAAAUGUGAGGUUUUUAGGAAUUUUUUAGGACAUAGUGAGCUUUGGAUCAUCCUCACGAAGCUUGGAGAAGAAAAACCAAGUGAAUUGGACGUCGGGAAGUGGAGAUCGACGAGUUCAAAGUUUGGCCGGAUUAUCGAAGGAUCUCCGGCGAAUUCUCGAGGGAUUUCAGGUCCCAAAAUUGGUAAGGUUUUAUUCCUUAUGUUGUAAGCUUCAUUUUGGUGAAGAUUUCGUGGAAUUUGGUGCAAAAAUGGGAGAGAUAUGAGGUUUUAUAUAUUUUCCAGUUUUCGGCAACGGCGACGGUCGCCGGAGGUCAAACGUAGGGGACGACGAGAUAUUCCAUCAAAAUUGAUGGAAUAUUCCUAACGGCCGUUAGGCCUCAGUUAGGGUUUGGCCGAGCGUGGGGGCGCGUAGGGCCGUGCCUCCGCCGGCGUGUGACGACGCGUGGGACGUCAGAAAAUUUUUCUAAAAAUAUGGGGAUGUUCAUGAGAUUGUGUAGUUCACGUUGGUAUAUUCAAACAUCCCAUUUGAGCAAUGUAUGAGAAGUUAUUAGCUAGUAUUGGUUAUGUGCUUUAAAUAACGUUUAUUUAGUUAUUUCACAUAUAGGUGAGACCUAUCUAGAGGACGAGCGCAGUCAAGGGCGACUCGGGGGCUACGACCCUUCGACAUACCAGUUAGUGGGCUUUUGGUUUUCAAUAUAUAUUUAUAUACUUGAUAUUUUCCCAGAAAAUGUGUUUAAAUGAAAGUAUGCUUUGAAAUGCCAUGCAUAUAGAUUUAUAUUCGGCAUAUGAAUUAGUAUAUGAUGCAUAAUAUGAAUUGGUACUGUGGAUGCUCAGGUAAGUACCAGGUGAGUUAUGUUUUGUUAUAUGAGAUAUUGAUAAUGUGAGACGUGAUUGAGAACUCAUAAACCUGCACCCCGGGUGAUUGUGAUUUAGCCAGAGAUAUGGCACAUGCCUGUAUAUAAUGUCACAUCCCGCACCAUAUGCUCACAUUGGAUCCAAUUUAGGUGCACAGUCUUGUCGUACAGACCAUUAGGUGAGUAGUGAUUUAUCGCACAGCUAUCAUGAGAGCGUAACAUUGAGCAUAAUUAUAUUACACUCAGUCUUGUCGUACAAACCAUUACAGUGGUUCCGACUCGUGUGCAGUGUAGUGCCGUAUAGGUCACUGACGAUGACUUCGGCUAGAUUGAUAAAUAAUAAAUUUAGUCGUACAGACCUCUGCAGGGGGUUCCGACUAAUAUGUUAUUUUCCAUGAAUUUAUUUUCACCUGAGUUACUUAUUCUGUUUUAUAUUUUGGCAUGGCAUACUUAUGAAUAGAUAUGUGAAGCAUGAUUUGAAUAUAUAUAUAUAUACACACACACACACAUAUAUAUAUUUAUAUUCUAUUUCUGGGAAAAUUAUACAUGUUUUACGGCGAUGGGUUAUAGUAUUUGAUAAAUGAAAUGGUUUUGAAGAACUUUGUUUUUGCCCACUCACGUUUUCUGUUUUGCGCCCCUCCAGGUUUUAGGUAAGCUUGCUCGUUGGUGGCUCACGAGGAUUAGUGGAGGUUCUGACAGACCAUAUCAAAUGUAGGACAUCUUUGGGUGUCGUUUAAUUAGUACUUGCUUUCUGGACUGAACUUAGGCUACUCUCACUCUGAUUGUGUAUUUACACAUAUACUAGCACUAGUCUUAACUAGUACUCUUACAAGUUGGUUUUCAAUUAUUCGUAUUCUCUAUUAUCAUUAUUGCUUCUGCACUGUGCACAUGACUACGUCACCCUCACGUGAUGGCCAGCAUACCCUGAUUCGGGUCGGGGUGUGUCAUCUACCCUUUUAAUUACAUUUUAUUUUCAAUAGUAUCUAAUGAGUAGAUUUUAUAUUAUAUAUUUUACCUUGAUCUUAGUUUAUUUUGGUUAUUAUUUUGGAAGAAUUUUGAUACUUUGAAUUGCAUUUGCAAUAUAGGAGUUUCAACUUCUUCUGGAGCAAAACGUGAUCAAAUGAAUGAAUUUUGGAGUGAUUCCAGCUGGAGGAUGUUCGUGAUUUUCUUAGCUUGAUCAUGUCAAAAUAUAAGAUUCUUCCACCAAUCGGUUAUUUUCUAGCGAUAGAAUAAAGGAGCACUGCGCGAUGCUGGAAAAAUGACGUUUUGGGCUUAAUUGCAAGUUUUGGAGUCUAAGAUAACUUAAUUUGGGUUCGGCCCCUUCUGGAGAUAUGUUCAGAACGUUCCGAUCUUUAAAACAAGCUGUCAUGGGCCGGAUUUGGAGGAGAUUUGAGGCUAAAACGUGGCUGGACAAUUCCCAGAUUCUCCUAGCUUAAUUAGGACUUUAUUUUCUAGUAUAUUUAUUAUUAUUUGGUUUCCUAGUUGGAUCCAAAGACUUUUAUUAGGGAUUAUUGCAGGUUUUAGGAGAGGAUAUAAGGUUUGACCGGCCUUAGUCCUUUACUUCUUCUUUCAUGCGACUUCGGAGAUAGGAAAUUGGCUAGGGUUCUUGAAGAUUUUUAGAGUUUAUUUAAGGUUUUUUCAAUCAUUUUCUUCAUAAUAAUAUUUUGUUUGAUUUUAAUUAUAAAUAUGCGUAACUAAUUUGUUUUGCUGGGGCGAAGUCUUGAAUCUUAGCAUGAAUAUGUAAUUUUUAUUUAAUUGAUAAUGAUUGAUCGUAUGUAUGCUUUGAAUUAUUGAUCACCAUUUUAAACUAUCUAAUUGUCUUGAUGACUAGCCACCAUUAUGAUGUUUAGACAAGUAAUUGGAUGCAAUUCGGUUAGAAUAUCACCAGAGGAUUGGGUAUUGCUUCUUGUGGUUAAUAAUUGUAAUUUCACCUAAGGCGAAUAUCACGCUCUUAGGGGUUGCAUGUUUUUCGGAGAGUUUCACAGAACUUAAUGAGUUUUGCAAGUUUAUAUUUGAUCUGAAUAUCACAGACGGAUUGCAUGUUAGAUAUACGUUCUUGCUUGAAAAUCACGAGGAGAAUAUGUAUCAGGAAAACCUAACCUUCAAAGUUGCAUAUGUAGAUCAUAAGUAAUUUGUCAAAAUACAUAGGAUUGUUAUGAUGAUGGCGGAACCCUAGUGUUUUUAUAAAUUGGUAUUUAAAAACUCUUUUCUAUUAUUUUUACAAUUUUGGUUUAUAGUUAAAAUUCAUUUAAUAUAAGUCAGGAUAUUUUAUAGGGAACUUUAACGAAAAGUUCCCAGUACUGUUCACUUUAACGAAAAACGUGCCUUGAUAAUCACAUGAUGUAUUUAAUGUAAUUAUAUAAUUGAUCAUUACAGUUGUGGAUAAUUACAAAAAAGUAUAAUAAAUAUACGCUGAGAUACACAUAGUCCUAAAUUAGUACUUAGUUCUGAAAACGCCAAUAAGAUAUAGAUCCAGAAAAUUGGACUUCUCGUCCUCGUCAUAUCACAUCAGCCUAUCAAGCCACCGUUACCAACACCUCCACAAUUUGCAGAGAAAUUCGCAAUGAAUGCUUAAACAAACAGAUCCAUCAAGGAUCUUACCAUGUAAGGUCGACCAACCGCAAAUAUGCAGAAAGAAGACAAAUCAAUUACAAAAUCCAGCGUUUCAGAAGGUAGAUCUGGAAAAUUUCUGACCAAACUUGCCUGAUCCAAAGCCCUAUAACCUAGGGAGAAAACAAAACCUCGCAAGAGGCAAUGAAGAACAAGCCUAGCACAAGAAGGCUAGGGAGCAAAAGCUCUCCACAUAAAUACGGGAGACAGGCCCUAUAGUCGUAGGACUCCUUGUCAAGAUUAGGCUUGGGUGAGUGGUUUUCAUAAGGGAUUGAAGCACAGUUGGUCAUGAACUUAUCAUAAACUGUUAUACGGAAGAUAUUAGAAAAUUGCUACAUGAGCAUCACAAAAGCAUGUGAGAGGCGAGAGUGAUUUUUAAACCCUUACUUGGUUUAAGUCAUUUUCAAAUCUUUUUCACAUGUCUUUACAAUGCUUAUAUGGUGUUUUUGUAAUCUCUCAUAUCUAGCAUUUUAUAAUUCAUUUUUUACUAAUUUGGUCUCAAGUUCACAGGGCUAGAAUUCUUCCCCCCAAACAUAGCUCAAAGGACUCACACCCUCCAAAUAAAGUAGACAACAAUACUACAAUUGACAUAAGUUUUUGUGUGGUAGUGAAUUAUUGUCACAUGCGCUCAUGCAGAUACUAAUAUGAAGAUAAAUUAUGGGAAGUGAAUUAUAUAUACUUCUUUUCGUUGCGCUCUCUUUUCAAUUUUUUUUUAUAUUUGAAUUGAAUUUAGAACAAUUCAGAAAACAAAGUAGCCCAAAAUGAUCUAUGUGAAAAUUAUUUCUAUAAACUCUACACACACACACACACACACACAAAACAAUUAAUGAUUGUUCCAUACCAACUUAUACAGUCAACCAACUGAUAAACUGGAAAAUAUGAUUAUAAUGAUAGCAUCCAAUUCCUAUCAAUGACUUUAGGGUAAAUUACAUAGUAGCUCUUCAGGUUUGAUGUCUACUACAACCUCAUACAAUAUCUUUGAAACAUUUCACUUUCAUAUCUCACGUACUAUUUUAUUUCAAAAUAAUACAUCCGUUACAUUUUCCAUCCAUUGAUCCGUUAAGUGCUGACGUGGCUGCCAAAUGUGUGCCACGUGGCAAAAAAAAUAAUUUUUUUUUAAAAAAAACCUUAAUCUUCUAAAUAAAAAAAAUCAAAAAGAGAAAAUUCAGAUCCCAUCAUCCCACCCCCUCCCCCAUACCUGAACCUUGAACAAAAAAAAAAAAAAAAAAAAAACCCAGAAAACCCAGUUCCCACUAACACACCUUCCCCCCAAAUCCCAUCAACACCCCCAUGUGAAACCUCGAUCCCAUAUCCCCCCCCCCCCCAAAAAAAAAAAUCAUCUUCCAUCAGUCAUCCGCACCCAUCCUCCACCUCCUCCCCUGCACCCAUCUCCACCUCAUCCGCACACCCAUAUUCCCAUCUUCUCCUGCCCCGCCCCCCCAACCCGAGCCCAACCUGCAACCCAGAAAGAAGAGGAAAAAAAAACCCAGCGCACCCACCCUCGCACUCAUCCUCUUCCCUCCUCUACACACCCUACUCCUUAAAUCCACACUCAUUGGGGAAGACGGGAUCUGGGUUGCAGGGAAAUGGCAAUAGGUUUUUUUUUUCGUUUCUUUUCUGGGUUGGAGGUAGUGGGUGCAGAGGAAGAGGUGGAGGAUGGGGUGCACGGUGGGUUUGGGGAAGACAAGAGGGGAAAGAAAGGGGUGGGUUGCAAGGAAAGGGGGUCGGGGAAGAUGAAGAUGGUUUUUUUUUUUCCACUCCUUUUCUUAAUCUUCUGGGUUGCAGGUUGGGUGGGUGGGGGUUGAAGGUUCAUCUUUUGUUUUUUGUUUUUUUUUUUUAUUUAGAAGAUUCAGGUAAAAAAAAAAAAAAAAAAAUUUGCCACGUGGCACAAAUGUGGUAGACACGUCAGCACUUAAUGGAUCAAUGGAUAGAAAAUGUAAUGGAUGUAUUAUUUUGAAAUAAAAUAGUAUGUGAGGUAUAAAAGUGAAAUGUUUUAAAGAUGUUGUAUGAGGUUGUAAUAGACCUCAAACCUAAGGGGUUACUAUGUAAUUUACCCAUAACUUUAUACUUGGAGAACUAAAUAUUAAUUUUAUAUACAAAUAAUUUUAGUAUUGUUUUUUUGUAGGACCAUAUAUAUUUUUAAUUAUAAAUGAAUUUUUUGCGAUAAUGAUUUAUGAAUGAUGAAUUGAAAUAUAGGUGGUUCAGAUCUUUGAAAAAAAAUUAUGAAACGAAAACUACAAAAAAUUGUGUCAAAAUAUGUACACACAAAUUUAAGGAUGUGUAGCACUAGGUAUACGUGGCAUUAGGUAUAUUUUUUAUUUUCAUAUUAAUAAAUUUCCUUCAUACCUCGAAAUUUUCUAUAAAAAAAAAAACAAAAAGAAAAAAAACGGCAGAAGGCCACUUGUGAUGAGUACUUUAGUCAUGGAAUGCUGAUCGAAGUGCUAUUAAAUUGUCACUUAGAAUCAUAACUCUUGGCUUAUAGUAUGAAAAAAAAAAUACAGAACAUUUGUAUAUUGCUUGCAAGCAAUUAGGUUCUGUUAGUCAACUCCAGCAACUUGAUUAGAAAGCAUGUAUAUAAAGCUGCGCAAUUACCAUGUCCACAUAUCCUGAUCAGGAAAUUUCCCCUGCUUGGCUUAGUUGAAAAUAGCAGAUAAGUCAAGAGCGUAUUUUAAAUUACUGUUGGUUAAUUAUUUUAAAUUUCACUAGCAUAUGGGUAUACACAAAGUGUGUGAGAAAAUUUUUUAUUUUUGUUUUUGAAAUAGAAGAGGGAGUGAUAGAGAACGUGGGAGUGAGAAUUUUUUUUAUUAUUUUUUUAUUUUUUAUAAUUAGAUAUAUGUUAGGAUUACAUGUAGGUGAGACUUUGAAAAAAAAAACAGCAAAAUUUGGUUGUAUGAAAUUACAUUUCUGCCCCAUAUUUCUUAUUCAUGUUCUAUUUUAAUUAGAGGGUUAAACUGGUAAUUUUAUAGGAUUUUGAUUGAAAAUGAAUGUUUUAUUAAUUAAUAGAGAUAAUCAAUAUUAAUUACCAGUGGGUGUACUUUAAAUUAUGCUUGAUUAAUUAUUGUAAAUUUCAUAAUCAUAGAAAACUAAUAGCUUAUUAUAUAUUGUUGUCAAAAUCGUGAGUUCGGCUGUUGGAAAGGAUUUUUAAUGGGUAAAUUACAUUUUACCUCCUCAGAUUUGGAUGCAAUUGCAACCUCAUACAACAUUUUAAAAACAUUUUAAUUUCAUACAUUUAGUUAUCAUUUCAUUUCAAUGUCAUACAACCGUUAAAAAUUCUGUUAAGUUAGCUGUUAAGUGAUGAUGUGGUAACAGUGGGUCUCCCAUGUUUGCUUAUGUGGUUAACAACUUCUGCCACAUGGACAAACAAUUAAUAUUUUAUUUAAAAAAUUACAAAAAAAACCCUUAAAAAAUGGCUAAAAAAAAGGGAUAACUUGAUAUAGAUCCAAUUUUGUGAGCCAUUAGUAGGAUUAGUCCACUUCAUUGAAAUAGGUUCAAUAAUUGAGAUUCUACGUAUGCUUAUUUGUGGUUUGUACCAUAUUUACCCCUUAGGCUUACAAAUUGUAGUAAAUACACAAAAUUUCUUAAUUAUGGGAUUAUUUGUGGUUUAACUAAUCCCUUAAUUGUAGGAUUAGUUAUAGCCAUGUAAUCACCUCAACCCCCAGUCCGUUUCAUCCCUCCUUUUUUACUUCUUCCAAACAAUUCCCUCUAUCAAUCUUCCUCUUUGUUGUCUCUUCUUUUCAUGGGUGAUAUUUUUGUGUUCUUCCCUCCAAAUUCGUUCCUUUAAUGGAGGUAUAUUACAUCAUAUUUAUAUUUCUAUGUUCCUCCAUGUAGGUUCCCAACAUUUUUCUUCCAAUACAAUAGGUAGUUUAUUUUUGUUUUGCAGGUAGAUUAUAUCUGCUUUAUAGGUAUAAAGCAUUUUUCUUCCUAUACAAUAGGUAGGUAGUUACUAGAUUAUAUCGGUUUUGUUUUCUUCAUAAAUAGUAGGUAGUUACUAUAUAAUAUUUUAGUUUGAGUAUUUAAAUAUUCAAAAUUUAAAAACUGAAUAAAUGAUAUAAAAAAAAUUAAAGAAUUUAAAUAUUUUUAUCUGAAGGGGCAAAAUAUAUAUCAAAAUAUGUAAUUGGAUAACUAGACUCAGUCCCAAAAACUACCUAUGUUUUUGGACCUAGAUCCAAAAGCCCAAAAAAAAAAAAAAACAACCUUCCACAGCCCCUCUCCACCCCACGCUGAAAAUGCAAAGCCCCAACCCUAGAUCUUCCAUCCCCUCCAAUACGUCGUCAACAUCUUCGUCCACCACUGCAAGCCCGCCGGCAACACCAACAUUGCCUCCAACCCCACCCACGUCGACUGACGCUGCAAAUCGGACGACAACAUCAUAUUCUUCCUCGCGCGACAAUAUGUUGGGGGUCGCGGUGGUUGAGGCAGAGAGCACAAAGUGGUGAACUCCCAAACUCCGGCUGACGAAUUUGGUGGCGGUAGUUCAGGCAGAGAGCGCAAGUGGACUGACAAUUUGAGACAUGGAUCAAAUUUAGGGGUUGGGUUGGAUUCGACAAAAUUUGGGGGUUGGAUUUGUCCAAAUCCUAAAUUUUCCCAAACCCAGGUCCAAGUUGCAGGGGUCGAAGCCGACGUCAAUGGCAACGACGGAUGAGGAAAUGGGGUUUGCAGGGGGAGAGGGAGAAUGUGAUUGGGGAUGGGGAUGGGGAUGGGGAAGGGGAAGACAUGGGUUUUAGGGUUUUUUUUUUAUUAAAUAAUUAUUUUAGUAUUUAAUAUUCUGAUUAAAUUAUUAUUUUUUAAAUGCAUAGAAAUUUUUUUGCCACGUGGCAUAAAUUUGGUAACCACGUCAGCACAAAUAUAGAUCCUAUAUUUGCCAUGUUAUCACUUAACAUAUUUUCUAACGAAUGUAUGAAAUUGAAAAAAAAUGAUAAGUAAAUGUAUGAAAUUGAAAUGUUUUAAAGAUGUUGUAUGAGGUUGCAAUCGACCCCAAACCUGACGAGGUAAAAUGUAAUUACCCUUUUUUUAAUUAAGUUGACAUGAGCUGCAAAUAAUAUGCGUUGACACUAUUUUGCCAAAAAUCGGUGUAUUGAGAAAAUAAUACCAAUUACUUCAAAAAAAUAAAAAAACAGUUACGACUAAUUAUUUUUUAUCGUCAGUUGCUAGUUACAAAUAUAACUAGAUCUUGUGCCCUUGUAAUAUUUUUAAGAAAAUUUUCAUUUAUUAUUUGACAAAAAAAAAUAAUUGUGAUAAUUAUAAUCCAUCCAUCUCAACUAUUUGCGGUUUUACUUUAAAAAUAUUAUUUCACAUACGUCUCGGUCAUCCAUUUAUGAUUACAUGACUAAAAUUUCACAUAUGUCUCAAUCAACUAUUUAUGUCACAGCCCGUCCCAGAAGAUUAUUCUCGAUGACUUGAAAUGACAAUUUUACCCUUGGACGUUAAAGUAUGUUGUGUGGUUUAAGUUGGAUUUUGGACCCAUUCAUUAAUUUCCUAAGUCUUUGGACCUAAUUGGAAGUAAGGAAAUUGUUUGUUUUGAUGGGUGACCCAAAAAUCUGGACCACACAUCCUUUCUCUCUCUCACUCUCCCGUGCUCUCUUCUCUCUCUCGGACUCACUCUCUCUUCCCUUUCCUCCGUACGGACAACCUUGAACCAAGCCAAAUCUUCAUAGAUCAAGGAAGAAAAUGGUACCAUUGUGUUCGUGAGGACCAUACGAGUUCAAAGGUACCCAUUUCAGGUAAGAACUCGUUCGAUAUCACGUUAAAAACUCAAACUCCGAGUUGAUCACUAUUCAUGAACUUUUGCAUGGUUAUGUUUUAGGACAAUCCAAGCUCAUAGCGAGCUCUAGGAGGUUCUCACGAAGCUCGGAGUGCUUCGUUGGCUCGGUUUUGACGUCGGGAUCACAAGGUUCGAAGGUGGCCGGUUUUGGUAGAAUUUUCCCGACGAGUUUUCGAGGGAUUUGAAGCUCCCAAGAGGUAUAACCUUCUUCCUUUCGUGAUUUAUGGCAUUCUGGUGAAAAUUGUGUGAAAAAUGGUGCAAAAAUGAGCGAGAAAAAGGCAGUUGCAGGUCUGCCCAGAAUCCGGCGCCGGUGACACUGUUCCAGCGUCUGGAAGUUGAAGAUGAUGCGCGUGGGGCCGUGCCCUCCCCGGCGCGUGAGGGCUCAUGAGCCACAGAAAAUUUAUUUUAAAAAUAUCACGAUGUUCGUGAGGUUGUGUAGGUCGCGUUGGUAUAUUCAAAUACCAAAAUUGAGCUUUGUAUGAGAAAUUAUUAGCUAGUUUUGUGUAUGUGCUUUAAAAUAACGUUUUUAUAGUUAAUUCGCAUAUAGGUGAGACUUAUCCCGAGGACGAGCGUAUCCACGGGCGACUCGAGGGUUACGACCCGUUGACAUACCAGUGAGUGGGCUUUUGGUUUUCAGUAUAUAUUUAUAUACUUGAUAUUUUCCCAGAAAAAUAUGUUUAAAUGAUAAUAUGCCAUAAAUGCCAUGCAUAUACAAUUAUGUUUCGUGUAUGAAUUGGUGUGUGAUACCUUAUAUAUAUAAAUGUGGUGCUAUGGAGGCACAGGUAAGUUCAGGUAAGUUAUGUUUGGUUAUGUGAAUCAUCGAUGAUGUGAUAUGUGAUUGAAUAAUGUUGAGCUCAUUAAACUACACCUAGGGUGAUUGUGAUUUAGCCAGUGAUAUGAAGUACAUGCCUGUUUAUUUACGUCACCUCCCGCAUUAUAUGCUCAUAUUGGAUCCAACUUAAGUGCAUAGUCUUGUCGUACAGACCUUAUUUAUGGUUCCGACUGUAGGUGACUAGCGAAUUAUUGCCCGGCUAUUAUAAGAGAGUAAAAUUGAGCAUAAUCAUAUUACACCCAAUCUUGUUGUACAGACCCCUUUUUAGUGGUUCCGACUUAUGUGCAGUAUAUUGCCGUAUAGGUCAUUGUAGUGACUCCGGCUAGAUUGACUUUUGAGUUAUGAAUUCAGCCGUACAGACUACCACAGGGGUUCCGACUAACAUAUCAUAUUUCUAUGAAAUCAUUCUUACCUGGAUUGUUUACUUUGUUAUAUUUUGGAAUGGCAUACAUAUGCUUAUGAUUAUGUGAAGUAUGAUUUGAAUUGAUAUAUUUUUCAUAUUCAUUUAUGUAUAUGCUUAUAUUCUGAUUCUGGGAAAAAUUAUACAUGUUUUACAGCGAGGGGUUAGACAUGUUGAUAAAUGAAAUGGUUUUGUAAAACAUUUGUUUUUGCCCACUCAUGUUUUCUGUUUUGCGCCCCUCCAGGUUUUAAGUAAGCUUGCUGUUGGUGGCUUGAGGACGUCGGCAGUUCUGACCUAUCUAAAUAAUAGUAGGACAUUCCUGGUACUGUAUAACUAGUACUUGUCCUACUGGACUGCACCUAGACUUUAUGCUCUGAUUAGGAGUGUUUACUUCUGUAACUAACUCCUAUCACUCCCUGUUUAGUAGUGCAUUCUAGUAAUGUGAUUCUUAAUUAUUAGUAUAUUUUCUUAUCAUUAUUGCUUCCGCACUGUGCACAUGGCUACGUCACUCUCACGUAAUGGCCAGCAUGCCUUGAUCUCGGUCGGGGUGUGUCAGUUUGGUAUCAGAGCAUAGGUUUAGCAGUCAUGUAUAAUUCUUGAAUGUUCUAAUCCUUGUGAUGUCUUAUGUCAGAAUUAUGUCGCCUCGUAGAGAGCCCCGUCAAUCAGCUGAACCUAGUUUCCCCAAUAUUGCUCAAUUAGGGGAAGCUAUAGUUUCUGCCAUUCAGACUGCAUUCCGUACUCCCAGAGGAUACCUCUCAAGACAGUUUAUAAUCUGAAGUUGACUCACUUCAUUGGAAAUGAAGGACAUGAGGGGGCGGAAAAAUGGUUGAAUCAUAUGGAGAAUACCUUUCAGGUGAUGCAGAGUCAAGGGAAUCUUCCUCCUGAUAGGUGGGUCGAGACGACUACCUGGUUUUUGGGGGAACAACCUGCAACCUAGUGGAGACAGGAGUCUUACCAGUUGACCCCAGCAGAGAUUGUGGACUAGGGAGUGUUUAAGGAGCUGUUUCGGAAAAGGUUCAUUCCUUAUGCGUAUAUCGAUCGUAAGAAACAUGAGUUUACUCAUCAGAAGCAAGGAAAGACGUCCGCUGAUGAGUAUUAUAGGAUGUUUGCUGAUCUGUCGAGAUAUGAUCCGGAGGUUGCUGCUAAUUCGGUAGAGAUGCUUCGCCGUUUCAGUUUGGGUACUAAGAAGAAAUGGCAUUCCAUAGCGACAUCGACUCACUGUGCUACAUACCAGGAGUUUUAUGAGAUUUUACUGAGAAUUGAGGACUCGGAAAGCAUGCCUAGUGAAAGUGAGGAUGAGGAAGGAAAGAAUGGGGGCCAGAAACGAGAUGAUAAGGGGAAAAGGCAAGCAUUUCAGGGACCCCGCAAGACCCAGAACUUUAAGAGGAGUGGUGGCAGUUCCAGCUCUUCUAGCGGAGGAUUGCGUACUAAUAUGCAAAGAAUAGAUGGUAGAUUUACUGGAGGCCCUAGGUUCUAGAGACAGAGAGAUUUUGGUGGUUCAGGUGGAUCUGGUGCUCUUUUAUGCCGCAAGUGUAAUAGUCAACGUUUUGGGGAGUGUAGGAGAGGCAGCAGUGGAUGUUUUACUUGUGGAUAGAUGGGUCAUAGGGCUGCCCAAUGCCCUCAGAGUCAGCAGAGACCCUAGUAGCCUUCUUUCCCACCACCUGCACCGUCCCAGCAAGCUUCAAGAUCUGGUGGUUAUGCUCAAACUAGACGAGGAGGUGCCUACCACUAUUAAGGUGACGCCGCUCCUUACACCUCAGGACAACAUCAGUAUUCUCAGGACCCUCAGUAUCAGAGUGGGUACCCUCAGUAUCAGGGAGGAUUUAUGUCUUAUUAGCCUCAUUCAAUCGGAGGAUAUCAGUGGUAGCAAGGGGGACAGCCCCAGCAGGGAGAGAUUGCUGCUAGUAGUGCAGGAUCUUCGAGGCAGUCGGGUCAGCAGAGGCAAUGAUGUGGUAUUCAUGCCAACAGAGGUAGUGGUGGACGACAGCAGAAUCAGGGGCGUAUCCACAACAUGUCACUGCAAGAUGCCCAGAAUAAUCUAGAUUUAAUCAUGGGUACGUUAAAUAUUCUUGGUCAUUUUGCUAGAGUAUUGAUUGAUUGUGGUGCUACACAUUCUGUUAUUUCUCAUACAUUUGCUCAAGUGACGCAACCUCAUCCUACACCUUUAGGAUAUAAUUUAGAAUUUUCUAUGCCUAGAGGGGAUAGAUGUUUUGUGGAUUGGGUAUAUCCGGGAUGUCCAGUGAUAGUAGAGGAUGUUGUUAUGCCGGCUAAUCUUAUGUCGUUGGAUAUUAUGGAUUUUGAUGUGAUUUUGGGCAUUGAUUGGUUGCACUAUAAUCGUGCCAAGAUAGAUUGUUAUGGGAAGACAGUCACAUUUCAUCGUAUCGGAUUACCUGAAGUUACAUUUGUAAGAGAGCCUAGUAGGGUGAGACAUGGUAUUAUUUCAACUAUGAAAGCAAAGAGAAUGUUGUCGAAAGGUUGUCAGGGAUAUUUGGCUCAUGUGGUGUUGAAUGAUGAUGCUCCUAGUAGUGUGGAAGAUGUUCGUGUGGUCAGAUAUUUUUCGUAUGUAUUCCCUAAGGAUUUGCCUGGAUUGCCGCCAGAUAGAGAGGUGGAGUUUGUUAUUGAUCUACUUCCAGGUACGAAUCCUAUAUCCUUAACUCUUUAUAAAAUGGCUCAUGCUGAAUUGAGGGAAUUGAAAGUACAGUUGCAAGAGUUAGUGGAUAAAGUUUUUAUUCACCCGAGUACUUCACAUUGGGGAGCUCCAGUUUUAUUCGUGAGGAAGAAAGAUGGAACUUUGAGGCUGUGCAUUGAUUACAGGCAAUUGAAUCGGGUAACCAUUAAAAACCGUUAUCCAUUGCCUCGUAUAGAUGAUUUAUUUGAUCAACUCAGAGGUGCCUGUGUAUUUUCUAAGAUUGACUUGAGGUCGGGAUACUAUCAGUUGAAGAUUAAAAAUGAAGAUGUCCCUAAAACCGCAUUCAGGACUCGAUAUGGUCAUUAUGAGUUUCUUGUGAUGUCAUUCGGGUUAACUAAUGCACCAGCAGCUUUUAUGGAUUUGAUGAAUCGAGUAUUCCAGCCAUAUUUGAACAGGUUUAUUAUUGUCUUCAUUGACGAUAUUCUGGUAUAUUCUAAGUCUAAGGCUGAGCAUGCUAGACAUCUAAAGUUGGUGUUGAGCAGUUUGAGGGAACACCAACUAUAUGCUAAGUUUAGCAAAUGUGAAUUUUGGUUGAAUCAAGUAUCAUUUUUGGGACAUGUCGUUUCUUCUCAAGACAUUCAAGUGGAUUCUCAGAAAGUGGCAGCUGUGGAGAAUUGGGAACAACCUCGAACCGUCACCGAGAUACGGAGUAUUCUUGGCCUAGCAGGCUAUUAUAAACGGUUCGUUAAGGAUUUUUCAGUGAUUGCUUUGCCAUUGACGGGGUUAACUCGAAAGGAUGUUAAGUUUGAGUGGGAUAAUAAGUGUGAGCAAAGUUUUCAGCAGUUGAAAUAUUAUCUCACUCAUGCACCUGUUCUAACACUUCCAGAUGAUAACGGUAAUUAUGAGGUCUAUAGUUAUGCUUCUCUUAAUGGUUUGGGUUGUGUAUUGAUGCAACAUGAUAGGGUAAUUGCUUAUGUUUCGAGACAGUUGAAACCUCAUGAGAAGAAUUACCCUACACAUGAUUUGGAGUUAGCAGCUAUCAUCUUUGCCUUGAAGAUUUGGAGACAUUAUCUUUAUGGUGAGAAAUGCAAGAUCUUCACAAAUCAUAAGAGUCUUCAGUAUUUGUUUACUCAGAGAGAUCUUAAUCUUCGACAGCGGAGGUGGAUUGAGUUACUUAGUGACUAUGAUUGCACGAUUGAGUAUCAUCCUGGUCAUGUAAAUGCUGUGGUGAAUGCACUUAGUUGGAAAACUCCAGUCAGACUUAAUGCCAUUUAUGAUUGCCACGUUCCUCUUCUAGCAGAUUUGAGAUCCACUGGAGUGGAGUUAGGAGUGGAAGAUCGAGAAGAAGCCUUGCUUACUAAUUUUCAGGUUAGGCCAAUUUUAAUUGACCGUGUGCUUGAAGCUCAGAUGUAUGAUGAGGAGACCCAGGAAAUAAUUCAAGCAAGAAAUCAAAGAAAAAAUAAAGAUUUCGGGAUUCGAGAAUAUGAUGGUAUGCUUAUGCAGGAAAGCAGAAUGUAUGUGCCAAAUAAUGCAGAGUUAAAGAAAGAAAUUUUGGAUGAAGCACACAUUUCAGCAUAUGCGAUGCAUCCAGAAGGCACUAAGAUGUAUCAUGCCAUUAGACCAUUUUAUUAUUGGCCAGGUAUGAAAAGAGAAAUUGCCGAAUAUGUGAGUAGGUAUGCCAUUUGCCAAUAGGUUAAAGUUGAAAGGAAGAAGCCGUUUAGGUUGAUGCAACCACUUCCCGUUCCACAGUGGAAAUGAGAAAAUAUUACUAUGAAUUUUGUGUACAAGCUUCCUCGUACACAGAAUGGAUAUGACGGCAUUUGGGUGGUAGUUGAUCGGCUUACGAAGUCAGCACAUUUUAUUCCAGUGAGGGAGAAGUAUUCGUUAAGCCGAUUAGCUAAGUUAUUUACAUCGCAGAUUGUGAAGUAUCAUGGUGUGCCAGUUAAUAUUAUCUCAAAUCGGGAUCUCAGAUUUACUUCCAAGUUCUGGAUAGCAUUCCAGGAAGCUCUUGGUACGAGAUUGCUUUAUAGUACAGCAUAUCACUUUUAGACAGAUGGACAAUCUGAUAGAACUAUUCAGACAUUAGAGGAUAUGUUGAGAUCUUCAAUGCUGCAGUUUUGAGAUAGUUGGCAUGAUUGUUUGGAUUUGAUGGAGUUCGCCUACAACAACAGUUAUCAUUCGAGUAUUAGUAUGGCACCAUUUGAGGCACUUUAUGGGAAAUCUUGUCGUACGCCUCUAUGUUGGUCAGAGGUUGGCGAAAUAGUUUUAGUGGGCCAGAGAUUGUGGAUGUGACUACUCAAAAUGUUCAGGUAAUUAAGUCUAACCUGAAAGCGGCCCAAGAUCGACAAAAGAGAGUAGCAGACAAGCACGCCACUGAUCGGAAGUAUAAUGAAGGUCAUUGGGUACUUCUAAAGCUAUCAUCUUGGAAGGGUGUUGUACGAUUUGGAAAGAAAGGAAACUUGAGUCCUAGGUACAUUGGACCAUAUAUGAUCACCGAACGAGUUGGUGAGGUUGCUUACAGGCUUGAGUUGCCUCCAGAGUUAUCCAAAGUGCACGAUGUGUUUCAUGUUUCGAUGCUCCGACAUUAUGUUUCAGAUCCUUCACAUGUGAUUCCUCCUCAACCUUUGGAAAUUAAUCCGGAUUUGACUUAUGAUAAGGAACCAAUGACUCUAUUGGAUUGGAAGGAUAAGGAACUAAGGAAUAAGACUGUGCGCUUGGUGAAAGUAUUAUGGAGAAAUCAUUCAGUGGAAGAAGCUACUUGGGAGACCGAGGAUCAAAUGAGAGAGAUGUAUCCAUGCUUGUUCUAUGAUUAUUAGUGGAUGUAUUGGUUGUAUGUAAUUUCGAGGACGAAAUUUUAUAAGGUGGGGAGAUUGUCACAGCCUGUCCCGGAAGAUUAUUCUCGAUGACGUGAAGUGACAAUUUUACCCUUGGACGUUAAAGUAUGUUGUGUGAUUUAAAUUGGAUUUUGGACCCAUUCAUUAAUUUCCUAAGUCUUUGGACCCAAUUGGAAGUAAGGAAAUUGUUUGUUUUGAUUGGUGACCCAAAAAUCUGGACCACACAUCUUUUCUCUCUCUCACUCUCCCGUACUUUCUCUUUUCUCUCUCGGACUCACACUCUUUUCCCUCUCCUCCGUACAGACAACCUUGAACCAAGCCAAAUCUUCACAGAUCGAGGAAGAAAAUGGUACCAUUGUGUUCGUGAGGACCAUACGAGUUCAAAGGUACCCAUUUCAGGUAAGUACUCGUUCGAUAUCACGUUAAAAACUCAAGCUUCGAGUUGAGCACUAUUCAUGAACUUUUGAAUGGUUAUGUUUUAGGACAAUCCAAGCUCACAGCGAGCUCUAGGAGGUUCUCACGAAGCUCAGAGUGCUUCGUUGGCUCGGUUUUGACGUCGGGAUCACGAGGUUCGAAGGUGGCCAGUUUUGGUAGAAUUUUCCCGACUAGUUUUCGAGGGAUUUGAAGCUCCCAAGAGGUAUAACCUUCUUCCUCUCGUGAUUUAUGGCAUUCUGGUGAAAAUUGUGUGAAAAAUGGUGCAAAAACGAGCGAGAAAAAGGCAGUUGCAGGGUAUGCCCAAAAUCCGGCGUCGGCGACACUGUUCUGGCGUUUGGAGGUUGAAGAUGAUGCGCGUGGGGCCGUGCCCUCCCCGGCGCGUGAGGGCUCGUGAGCCACAGAAAAUUUAUUUUAAAAAUAUCACGAUGUUCGUGAGGUUGUGUAGGUCGCGUUGGUAUAUUCAAAUACCAAAAUUGAGCUUUGUAUGAGAAGUUAUUAGCUAGUUUUGUGUAUGUGCUUUAAAAUAACGUUUUUAUCGUUAAUUCACAUAUAGGUGAGACUUAUCCUGAGGACGAGCGUAUCCACGGUCGACUCAGGGGUUACGACCCGUCGACAUACCAGUGAGUGGGCUUUUAGUUUUCAGUAUAUAAUUAUAUACUUGAUAUUUUCCCAGAAAAAUAUGUUUAAAUGAUAAUAUGCCAUAAAUGCCAUGCAUAUACAAUUAUGUUUCGUGUAUGAAUUGGUGUGUGAUACCUUAUAUAUAUAAAUGUGGUGUUGUGGAGGCACAGGUAAGUUCAGAUAAGUUAUGUUUGGUUAUGUGAAUCAUCGAUGAUGUGAUAUGUGAUUGAAUAAUGUUGAGCUCAUUAAACUGCACCUAGGGUGAUUGUGAUUUAGCCAGUGAUAUGAAGUACUUACCUAUUUAUUUACGUCACCUCCCGCACUAUAUGCUCAUAUUGGAUCCAACUUAAGUGCACAGUCUUGUCGUACAAACCUUAUUUAUGGUUCCGACUCGUAGGUGACUAGCGAUUUAUCUCCCGGCUAUUAUGAGAGUAAAAUUGAGCAUAAUUAUAUUACAUCCAAUCUUGUCGUACAAACCCCUUUUUAGUGGUUCCGACUUAUGUGCAAUAUAUUGUCGUAUAGGUCAUUGUACUGACUCUGACUAGAUUGACUUUUGAGCUAUGAAGUCAGCCGUACAGACUACCACAUGGGUUCCGGCUAACAUAUCAUAUUUCUAUGAAAUCAUUCUUACCUGGAUUGUUUACUUUGUUAUAUUUUGGAAUGGCAUACAUAUGCUUAUGAUUAUGUGAAGUAUGAUUUGAAUUGAUAUAUUUUCAUAUUCAUUUAUGUAUAUGCUUAUAUUCUGAUUCUGGAAAAAAUUAUACAUGUUUUACAACGAGGGGUUAUAUAUGUUAAUAAAUGAAAUGGUUUUGUAAAACAUUUGUUUUUGCCCACUCACGUUUUCUGUUUUGCGCCCCUCCAGGUUUUAAGUAAGCUUGAUGUUGGUGGCUUGAUGACGUCGGCAAUUCUGACCUAUCUAAAUAAUAGUAGGACAUUCCUGGUACUGUAUAACUAGUAUUUGUCCUACUGGACUACACCUAAACUUUAUGCUCUGAUUAGGAGUGUUUACUGUUGUAACUAACUCCUAUCACUCCCUGUUUAAUAGUGCACUCUAGUAAUGUGAUUCUUAAUUAUUCGUAUAUUUUCUUAUCAUUAUUGUUUCCGCACUGUGCACAUGGCUACGUCACUCUCACGUGACGGCCAGCAUGCUUUUAUCUCGGUCGGGGUGUGUCAAUUUAUUUUUAAAUUGACUAAAAUGCAAAAUUCUCAUAUAUUAAAAAAAAUUGCGGUAAUUAUAAAGGAAUUUUAAUGAAAAACCCGCAGUACUAUUUAUUUUAACGAAAAAUUACAUUUUUACAUUAAAAAGUCAAUCCUUAUACUAUUCACUUUACUUUUUAUUUUGUCCUUAUCGUUAAAACUCAAAAAUUUUAAACUAUUUUUAUUAGUUUUCCUUAAUUAUAAAGGAUCCAUCCAUCUGAACUAUUUGCAGUUUUACUUAAAAAAAUUUAGUUCACAUACGUCUCCGUCAUCCAUUUAUGAUUACAUGACUAAAAUUUCACAUUCGUCUCAAUCAACCAUGUAUGUUAAAAUUGACUAAAUGCAAAAUUCUCAUAUAUUAAAAAAAAUUAAUUGCAAUAAUUAUAAAAAAGUUUUAAUGAAAAGUUUGCGGUACUGUUUACUUUAAAGAAAAAUCACAUUUUUACACUAAAAAAUCAAUAUUGAUUCUAUUCGUUUUAACCUUUAUUUUGUCUUUAUGAUUAAAACUCAAAGUUUUCAAACCAUUAUCAUUAGUUUUCUUUAAUUACAAGGUAUCUAUCCAUCUAAACUAUUUGCAGUUUUACUUAAAAAAAAUAUUUCACAUACGUCUUAGUCAUCCAUUUAUGAUUACAUGACUAAAAUUCACAUACGUCUCAUCAACCAUUUAGGUUAAAAUUGACUAAAAUGCAAAAUUCUCAUAUAUUAAAGUCUUUAAAUUGGAUCCUUAUGAAAGAAUUUCACUUGGGUGUGUAUGCAUAUCUUUAGCUGAAUCUGACCGGCCUUCGGUAUCGGUAAAAAAAAAGGUUUUCAAAAUCAUUUUUAUGAUAUUUUUCUACUAGAAUUUGUCUUUGAUUAGUAUUUUGCAUGGACUAUGUUCGAGAGAGAGCGACCAAACUUGAUAUCGGCAGGCGUUCACUGUUUAGUAAUACAUAGUCCAUACAAAUUUUGGUGCUGAUUAUCUAAAUUACAUAUUAAUAAAAUUUUCAUUGUCAACCAAAAGUUUAUGAAAUUACCAUUCUAACCCUUUAAUUAAAACUAAACAUAUAUAAGGAAUGUAGGCAGUAAUAUAAUUUUACACAACCAAAUUUUUUUUUUUUUCAAAGCCGCACUUAUAUGUGAUUCUAAUAUAUCUCUAAUUUAAAAAUUAAAAAGUAAAGCUCUCUCCUCUCUCUCCCUAUCCCACGCUCUCUCUCCCUCUUUUCCUCUCUCCUUCCAUUUUAAAUACAAAAAAUACAAAAUUUUCACACACAUUUUGUAUGUGGUCAUAUGCUAGUAUUCCACAUUAUGAUCCAAUACUUUUUGGUAAUUUAGGUCAACUACAUAUUAAUAAAAUCCUCAUUGUCAACCAAAAGUUUAUGAAAUUACUAUUCUAACCCUUUAAUUAAAACUGAACAUAUAUAAGAACUGUGGGCAGUAAUAUAAUUUCACACAAUCAAAAUUUUGUUUUUUUUUUCAUAGCCUCACCUAUAUGUGAUUCUAACAUAACUCUAAUUAAAAAAUAUAAAAAGUAAAGCUCUCUCCUCUCUCUCCCCAUCCCACGCUUUCUCUCUCUUUUCCUCUCUCCUUCCAUUUUAAAUACAAAAAAUACAAAAUUUUCACACACAUUUUGUGUGUGGGCAUAUACUAGUAUUCCGCAGUAUGAUCCAAUACUUUUUGGUAAUUUAGGUUAUGAUAAUCAAUUCAAUAACUCCCAACUUAUACCUAUAUAGCCAAAAGUAAUAUAAGGGGCAGAUUUAUGUCACCAUAUUUUUACACAACUUUUGAUACUUGUUUUUGUGAGGCUCAUUCCGUAAUGUAUUUCAAGGAUCCAAACGUCUAUAUUUUAGGUUUCCCUCAAAUAUUAUGUUUACCAAAAAUCACUUAAAUAUGAAAUCAUAUGACCGUUGAAUGUCUUAACGGUUUUAUAUUUGGUUCAUUUUUUGCAAGAAUGAUAUAUGAAAAAAUUUCUCAAAAAUAGAUGGUUCAUUUUUUGGUUUUAAGGGCAAGUAAGGUAACACAAGUCAUUGACUUCCGUUCGUGUCCUUCGAGGUCCACUCAUUCCCUCCCCUCAAGCGAAUAAAAAGCUGUAUUUCAGACUCAUUCUCCUUACAAGUCUGUCGUCUUUCUUCGCCACUCUCACAAAUUUUCAUACAUACAAUCCAACAAAUUCCAAAACCUCUCAACAUAUUCCAUCCAGCUAGCUGCACAAACUGAUUCUUUUGUCUCUGGUUUUCUCUUCAAAUGUGAAAGACUUUGCCUAGAAAAAUGAUGAUUAUGUUCUUCCCUCGACUUCUUCCUCAUUCUCUUUUCUUUGUAGCUUGCUUUGUAACUUUUGCCUUUGGAGCUACUCGAUUGCCAAAUGAUGAAGGUACGAGUAUAAAUCUUUCUUAGUUUCCUUUUCUUCAUUCUUUAAAUGAUAGUUUUAAGUUCGUUUGAUAAUUUUUUUUGAGUUUUCAAAUUUGGUUUGGGUUGAUUUUGGUUUUCAGUUUACAUUUUUCCGAGAAGUGAAAACGGUUACCAUAAAUUAAAAAAUCAAAAUAAAAAUGUUUAUCAAAUGGACCUUAGGCAAAGAGAUAUUUGUGUGAACUUAGUAGAAAUUUUCAAUCAUAUGAUGCUGAGGUGCACUCUGUAGUUCUUGUCUAUGCGUCAAUUUUAUUUUAUUUUUACUAUUUUGUUCAGCACGAUGUUAAUUUGUUGCAUUUUAUUUUGGCGUAUAUGCAGUGCAAACUUUGAAAGGCAUAGCAAAGACACUGGGGAAGACGGGCUGGGAUUUCAGUGGAGACGCAGAUCCAUGCAGCGGCCAAUCUCCAUGGACUAAUACAAGCUCACCGAAAGAAAUUCAGAAUACCAUCAUCUGUCAUUGCUCCGAUGAAAACUCCACUGUCUGCCAUAUUACCAACAUGUAAAUCUCUCUCUCUCUCUCUCUCUCUCUCUCUCUCUCUCUCUCAAAAACAAACAUGCCCGACUCAGAACUCAGUGAGAUUUUUAAGUGUGCUUCCGGAACAUGAUAUAACACGUGUUAUUAUAUAAAUUGUGGGUUACUUGUGUGAAAAAGUAGCACAAUUUGAAAAAUAAAACCUCAUUCUACUUAUAUAACAACAUGUGAUGUACGUUCCGAACACAAUUAAAAAUUUCUGGAUAAACAGUUUACUCGUUGUGUGUUUGAACGAGUUCCAUCUCAUGCAAUAUAUAGAAAUAUUAAGAGCAAAAUAAAGAAAAAGUUGAGAAAAUAAUUAGCCAAUUAGGUGCUAAAUUAGUCGAAUAACUUGACUAAGCAAAAGCAACGUACAUAUUAGGCUCCUUUUGUUGUGAAAGGUUGAGAAGGAUAGGAUCAAAGUUGUUCAGUCUUUGUCAUACCAAUCACAUUAAAGAGAAAAAACAAGAAAGGUCUACGUCCACGUACCAUCCAGUCGAUGAGUGAAGAAAUAUUAAAAAAAAAAGUCAUUGUUUUUCACUUAUAUUAUGAUAUGUGAUGUACUGCUUGAAAAAAUCUCUACUUAAUGAGUGCUAGUAGCACAAUUUGAAAAAUAAAACCUCAUUCUACUUAUAUAACAACAUGUGAUGUACGUUCCGAACACAAUUAAAAAUUUCUGGAUAAACAGUUUACUCGGUGUGUGUUUGAACAAGUUCCAUCUCAUGCAAUAUAUAGAAAUAUUAAGAGAAAAAUAAAGAAAAAGUUGAGAAAAUAAUUAGCCAAUUAGGUGCUAAAUUAGUCGAAUAACUUGACUAAGCAAAAGCAACGUACAUAUUAGGCUCCUUUUGUUGUGAAAGGUUGAGAAGGAUAGGAUCAAAGUUGUUCAGUCUUUGUUAUACCAAUCACAUUAAAGAGAAAAAACAAGAAAGGUCUACGUCCACGUACCAUCCAGUCGAUGAGUGAAGAAAUAUUAAAAAAAAAAGUCAUUUUUUUCACUUAUAUUAUGAUAUGUGAUGUACUGCUUGAAAAAAUCUCUACUUAAUGAGCGCUAGUAGCACAAUUUGAAAAAUAAAACCUCAUUCUACUUAUAUAACAACAUAUGAUGUACGUUCCGAACACAAUUAAAAAUUUCUGGAUAAACAGUUUACUCGUGUGUUUGAACGAGUUCCAUCUCAUGCAAUAUAUAGAAAUAUUAAGAGAAAAAUAAAGAAAAAGUUGAGAAAAUAAUUAGCCAAUUAGGUGCUAAAUUAGUCGAAUAACUUGACUAAGCAAAAGCAACGUACAUAUUAGGCUCGUUUUGUUGUGAAAGGUUGAGAAGGAUAGGAUCAAAGUUUUUCAGUCUUUGUUAUACCAAUCACAUUAAAGAGAAAAAACAAGAAAGGUCUACGUCCACGUACCAUCCAGUCGAUGAGUGAAGAAAUAUUAAAAAAAAAGUCAUUUUUUUCACUUAUAUUAUGAUAUAUGAUGUACUGCUUGAAAAAAUCUCUACUUAAUGAGCGCUUUCUCCUACAUAGAAUUUUUUUUUGUCAAAAAAUAGAUUUUGUUAGGUUAAAUGUUAAAUUAGUCAGCAACGGGGUUUGAAUCCACGUCAUCAUGUAAGAGCUCAACACUUUUCUACCACUGUGGUAAAGGGUCACUUGCCUCCUAUAGAUAAAAUUAACUAUGCAUGUAGACUAAGCGAGACGAAUAACUUACAUUGAACAAGUUAAAUAUCAUAAAAUUAAUACGUGCAAAUUUUUCUUAGCAUGAUAUAUAAUAUUAUAUCAAAAAUAUUAAAAAUAAUAAAUUUGUUCGAUGUAAACUGAUCACAAUUGUGCGGGAGAGAUGUUUUUAUUUCAGAGAGGGGAUUAGCUGGUGAUUUCGUCACAACAGUUUACCCUUUCAAAAGUCGAGAAAAUUCAUAGAGACAACAAUAGAGAUGUUGAUUAGAUGGUUGGAAUUCGGUUUAGUGGACCCCAUGUCUAUUUGGUAUAAAGUAUCAAUCAAUUUUUCAUUACAUGUCCCCUAACCUAACCCCAAGCCCAUGAAACCUCCAAAAUGAUCACAAGUGUGCGAGGAGAGAUGUUUUUCUUUCAAAAUGGGAAUUAACUAGUGAUUUCGUCAGGAUAGUUCACCUUUUCGAAAGUGGGAAAAACUUAUAAAAACAACGAGAGAUGUUGAUUAGAUGGUUGGCAUUCGGGUUUGUGGACCCCACGUCUAUUUAGUAUAAAGUAACAAUCAAUUUUUCAUUACAUGUCUCCUAACCUAACCCCAAGCCCAUGAAACCUCCAAAAUAAAGUAGGAAUUAUAAGGUCUAGUGUGGGCCUCAUCGAGUUGCAUAUUGGCAACUUAGCACGUCGCAUUCACUCAUUCAACCUUAUGUCGGGCCAGGUAGCUAGACCGAUUGAUUUCAAUUAGAUUUGAAGGAUGUUAGUUUAAAGGGUGUGAUAUCCACACAUCACAUUUUAUUUCUCACACAUCUCUUUAAUUUUCGGCCGUCGGAUCGGAUGAAUUGAAGACUAUCAAUGGACAUAAAUUAUCAAAGAUGUGUGGGCCUCAUCAAGUUGCAUAUUGGCAACUUGGCACGUUGCAUUCACUCAUUCAACCUUAUGUCGGGCCAGGUAGCUAGACCGAUUGAUUUCAAUUAGAUUUGAAGGAUGUUAGUUUAAAGGGUGUGAUAUCCACACAUCACAUUUUAUUUCUCACACAUCUCUUUAAUUUUCGGCCGUCGGAUCGGAUGAAUUGAAGAAUAUCAAUGGACAUAAAUUAUCAAAGAUGUGUGAGAAGUAAAAUGGGGUGUGUGGAUAGCACACCCCUAGUUUAAUAGCACAAUCGAGCUCGUUUGUUUCUUUGUGAUUUUCUCACGCCCCGACCCUAGCUUCAGAGAGAUUUUUUAGUGUGCUAGGAGUACAGUCCGGUACAUCAAGUAUCAUAAUACAAGUGGUUAAAUACUUGAAAAAGAACUUCCAACCGUUUGUAUUAUGACACUUAAUGAACCAGAUUUGUUCCUUACACACAAAAUUUCUCUUAGCUUCGGGGGCGUAAAGAUUUUAAGGCUCUUAUUUUAUAUAUGUAAAGCAAGUAAAUGUUGCUACUGUUUAGAGCUAUGAAAAGUGAUCAUCACUCGUCAUUUUCUCUUCAUGCACAUUAUUGAUUUCUAGCCUUUCACGUUUCAAGGGACAUGAAUAAAACCAAGUUAUGCAAUAAUCAUUUUCUUAAAGCUAUAAGUUAUUUUUGACAUGUAAGUUGGAUUGAAAAUUUCGAUUUCAACCAAUUCUGUUUUUGUCGGUUUACGAACAAAAAUAUGAAGAAAAUUGGAACGCAUCUUAAAAUUAGGCUACUUUUGCCGUCGUUAUACAAUCACUAAUUUGUGAUCCAUCAGUGGGUAUAAAGCCAACGUUAUUAUGAUAUCUCUAGACCCUAGUGGGGUUUCCAUUUUCCCAAAUCCUUUACCCUCGGGAUUUUUAAUUUUUCUUCAACCGGCAACCAAUUGGAAGUUUUUCUUGGUCUAAUAAGACCUUGUUGCGCCUUCAAAUUCAAGAAAUGCAGAAGGACUGAUCCAUUUCUUUUAUUGAAUGACCAAUUAAACAUCAAUUACAACCUACCAUGGACCGCAAUUCAAGUUUAGUUUAUCUGCAAAAUCGAGUUCAUGGGAUGUGACCAAUUUGCUCAAUUACUAUAGCAAUGUGUUUUUGAGCUGGCCAUGAGCCAGCAUAGGCGUUCUGUGGUACGCUGAGUUGUUAGAACUUGGUAAUACUGCUGUGCUGUAUUUAGGCUUGAUUCUUACAUACUUGAUCAACGUACAAAAUUUCGCAGUCACGAAGAUUCUUGCAUACUUCUUAUACACGAACAACUCUGUAUCGGCCUAGUUAUUCGUUACAAAGUCAAUGAAAGAAUGAUUCAUAGUGUGCUUGUAACAAAUACACAUUUACCGUUUGUGUAAUUCCUCAAGUUUUAUUCUUUCUAAAGAACAUUGGACAUUUUCCUUCAGUUUUAAAGUAUGAAAACCAGUUCCUUCUUCCUAUUUAAUUCCCUGACCAAAAGUAAGUAUUUUCUGUGAUAAAUUAGUGUUUUACCUGUUUGGUCUCAUUUCUGUGGCAGCUUUUCCUUUUAGUCACAGUAUAGAUGCAUAAUGAAUAUCUGUUAAUUUGCAACUAAUCUUUGAAACAUUAUUUUCUGAAAACACAGAAUUCUAAAAGCCCAAGAUUUGAAAGGAACACUCCCACUAGAGCUGGUAGAUCUCACCUAUCUUCAAGAAAUGUAAGCACAUUUUUACCCCUCCAAGUUUACAUUAUUUAAAAGAAAAUAACUUUGUAUCGUGUAAAUCGUUUAUUCUAAUUUCAUAUAUAGCUUACCUUUAUGUCUGUUGCCAAUGAGACAAUAACUGGUUUCUUUCUUUCUCCUUCAGCGACCUGACCCGCAACUACCUGAGCGGUACCAUCCCUCCAGAAUGGAGCUCUCUUCCACUUUUGAACAUGUACUGUCUUCUCUCAAACUGCAUGCACUUCUGUGUUUGAUGUUCGUGUCAUGUUCUUAUUGCUUCAUUUGGUCACUCCAAUGUUCUUCAGCCAUUUCUUUCUUAAACUAUAAAUCUACUACAUUUGGUUUUGUUCAUGAUGAUGGGCUUCCGUGGUCAUGAGGCGUUUGAAUCAUAAAUAUUGAAUCGAACACAUGGGGUUCAUUGCCUUCGUAUUGACGAACAUGUUAAUGUUAUUGAGCCUCUUGCUUGAUAAAAGUGAUAUUAAGACUAGUUUUUGAUACAGAUCCCUUCUUGGAAAUCGUUUGACCGGUUCUAUCCCCAAAGAGCUCGGAAACAUCACCACCCUGAAGAGUUUGUGAGUGUUGAUUGCGCAUUUGUUUCUUGCUUACCCCAUUUGAUUCCAUGGAGAUCCUUAAUGAUGUUUUUUUAAUCAAUGGAAUUGAAUUUGUUUGUAUAGGGACAUCAGUUUCAAUAAUUUCUCUGGACCUCUCCCUCAGGAGCUUGGAUCUUGGGCCCACAUAGAAAGAUUGUAAGAGUCCUUUUCGAAUUUUACCGUGUUAAAAAGUAUUUGGUUUAUUUGGAGUUUUCUUUCUUGUAGACAAAUUCUGGAUGUUUUCACUAGUAAAUCAUCUACUUCUUUAUCAUUGAUAUAAUGGUUAUAUCUAUUUCGUACUUAGGCUGCUUUGCUCAAACAACUUUACUGGGGAGUUGCCAGAAACAUUUGCAAAGCUUACCAAAAUAAAGGACUUGUAAGUUUCUGUGGUUCUUUCUUCUUAAAGGUUUCCCGAGCACUUAUACAUUUUUUUUACUGCUUUCUGAUACUAAUUCGUAUUUUCCCUUUUCUCCAAUCAUUAUGCAGUCGGGUUAGUGACAGUCACUUUUUCGGGCAGAUACCUGAUUUUAUUAAGAACUGGGCAAAUCUUGAAAAACUGUGAGUGUUUUUCUUUUGUGUGUCAUCUUUCUGCUAUUUGAUUCUGAAUAUUAUCUCUAAUUCAUAUGUUAUGACUCGUUGAAACAGAGUGAUUCAGGCUAGCGGUUUGACAGGGCCAAUUCCUCCUGGCAUUUCUCGUUUGACAAACUUAACUGACUUGUUAGUAUAUCCCGUCUCUAUUUUUAAAUACAAAACGAUUAGCGAUAUGUGUAGUUUAUGUUCAUGGCUCAAUUUUAACAUGCAGGAGAAUCACUGACUUGAGUGGACCUGAAUCACCCAUUCCUUCGCUCGAGAAGAUGAAAAACAUGAAGACACUGUGAGUUAAUGGUUCCAUGACACACAAUUUCUGUCUGUACCAGAAGUCUUCUGUAAACUCAUAGCUUUGGAGUCUGUUGCAGGAUGUUGAGGAGUUGCAACCUUACUGGAAAGAUACCUCUAUAUCUUGCACAAAUGAAAAACUUGAAAACUUUGUAAGUACAAAUGUCUUGGUCCCUAUUUUUUCCGUCUUCAAAUAAAAAAUUUCUUCUAGAUGUGAUUCUACUAAUUCAAGAAUUAUUGAAGUGACUUAGACAAUGUUGGGCGGACUUUAUGUUUCUGUAUUUAUUAAGAGAACAUCUCUUUCAGAUGUCAUUUCCCUCUCUGUAGAGAGCACAACUAAACUGCGUUUGCUAUUUGUUUGUGCAGAGACCUCAGCUUUAACAAGCUGACCGGAGAAAUUCCAAGCAGCUUCGAUAGUCUACCAAAUGUGGCUUAUAUGUAAGCAAUUGGAAUGACCAAUCCAGUCUUUCUUACAUGAAAUUCAAGCAGACAUUCUUCAAUGGUUUUGUUACACCCCAGCCUGACAAGCUGGAAGUAUUUCAAAUCACGAUUACUAUAAUUAUGAGUCACGGAUUAUACUGCAAUGAAAAUGAAAACGGCUCCUCUGCUCAGAAAUGAAAUGUUUAGUUUAUUCAUUAGAGUCAUUACUGCUUAUGCAAUUAAUUAACAUAAGGUGAUCACCUUUAGAUGUGUCUUUCAGAUGGAAGUACCGAUCUAAUCCACUUAGAGUUGGCAAACUCAAGUUUUCAAACCUUUACAGAGAAAUUCCUAAGAACAAACACUAUAUUCUUUACUGAGUUUUUUUCUGUAUUCAUUAUUUUUAGAUUCUUAACUGGAAACUUGCUGACUGGACCUGUACCUGCUUGGCCAAGAGUCAACGUGUAAGCUUCUCUUCCAAAUGCUACUCUUUAGCUACUAAGGAAAUUUAUGCUGUUUUUUUUACUAAGAUAGAUAUAAAACUAUUAAGCUCAUAACUUAUUUCACUAAUUCUAAUCAGCUAGAGACCUACAAUUCAACAGAAUUUGCAUCAUAGCUCUUUUUGUGCAGUGAUCUUUCGUAUAACAACCUCGCCAUAGAGGAUGCAAGUUGUCAACCACGAGGUGGCACGUAAGAAUGUCUUCAUUAGCUUGAAGUUAAUCUGUUUGUGUUAUGUGGAGAUAAGCUUAACUUUUCAUUUGUGUUAAUUUCUGCAGUAACUUGUUUGCAAGCUCGUCAAAAGGAAAUAGUUCGUAAGUUCAAAUUAAUCAUCUCAAAGCAUGCACCUAUAAAUUUACUUCGGUAUCCAAUGGUGUAUUCUUUACUAUUUUUUUUUCCAAUUUCGUCUCAUUUAUGAUUGCUGACAUUUUUUGUACCCUGAAUUACUAUAUCCGGAGAAUUAUUUCAUGUUUCAAAACUUCAGAGUGUCCAAAAUGUAAGCCGAGUUUCUACACAAAUAAUUACCUUUAUUUUUUCGAUUCAUUCUUUUUUAGUUUUCCUCCUCAAUGCCUACUAAUCUCCAAUUUAUUUUUUCAUAGAUUUGUACUACUCUCUCCAUAUAAAUUGUGGUGGGAAACAAUUUACGGUCCCUGGAGGAAAAGAUACAGUAUAUGGUGAUGACACAUUUUCUGCUGGACCUUCAUCAUUUUACAAGAGCACAACAAAUUGGGCAUUAAGCAGCACCGGUUACUUCCCUGAUGAUGACCGCCCUUAUGACACCUUUACAUGGACUAAUGAAACUAGACUCUCUAUGGCCAAUCCUCAACUGUACAUGAACGCACGCCUUUCUCCCAUAUCUCUAACUUAUUUUGGGUUUUGUCUGGGAAAUGGAAACUACACCGUAAACCUCCAUUUUGCAGAGAUAAUGUUUAGAAAUGGCAAAACAUAUAAAAGCUUGGGAAGGCGCAUAUUUGAUAUUUACAUUCAGGUAAGUAUCGCAUCCACUUCCAUAUAUACCAGUGAAUUAUUCUAAUUUUCAACAAGC
rnacentral:lncRNA from 1 species